UUUUUUAUUGUUCCAUGCUAUUAUAUUAUUUGUUUUGGAUGUUUACUGGGCUUUAAUAUGCUCUUUUAUAUCAUUUUUGGGACUAACCUAUUAACCGAAGGCCCAGUGCCAAUUCCUGUUUUUUGCCUAUUUCAGUGUUUUGCAGAAAAGGAAUACCAAACGGAAUCCAAACGGAACGAAACCUUCGUGAAGAUCUUUCUUGGAACAAACGCAAUCCAAAAGAGUUGGAGUUGAAGUCUGGAACUCCGCGAGGUGGCCACAAGGCAGGAGGGGUGCGCCCAGGGGGUAGGCGCGCCCCCCACCCUCGUGGGCCCCACGGAGCUCCACCGACCUAUUUCUUUCGCCUAUAUAUACUCUUAUACCCUAGAAACAUCAAGGGGAGCCACGAAACCACUUUUCCACCACCGCAACUUUCUGUACCCAUGAGAUCCCAUCUUGGGGACUUUUCCGGCGCUCCAUCGGAGGGGGAAUCGAUCACGGAGGGCUUCUACAUCAACUCCAUAGCCUCUCCGAUGAUGUGUGAGUAGUUUACCACAGACCUUCGAGUCCAUAGUUAUUAGCUAGAUGGCUUCUUCUCUCUCUUUGAUUCUCAAUACAAAGUUCUCCUGGACGUUCUUGGAGAUCUAUUCGAUGUAAUAUUCUUUUGCGGUGUGUUUGCCGAGAUCCGAUGAAUUGUGGAUUUAUGACCAAGUUUAUCUAUGAAUAAUAUUUGGUUCUUCUCUGAAUUCUUAUAUGCAUGAUUUGAUAUCUUUGCAAGUCUCUUCGAAUUAUCGGUUUAGUUUGGCCUACUAGAUUGAUCUUUCUUGCAAUGGGAGAAGUGCUUAGCUUUGGGUUCAAUCUUGCGGUGUCCUUUCCCAGUGACAGUAGGGGCAGCAAGGCACGUAUUGUAUUGUUGCCAUCAAGGAUAAAAAGAUGGGGUUUAUAUCAUAUUGCUUGAGUUUAUCCCUCUACAUCAUGUCAUCUUGCUUAAUGCGUUACUCUAUUAUUAUGAACAUAAUACUCUAGAUGCAUGCUGGAUAGCGGUCAAUGUGUGGAGUAAUAGUAGUAGAUGCAGAAUCGUUUCGGUCUACUUGACACGGACGUGAUGCCUAUAUUCAUGAUCAUUGCCUAGAUAUUCUCAUAAUUAUGCGCUUUUCUAUCAAUUGCUCGGCAGUAAUUUGUUCACCCACCGUAAUAUAUGCUAUCUUGAGAGAAGCCACUAGUGAAACCUAUGGCCCCCGGGUCUCUUUCCUAUUAUAUUACAUCUCUUUUAUUUACAUUGCAUCUCGUUUGUUAUUUUGCAAUCUUUAUUUUCCAAUCUAUACAACAAAAAUACCAAAAAAAUAUCUUAUUAUCUUUAUCAGAUCUCACUUUUGCGAGUGGCCGUGAAGGGACUGACAACCCCUUUAUUGCGUUGGUUGCAAGGUUCUUGAUUGUUUGUGCAGGUACUAGGUGACUUGCGUGUUAUCUCCUACUGGAUUCAUACCUUGGUUCUCAAAAAAUAAGGUAAAUACUUAUGCUACUUUGCUGCAUCACCCUUUCCUCUUCAAGGGAAAACCAACGCAUGCUCAAGAGGUAGCAAGAAGGAUUUCUGGCGCCAUUGCCGAGGAGAUCUACACUCAAGUCAAGACAUACCAAGUACCCAUCACAAACUCUUCUCCCUCGCAUUACAUUAUUUGCCAUUCCCCUCUCGUUUUCCUCUCCUCCACUUCUAAAACGAUUUUCGAAAACCUUUGCCUUUUCUUCGCCUCUCUUCUGUUCAUCUCUUUUCGCUUGCUUCUUGUGUGCUUGUGUGUUGGAUUGAUUUUUUGUCACGAUGGCUCAAGAUAAUACUAAAUUAUGUGACUUUUCCAAUACCAACAACAAUGAUUUUAUUAGCACUCCGAUUGCUCCUACUACUAAUGCUGAAUCUUGUGAAAUUAAUACUGCUUUGUUGAAUCUUGUUAUGAAAGAUCAAUUUUCUGGCCUUCCUAGUGAAGAUGAUGCAACCCAUCUAAACAACUUCGUUGAUUUAUGUGAUAUGCAAAAGAAGAAAGAUGUUGAUAAUGAUAUUGUUAAAUUGAAGCUAUUUCCGUUUUCGCUUAGAGAUCGUGCUAAAACUUGGUUCUCUUCUUUGCCUAAAAAUAGUAUUGAUUCAUGGAAUAAGUGCAAAGAUGCUUUUAUCUCUAAGUAUUUUCCUCCCGCUAAGAUCAUCUCUCUUAGAAACGACAUUAUGAAUUUUAAGCAACUUGAUCAUGAACAUGUUGCACAAGCUUGGGAGAGAAUGAAAUUAAUGAUACGUAAUUGCCCUACACAUGGUUUGAAUUUAUGGAUGAUCAUACAAAAAAUUUAUGUCGGAUUGAAUUUUGCUUCUAGAAAUCUUUUAGAUUCAGCCGCGGGAGGCACUUUUAUGGAAAUCACUUUAGGAGAAGCUACUAAACUCCUAGAUAAUAUUAUGGUUAAUUAUUCUCAAUGGCACCCGAAAGAUCCACUAGUAAAAAAGUUCAUGCGAUUGAGGAGAUUAAUGUUUUGAGUGGAAAGAUGGAUGGACUUAUGAAAUUGUUUGCUAAUAAGAGUGUUUAUUCUUAUCCUAAUGAUAUGCCUUUGUCCACUUUGAUUGAGAAUAAUAAUGAAUCUAUGGAUGUGAAUUUUGUUCGUAGGAACAAUUUUGGUAACAGCGCAUACAGAGGAAACUUUAAUUCUAGGCCGUUUCUAAUAAUUCCUCUAAUAAUUAUGGUAAUUUCUACAACAACUCUUAUGGCAAUUUUAAUAAGAUGCUCUCUGAUUUUGAGAUUAGUGUUAAAGAAUUUAUGAGUUUGCAAAAGAAUUUCAAUGCUUUGGUUGAAGAAAAAUUGCUUAAGAUUGAUGAGUUGGCUAGGAACGUGGAUAGAAUUUCUCUUGAUGUUGAUUCUUUGAAACUUAGAUCUAUCCCACCUAAGCAUGAUAUAAAUGAGUCUCUCAAAGCCAUGAGAAUUUCCAUUGAUGAGUGCAAAGAAAGAACCGCUAGAAUGCAUGCUAAAAAAGAUUGCUUUGUGAAAGCGUGUUCUUCUAGUUUUCAUGAUAAUAAUGAUGAAGAUCUAAAAGUGAUUGAUGUGACUCCUAUUAAAUCUUUGUUUUCCAAUAUGAAUCUUGAUAAAUAUGUGAAUGGAGAUGAGUCAACUUUAGUUGAAAGGCGUCCCAAUGAUUCGGAGUUUUUAGAUUGAUGCUAAAAUUAAUAAAAGUCGGAUUGAAGAGGUCAAAACUUUACAUAGCAAUGAACCCACUAUUUUGGAUUUCAAGGAAUUUAAUUAUGAUAAUUGCGCUUUGAUAGAUUGUAUUUCCUUGUUGCAAUCCGUGCUAAAUUCUCCUCAUGCCUAUGAUCAAAAUAAAGCUUUCACUAAACAUAUCGUUGAUGCCUUAAUGCAAUCUUAUGAAGAAAAGAUUGAACUAGAAGUUUCUAUUCCUAGAAAAAUUUAUGAUGAGUGGGAACCUACUAUCAAAAUUAAGAUUAACGAUUAUGAAUGCUAUGCUUUGUGUGAUUUGGGUGCUAGUGUUUCCACGAUUCCAAAAACUUUGUGUGAUAUGUUAGGUUUCUGUGAAUUUGAUGAUUGUUCUUUAAAUUUGCACCUUGCAGAUUCCACCAUUAAGAAACCUAUGGGAAGGAUUAAUGAUGUUCUUAUUAUUGCAAAUAGAAAUUAUGUGCCCAUAGAUUUCAUCGUUCUUUGUCGGUGUACAAAAAGAGGGGUGCAUUUUUGUACCCCUAUACCUGUGCACGGGCAGUCAGAGCCGCGCCUACGGUCACACCAAGCAGAGCAAGGGAGGUGAGCCAAGGUAAGACCGGAGCCCAAGAUAGUGAGAGCAACACCAACGCCAAAACCACAAGGAGCAGAGGGACGAAGAAGGCUCCCCCGGCAAGACCCUUGCCGGGGCAGCCUCAGCGGCCCUGGCAAGACCCUUGCCGGGACAGCUCGCCCCACACCAACAAAGCGAGCCACCCUUGAGUCCACGGUCCCCAACGCCAUCACACACGUGGGGCCAGGGCUCGGGGAGGCACCUCUGUGGUGGCAUGCAGAUCUUUGUGAAGACAUAUUCAAGAUCAGAUGAGGAUUAGAAGACGACGAUCCUCGGCAAGAUCCUUGCCGAGGAAGGCCACCAGACCCCCGGCAAGGUCCUUGCCGGGGACGACAGUGCGCCACGGCAAGACCCUUGCCGGGCCACACGGCAAGACCCUUGCUGGGCCACACGGCAAGACCCUUGCCGGACCACCCGACAAGGCCCACACCAACCAAGCUUCCACUGCCGUUCACAUCCAGCUGCCAGCCCAACCAGCUGGGCGGGCACCUGCGUGGCAACAUGCAGCUCCCAAGCCAACUCAUCGAGCGCCUGCGUGGCGGCAUGCAGAUCUUCGUGAAGGCUCCACCACCGCACCACCUCAGCUGCCUGCCUGCCUACAUGGCACCGCACGCAUCGCUGGCCAAGACGCGUGUCGAGGCGAGGAGGAGCGGCGACGGACGGGACGGGCCUCAUCCCCGUCCCCGAUAAAGCAAGGGGACACCUAAGCUACGCAUUAAAUGUGUCUUGUCCUGUAAUACGAGCGAUAAGCUCAAGCGACUGUACGCCUUUCCACCUCCUGUGUGCCACUGUGGCAGCCCCUUCUGACUAUAAAAGGAGGCCCCUGGCAUACUGGAGAAGGAUUCGGCUCUUUGGAACCACGCACUGAUCACAGCUAGUUCGAGAGCUCAAGAACUCUCCGAAAUACACCCACCAAAGCAGGACUAGGGUUUUACGCAUCCUCGCGGCCCGAACCUGGAUGAACGAACUGUGUGCUCUCUAUUAGAUCCGCUCUUCUCUCAACCCUGCGCCCCACCAACCGUAGUAGGAAUUCUUUUGAUCCCAUAGGUGUCGUUUCCCCGACAUCUUUGGCGCGCUAGGUAGGGGGCGCAGUUGUGAGAAUCAACUUUAGCAGCUAGUUCAACGUUUCUUCAUCGCCAUGGCUCCCAAGAAGAGGACGACCACGGCGAUCGGCUCAUCAGGAGCCGAAUGGCCUAUUCCGACGCGGGCGAGCAGCGGGCCAGUCGCGGACAGGACCCGGGGCGCGGCCCGCGAGCACCAACGCCGCCCUAGCAGCCGGAGCUUGGAAGGCGACGACGCUCAUGUGCCUGGCAACGAGCCGCACGUCGCCAAAUCCAAAGAUGGAGACAGGCCCUCCGCAGGCGGCGCGGGGCCCUCCAAGGGCGUCAUCGCACCGCCUGAAGGCGAUGCGGCGGCCUCGAAGGCACCCACUCCGGCAAGCGCACCUCUUCGGAGUGUAGUGCUCCCGUCGAGGACGUGCCAGAGAGCUCCACCGGCAAGAGCAAGAAAUCCAGGGCCACGCCGCCGAAGACCAAGAAGGUAUCCGUCAAGGAGGAUGGCACGGGAGGGGCUUUCACUAUAAGCUCCACCCUCGACAGCAAAUAGGAAGACGCCCUCGUCGCCUUCCUGCGGGCGAAGGUCGACGUGUUUGCAUGGCAAGCAUCCGACAUCCCCGGCAUUCCCAAGGAGGUGAUUGAGCACCACCUUGUUGUUUGCCCCCAUGCGCGACCCGUCAAGCAGAAGGUCAGGAAGCAGGCAUUGGAACGACAAGAGUUCAUCAUGGAGGAGAUCUGGAAACUGGGAGCGGCGGGUUUGGUGAGAGGAGUGCUCCAUCCAACGUGGCUGGCCAAUCCAGUGGUAGUACGCAAGGCAAAUGGGAAGUGGAGACUGUGUAUUGAUUACACAGAUAUCAAUAAGGCUUGUCCCAAGGACCCCUUCCCAUUGCCACGCAUCGACCAAAUUGUUGACUCCAUGGCUGGGUGUGAUUUGCUAUCAUUCCUCGACGCCUACUCCGGCUACCACCAGAUUUUCAUGACAAGAGAAGACGAAGAGAAGACAGCAUUCAUCACCCCAUGUGGCACGUAUUGCUUUAUACGGAUGCCUUUCAGGUUGAAGAGUGCUGGCUCGAUGUUUGCAAGGGCAGUCCAAAUUGGUUUUGAACCCCAGCUCCAUAGAAAUAUGGAGGCUUAUAUGGAUGACAUAGUGGUCAAAACCAAGGUCAGGACGACCCUCAUACCAGAUUUGGAAGAGACAUUUGCAAACCUGCGCAAGAUCAACCUCAAGUUGAACCCUGAGAAGUGCGUCUUUGGCAUCCCGUCCGGCAAGCUUCUCGGGUUCUUUGUGUCACAGCGUGGGAUCGAGGCAAACCCGGACAAGAUCAAGGCGAUCGAGCAGAUUGAGGCGCCCAGGCGGGUCCAGGAUGUGCGUCGGCUUGCUGGUUGCAUUGCCGCCAUGAGCAGAUUCAUCUCCAAGUCCGCCGAGCGCGCCCUCCCCUUUUUCAAGAUUUUGAGAAAGGCGGGCCCAAUGGAGUGGACUCCAAAGGCUGAAGCAGCGCUGCAAGAUUUGAAGAAAUACCUCUCCUCCACGCCAAUACUAGUCGCACCUAAACCACAAGAACCGUUGCUGCUAUACUUAGCGGCAACAAACCAAGUGGUCAGUGUCGCACUAGUAGCGCGGAGAGAGGUUGACGCCGAAGUGAUAGCGGCAACGGAGCCUGAUGCCAUUGGUGCAGAAACGACACAGCCAGUCGAAGUGUUGCCGAAGAAGAAGAUGAUGCAGCACCCAGUCUACUUUGUUAGCUCCCUCUUGCAGGGAGCUAGAUCAAGGUACUCCGGUGUGCAGAAACUGCUCUUCGGCCUCCUCAUGGCCUCGAGGAAGCUGCGUCAUUACUUCCAAGCACACGAGAUCACUGUCGUCACCCGCCUCCCUUUGCAACGGAUACUGCAUAAUCCAGACGCAACUGGAAGGAUUGUGGAGUGGGCACUGGAGCUGUCUAGCUUUGGCCUCAAGUUUGAGAGUACUUCGACGAUUCAAAGUAGAGUCUUGGCGGAGUUCAUCGCAGAAUGGACCGCGACGCCUGAUGAAGAAGUUCAGGAGACUGCUCUUCCCGGCAAGGAGGCAAGUUGCGAUUGGAUCAUGUACUUUGAUGGGGCCUUCUCGCUACAAGGCGCCGGGGCUGGCGUACUGCUUGUCGCGCCCACCGGAGAGCACCUCAAGUACGUGGUCCAAAUGCACUUCCCUAGGGAGACGUCGAUGAACAAUACUGCCGAAUACGAGGGAUUGCUCGUCGGUCUCAGGAUCGCGGCAGACCUCGGGAUCAAGAAACUCAUCGUCGGGGGCGACUCGCAGCUUGUCGUCAAACAAGUCAACAAGGAUUACCAGAGUCCGUUGAUGAAGGCCUACAUAGAUGAAGUGAGAAAGCUGGAAGAGCGUCUUGACGGUAUACAGGCGGAGCACGUUCCCCGAGCGGAUAACGACAUCACCGACUACUUGUCAAAAUGCGCUGCCCUCAAGCUGCCUGUGGAACCAGGUACCUUUGUGCUUCGGCUGACUCAGCCAUCCGUUGAACCAUCAACAGAGCAGAACAAGAGAAGGAAAUCAGGGCCCGGCAAGUACUUUCCCGCCGAGCUCCCCGGAGCCGCCGGCAAAGAUGUUGCCGGGGACGCUGAGCCGUCCAUAGGACGACCGGCUCUGGCAGGGCGUCAAGCUCUUGCCGUAGAGACGACCGCUCCUAUGGCGGAAGAAAUGCCUUUAGUCCUCGCUGUCGAGCCUCAGGCUCUGACAUGGGCGUAGCAUACUGUCCGAUUCCUCCAAACAAGGGAACUUCCUGAGGAGCAGCAAGAAGCGGAGAAAGUAGCCCGUUGGUCAUCUAUGUAUCAGUUCGUCGAUGACGUCCUAUACAGAAAAAGACCGAACGGUGUGAAAUUGAAGUGUAUCCCCCGGGAGGAAGGACUGUGGCUGUUGGCAGAGAUACAUAGAGGCAUAUGUGGAUCCCACAUAGGGUCAAGAGCCCUUGCCGGCAAAGCGUUCCGGCAAGGUUUCUUCUGGCCCACUGCCCUCCAGGUUGCGACGACACUAGUAACCAAGUGUAAAGCGUGUCAGUUUCAUUCAAAGAAGCUUCAUCAACCAGCUCAAGCCCUUCAAACCAUUCCUCUCUCCUGGCCAUUUUUGGUCUGGGGGCUCGACAUACUGGGCCCCUUUCCCCGCGCUGUCGGGGGCUUUGAGUACUUGUACGUUGCAAUCGACAAGUUCACAAAGUGGUCAGAAGUGGAGGCGGUGAGGAAGGUGACAGCCAAGUCAGCCGUCAAGUUCUUCAAGGGACUAGUAUGCCGUUUUGGUGUACCCAACAGAGUCAUCACCGACAACGGCACGCAGUUCACAAGCCGCACCUUCAUGCAAUACAUCCAAGACCUCGGCAGCAGAGUCAGUUUCGCUUCCGUUGCUCACCCACGAAGCAAUGGCCAAGCUGAGAGGGCAAAUGCUGAAGUGCUGCGAGGCCUAAGAACGAAGACCUUUGACAGGCUGCACAAGAGUGGAAGGCGUUGGAUUGAUGAGUUGCCAACAGUCCUUUGGUCGAUCAGGACGACGCCAAAUCGAGCCACCGACCAGACACCCUUUGCCCUGGUAUACGGGGCAGAAGCAGUUCUCCCCACGGAACUCAUAUACGGGUCACCUCCAGUGCUCGCUUACGACGAGCUUGAGCAAGAGCAAUUGCGGCAAGAUGACGCGACGCUCCUUGAGGAAGAUCGUCUUCGGGCAGCUGUGAGAGCAGCGCGCUACCAGCAAGCCUUGCGCCGCUACCAUAGCCGCAAGGUUCAUGCCCGAAGCUUUGAGGAAGGCGACCUUGUUCUUUGGCGCGUUCAAUCGGCCAAGAAUACCAACAAGUUGACGCCAAAGUGGGAAGGCCCUUAUCGGGUAAUACGAGUCACCAGGCCCGGCGCAGUCCGCCUGGAGACCGAAGAUGCUGUUCCGGUGAGCAAUUCCUGGAACAUCGAGCAUCUUCGCAAGUUUUACCCAUAACGUGCGGCUUGUCGGGCCCCCCGGCAAGCCACCUUUUGUACAAGCCUUGCCGGCAAGGCAUGUAACCCUUUGUACAAAGCCAGGCGCAGACCCUGAGCAUAAAUAAAUGAAGUGCUGGCGCCCUAAGUUAUAGCAUGCAUGCUAGGUUGAGUCUCCUCCUCGGUUAGGGUUGAUAGUGCUUAGCGGCAACUAACCCCUGGUCUAGAGGUCGAGUAUGCGUCUUUCAGUCCUCUUUGAUUUGCAGGGCAUGUGGACACUUCUACUAAGCCACUCGGAAGAAAAGAAACGGAUCGGCGCUCCGACCCCGGCAAGCCAAAGUUGCCUGGGGCUGAAGACACAAAGAUCCGGCCCCGGCAAGCCAAGGUUUCCGGGGGCUGCCAACCUAGAUAAGUCAUUCAUCUCCUGCCGUGUAUUUCUGUAUGGAUUGGGACGUAUGAAACCUCGUUUAUUUCCAGAAUACCGUGCUCCCCUCUUUCCUGUGCCCGGGGAUAAACCCCUAGGCCAGAAUUUGGUCGUAGCCGCGGUAGGAGGGUAACGAACGAGGGGCCUAACUCUACUUCGCCCCUGUCUCCGCCGAAAGCAUGAGAAUGGUCGACCGAAGUGAGAGGGACGGCAAGGCCUAUUGCCGGGCGACAAUGUUUAUCUUAAAAAUAACAAGCACUCGUUCCUUGGCAUGGGCCUCGCUCACGCACAAAGGACCCGGCAAACACCCCUUUUCAUUAAAACAUCCCAUACAGGUACAGUUCAUACAGAACGAAAAACAUGAGCAAGGGGAUUACAAGCUUUAAGUUCUUCUAAAGCCCAAAGGCUUAUAAACUAAAAAGAGAUAAGGUGCCCGUAAUCCCUUUCUUGUCCCUCUCCUCAAGAGGCAGAGCAAGAUGGCGAAAGGGAAAAAAGAGCGCCUAGGCGAGGUAUGAGCAACAGCAGGCACCAGGAGAACAUCCCGAUGGCCACCCCGACGAGAGGCUGGUGAUGAUGAUGACGCGGGAAGAGCUGGAAGACGAGGCGGCAGGACCGGCAAUACGCGACGAAGACGUCGGUGCCCGCGUACUCCGAGUUGACGGCCCGCCAUCCGCCUUCUUCGCCUUCCCCGAGCCUCCUACGCCAGCCGCCCAAGGAGGCGACCUGAGAAGUUCAAGGGGCUGGGUGCAGAUGCUACUGCUGCCGACGCCACCUCGGGACGGCGGGACCGACACCUAGUCAGACCCGUCAUCCUGCCGCCUACUACCCUCAUCGUGGCUGUCGCUGUCCUCCUCGUCACUCUCGCUCGAGGAGGAAUCUUCAUCGUCAGAAUCUCCAUCGGAGGAGCUCUCCACAUAGCACUUCAGGCGAGUCCCGAAGUCUCCGAAGACCUUGACGGAGAGCAGGCCGUCCUCCAUUAAUUUGAAGUAGAGGACGAGCCCCGCCGUCAGGCUGUGGAUGCGAGCGAACGUCUUCCAACCGCGGUGGAGGUACAUGACCCGAGGGGCUUGGAAGUCGACGUCGACCCGCGUGCCCCCAUUCCCACAGCCCCUCAUAUGCAAUCUGAGGGAUUGGGGCGGGUCACUCUCCAUCUCUCGAGCAAACGGAGCGGGAAGACGAAGACGGCGACGCGGAAGCCGGCGCUGCCUGAUGAAGAACUCGCGGGGCUGGUCUCCGACAUGGCCUUCCAUCGGGAAAAGCAUCAUUGGCGGGGGCAAAGCUGGCGCGCCGCCCCGACCUCCUCUUCCCCGAGCACUGCGACCUCUACCACGGCCUCGCCCACCAACUCGUCCCCUCCCCUUCCCCUCGCAGCCGGCUCCGCCACCGCGGGCUCAGGAGGAGGAGGGACGCGCUGUCGAGCGGUGACCCUCGCCGCCACAGUCGAGGGACCCGGGUUCCCUUUCUCCAUGGCGAGUGAAAGGAAGAAGCAGAAGCAAGAGGAGAAGGAUGACAGAAGAAUGCGGGACGCCAUCGCCCCUUCCCCCUCUUUAUAACGGGACGGGGUCGAGGCUCGACCGCCCCGCUCGGCCAAUCCAGCCACCGGAGGCGCAGGGAAUCAGGACCGACCCGCUGCCCCAACCAGCGACGGCCCGGUUUCCCGCCUCCACCCCUUGCCACCCCAGGCGCAUGAAGGACGCGUGGCGGACGUGCAGAACUGAGGGGACGGGUGAAGCAACAUCUCCCCACCCCGUGAUUGUGGGGAGUGGACGUCUUGAAGACCGCGACCCAGCCCCGUUCAGUAAAUGAGCCGCGCCUCCACGCCUCCCUCUUUUUAUGGGGAAGGCGCGAGCCGCCUCUUUACUAUGAUAUGACGCAUGCAUGUGCAAACCGCCCCACGCAUGCCGCCCACGUCACGCACACCCCUCCACGCCGCGCCGCGCGCGCGGGUCGUGGGAAGCGCAGCGCGCGAAAAGUAUUACCGCGGUAAAAACCGCCCCGCCUGCCCGCGCACCGUUCUGGGCCUAGCCCAACAACGCGUCACGCUUAUGUGUGGCCCAGGCCCAGGGGCUCCUGUCGGUGUACAAAAAGAGGGGUGCAUUUUUGUACCCCUAUACCUGUGCACGGGCAGUCAGAGCCGCGCCUACGGUCACACCAAGCAGAGCAAGGGAGGUGAGCCAAGGUAAGAUCGGAGCCCAAGAUAGUCAGAGCAACACCAAGGCCAAAACCACAAGGAGCAGAGGGACGAAGCAGGCUCCCCCGGCAAGACCCUUGCCGGGCAGCCUCAGCGGCCCUGGCAAGACCCUUGCCGAGGCAGCUCGCCCCACACCAACAGAGCGAGCCACCCUUGAGUCCACGGUCCCCAACGCCAUCACACACGUGGGGCCAGGGCUCGGGGAGCCACCUCUAUGGUGGCAUGCAGAUCUUUGUGAAGACAUAUUCAAGAUCAGAUGAGGAUUAAAAGACGACGAUCCUCGGCAAGAUCCUUGCCGAGGAAGGCCACCAGACCCCCGACAAGGUCCUUGCCGGGGACGAUAGCGCGCCACGGCAAGACCCUUGCCGGGCCACACGGCAAGACCCUUGCCGGGCCACCCGACAAGGCCCACACCAACCAAGAUUCCACCGCCAUUCACAUGCAGCUGCCAGCCCAACCAGCUGGGCGGGCACCUGCGUGGCAACAUGCAGCUCCCAAGCCAACUCAUCGAGCGCCUGCGUGGCGGCAUGCAGAUCUUCGUGAAGGCUCCACCACCGCACCACCUCAGCUGCCUGCCUGCCUACAUGGCACCACACGCAUCGCUGGCCCAGACGCGUGUCGAAACGAGGAGGAGCGGUAACGGACGGGACGGGCCUCAUCCCCGUCCCCGAUAAAGCAAGGGGACACCUAAGCUACGCAUUAAAUGUGUCUUGUCCUGUAAUACGAGCGAUAAGCUCAAGCGACUGUAUGCCUUUCCACCUCCUGUGUGCCACUGUGGCAGCCCCUUCUGACUAUAAAAGGAGGCCCCUGACAUACUGGAUAAGGAUUCGGCUCUUUGGAACCACGCACUGAUCACAGCUAGUUCGAGAGCUCAAGAACUCUCCGAAAUACACCCACCAAAGCAGGACUAGAGUUUUACGCAUCCUCGCGGCCCGAACCUGGAUAAACGAACAGUGUGCUCUCUGUUAGAUCCACUCUUCUCUCAACCCCACGCCCCGCCAACCGUAGUAGGGAUUCUUGUGAUCCCAUAGGUGUCGUUUCCCCGACAUUCUUGAUAUAGAUUGCAAUCUUACAUGUCCUAUUAUUCUUGGUAGACCUUUCCUUAGAACGAUUGGUGCAAUUAUUGACAUGAAAGAAGGAAAUAUUAGAUUCCAAUUUCCAUUAAGGAAAGGCAUGGAACACUUUCCUAGAAAGAAAAUUAAAUUACCCUAUGAAUCUAUUUGGAGAGCCACUUAUGAAUUGCAUAACAAAGAUGGCAAUACCUAGAUAUAUUCUUGCUUUUUAUGCCUAGCUAGGGGCGUUCAACGAUAGCGCUUGUUGGGAGGCAAACCAAUUUUAUUUUUGUUCUUUGCUUUUUGUUCUUGUUUAGUAAUGAAUAAUUCAUCUAGCCUCUGGUUAGAUGUGGUUUUGUGUUUUAAUUAGUGUUUGUUCCAACUAAUACCUUUAGGAUAACCUACGGUGAUAGUUAAUUUGAUCUUGCUGAAAAACACAAACUUUUGCGCGCAUGAAAAUAAUUUUCAUAAAUCAUAGGAAUGUUCUUUUCAGUUGAUUCUUUUUGCAGAAGAUUAAUAAACAAAUUUCUUAGGACUUCCUAAUUUCACAGAAUUUUUGGAGUUACAGAAGUAUAUGUAUGAAUCAGAUUGCUACAGACUAUUCUGUUUUUGAUAGAUUCUGUUUUUGUGUGUUUUUUGCUUAUUUUGGUGAAUCUAUAAGUAGUAUCGGGGGUGAGGGAGUCCUGGACUAAGGGGUUCUCGGGCGUCUGGCCUGUUAGCCAUGGGUCGAACUGGUGCGCUGUGAAGAUAUGAAGACCGAAGACUGCACCCGUGUCCGGAUGGAACUCUCCUUGGCGUGGAAAUCAAGCUGGGCGAUCAAAUAUGUAGAUUCCUUUCUUUGUAACCGACCUUGUAUAACCCUAGAUCCUCCCGAUGUCUAUAUAAAUCGAGGAGUUAGUCCGAGGGAGGAGAGAGACUCAUAACCAUAGUCAUACAGGCUAGACUCUUGGGGUUUAGCCAUUACGAUCUCGUGGUAGAUCAACUCUUGUAACACCCAUAUUCAUCAAGAUCGAUCAAGUACGAAGUAUGGUAUUACCUCCAUAGAGAGGGCCCGAACCUGGGUAAACAUUGUGUCCCCCGUCUCCUGUUACCAUCGAUCCUAGACGCACAGUUCGGGAUCCCCUACCCGAGAUCCGCCGGUUUUGACACCGACAUUGGUGCUUUCAUUGAGAGUUCCACUGUGUCGUCGUUAAAGGGGUUGAUGGCUCGCCUUGUCGUCAAGGAAAAUAUCACCUCUGGAGGAACCCUGGCCCCAGGCCAAACCCUCCAGCUGGGUGGCUUCAUCAUGACCGCCUGUCCGGCCCUUAAGCCAAUGAUGACCUCUCGAGUCAUCGAAAAUCGCCUCCGCGUUGAUCCCGAACACUCCAAAUGGAUGGAUCCGACGGAGCUAUCGUCUUUAAACGAACUCCUAGAUCGCAUCGCCGCCUUGGGAGUCGCUACAGACUACGAUCGGAUUGGGCUUAAACCCAACCAGAGAGAAAUUAAAACUCCACCGAGCACCCACCAGAUAGCGGUAGUCGAGGAGCAAGACAACUCUUCCCCUAUAUUGAGGACAAACUAUGUUCGGAUCUCCGAUCUCUAAAAGCCGGACACCCACCGGCAUAAAGACACACCUUGUCCCCCGAACAUAGAAUCGGACGGCAAGCCUAAAAAGCCAGUUGAUAUCCCGAAGCCCGAACUGUUAUGUCCGGAAGAUCUUCAGACUCCGGAUCCAAAGUUGAGCGCCGUGCUCGUCGUCGAACGAGAACAGGACAGACACAAAUUCCCUCUUCAGGAGCCAGUAUACUACGUAUCCACUGUCCUCACACCAUGCAAAUCCCGAUACCCCCAUUAUCAAAAAAUAGCAUACGCGGUCUUCAUGGCAUCCCGAAAGCUACGACACUACUUCCAGGAGUGUUCGAUCACGGUGGCUUGUGAAGUACCACCCAAUGACAUAAUAAACAACCGCGAUGCUACGGGCCGGAUUGCCAAAUGGGCCAUUGAGCUCCUUCCAUUUGAUAUAACAUACAAACCGCGUCGAGCCAUUAAAUCCCAAAUACUGGCUGACUUCAUCGCUGAAUGGACAGAGGCCGAACUCCCUAAAGAAUACGACACAUAUUCCAACUGGGUUAUGUAUUUUGAUGGUUCCAAAAUGCUGGCAGGACUAGGAGCGGGUGUCGUUCUGACGUCCCCCACCGGACACGUCGUCCAGUACGUACUCCAAAUAUUAUACACGGACUCCAAUAACGCAGCCAAAUACGAGGCCUUAUUACAUGGUCUUCAGAUGGCUGUCUCCAUGGGCAUACAACGCCUGGAAGUGCGUGGGGACUCAAACCUCGCAAUAUCUCAAAUAAAUGGAGACUUCGAUGCCAAAGAUCCAAAGAUGACGGCUUAUCGCAACGCCAUCCUAAAAAUGUCGGCUCGGUUCGAGGGGCUCGAGUUUCAUCACGUGGCCCGAGAAAGUAAUCAAGCGGCGGACGUCCCUGCUCGCAUCGGCGCCAAGCGCGACCCCGUCCCAUCUAACAUCUUUCUGGAAAGGCUUUUUAAGCCAUCCGUGAUGUGUCAAGGGGAGAGCGGCAACACUAGUCCGGAUCCGAACUCAACCAUAGAUCCCGAACACACCGGCAUCAUCGGGGGCUCAGCCACCGAAAUAACACCAUCGGCCCAUCUCAUUAUGGCAGUCAUUGCCCCAUGGACCAAACCCUUCUUGGCCUACCUUGAUAGGAAGGAACUCCCUGAGGAUCAGAAUGAGGCCUGCCGCAUUGUCCGGCGUUCGAAGCCCUACAAAGUUCACGACGGAGAGCUCUACAAGAAAAGCCCUACCGGAGUCCUUCAAAGAUGUAUCUCCGAGGAGGAGGGGCGGCAGCUCCUGGCUGAAACUCAUGCCGGUCUCGGCGGGCACCACGCCGCAGCUCGGGCCCUUGUUAGCAAGGCCUUCCGUACAGGUUUUUAUUGGCCGACGGCCCGAGCAGACGCACAGGACCUUGUCCAACGUUGCAUCGGAUGCCAGCUUUUCGCCAACCAGAGCCAUAUGCCACCCACCGCUCUGCAAACAAUCCCCAUUACUUGGCCUUUUGCGGUCUGGCGGCUUGAUAUGGUCGGACCCCUUAAAGGAGGAAGCCAUAAGAAAAAAUAUCUGCUGGUCAUGGUGGAUAAAUUCACCAAAUGGAUAGAGGCCAAACCGGUUAAAACGGCCGUAGUCGGACCAGUGAUAGACUUUAUAUCUGGCGUUGUACACCGUUAUGGUGUUCCACACAGCAUCAUCACCGACAACGGCUCCAACUUUACAGCCGACGAGGUGAAAAAUUGGUGCGCCAAUCUGGGCAUUAAGCUCGAUUACGCCUCCGUCUAUCACCCACAAACAAACGGUCAAGUCGAACGGGCUAAUGGUCUUAUUAUGAGCGGCAUCAAAACCAGAUUAGUACGGUCUUUGAAAGAAUCAGACAAGCACUAGGUUGAGGAGCUUGACUCCGUACUCUGGGGGCUGCGGAGCACGCCCAACCGCACUACUGGAUAUACACCUUUCUUCAUGGUGUACGGCGCUGAAGCAGUAUUACCCUGCGACAUUAUUCAUGACUCACCUCGAAUGCGCAUGUACGAAGAGAGAGAGGCCGAGCUUGAUCGGCAGGACAGCUUAGAUGCCCUGGAGGAGGAGCGCGACGUCGCAAAAGCCCGUUCCGCAUUUUAUCAACAGCAGGCUCGCAGGUAUCAAAGUAGAGAAGUGCGGACCAAGACUUAUAAUGUUGGCAAACUCGUUCUAUGCCUACCGGAGAAGAAAAAGGACAAACUCAAGCCCAAGUGGGAGGGUCCCUUCAUCAUUGACGAAGUUCUCAGUGGAGGAGCAUACCGCCAGCGUGACGCGUCAGAUAACCGCCUAGAGCUGAACCCCUGGAACGCGGCCAGACUCCAAAGACUCUAUGCCUAGCGCCGGACUAUUGGUCCGUCUCCUUCUCCCUGUUGUUUACAUCAUCUUUCCUUUUUUUUCUCUCUCUCUCUCUCUCUUUUCGUUUUUUCACUCCAGCCUUAAAGCUUUCGUGCGGUUAGACCAUGCACCCCUGACGUAUACAUCUUUAAAUAUGUACAUCCACUAUACCUGGGGGCUUCUUGGACAGAAGCUUGCUAUUAUUAUCUUUCGAGCAUCAAGCUCAUCACAUAUGCGUUCUUUUCCAUAUGUACCUUUUCUUCGCCAUUAUAUGCAUCGAUAUGACUUAAGUUGUGGCCAAGCUGGGUUGCCUGGCUCCUGUGCUUAUGCCCUACGUUCCCGUUAGUUCGGCUAGGGCAUAAAGGGAGCACCUCUGCGAUUGUUGCUGCCGGGUCAUCGGAUGUGUACCUCAGACUGGGUGAAGCCGAAAGCUAGCAUUCUUAAGGGAAUAUUCGGUCGGUGAAUUAAAGACGUUUUCGCAUUUACUCCAUUGUAAACCCACAGAAGUUACACAUACUGCGAUUUUUCAAUCACAGUUCGGACAUGUACAUUAACGCAUGCACACCCAGGGAAAGGAACCCUUAAUGGAACUAUUCUCUCUGGAAGAUGUUUCUUACAAUCACAAUGUAAUAUAACAUAGCUAGUCGGAUACAACUUGUCUAUUCAAGCAACUAUGACCCCUACGCCUGGUUUCCACGCGUGCCCCGGUAUAUUUUGCUGCUCGGGUAUUCAGAAACACUCUGCACCUUCGGGCCUAGAGGUCGAAGCGAAAAGGUCUGCCAUGACAAUCGUUUUUACAAUCCAGCUAGGGAAAAAUAUGUCAAGGAAAAUACAUAGUCAUUUGGACUCAUAAAUUUCCUCCUCUAUACCAUCCAACAGGUUGUCUAACUUACAAUCCUGUUGGGAAUACUUGGCAGCUACUGCUACUUGGUCAUACACCAAAUUAACGGGAACUUCUUUUCCGUCUGACCCUAGAGGUCCGACCCGGGCCAUGCGAUUUGGAUCAAGCUUGGUAUACCAUGUUUUCACCAUGGCCCAGGCUUCUCGCGCACCCUCCCGGCAGGCUGAUAAUUUCCACAAUCGGAUACACCGCCACACUCCCUUGAAUAGCUCUACAAGCUCCUCCAUACUUCCUGGAGGGGAGGCGGAUGGCCAUAAGGCCUUGGCAACACUCCGCAUUGCCUGCCGAGCUUGCUCGUGCAUUUGGGACAGCCCUUGCAGCAGAUCGCUUGACGAUCCGGAUACCUCCUGUUUGGGAUGGCCCAUCAGCAUACCUACAAAACAUAACUAUGUCAGAGACUUUCAUCUCCAAAUUACUAUAAGGUAAGUUCGGUCACAUACUGAAUAUGCCGCCAUGCAGCCUUUUAUUUUCUUUUACGGAGUCAGCCAGCUGGGCCCGCACAUCUUUCAGCUCUUCGCCCAGCUGGGUGUUCAAAUCUUGGAGCUUGUUCUUUUCCUCCUUGGCUUGGUUCAGCACUCGCUCGCCUGCGGCGUGUAGUCUUUUGGCCUCUUUUUCUCCCGCCAGUGCGGUUUUCAGCUUCUCCUCCAGUUGAUCUGACGAUCCUGUCAUGAGAUAAGCAACAGUGUUAGCAUAACUGGUAUAUAAUUACUAUUUCUCGAUGGAGGGACAUAUUACCAGAGGGCGCCUUCUUGAACCCUUCUAGUUCGGCGGUGACAGCAUUUAGCUGUGUCUGACACUUUUCUAGCUCUUGGGCUAGCAGGCCGUUCUUCUUUGUAAGAACCUGGUCAUACAACGAUCCUUAAAUCAUUUGUACCAACUGCUUCAAGUCUCGGGGGCUACUGGUAUAUAAUUAUCACAUUUGGACAAAAUAAACUUACCUGCAUAUCUUUCAGAUAUUGUCCUGUGGCUCUGGCAAGCCCAUCUCGAGCAGUCCGGAUGUAUGCAUCAGCCGAGUUGAAGGCGUUGAAUGCUUCUGUUGAAAAGCCGGGUUCACGAAGAACGGCUCUCUGGCGCCGAUGAUUCAUGGCGCUCUCCACCUCCGAGUUGGUGAUGGAUACAUCAUCCGAAUCCUCGGCUGGAGGACAAUCCGGCGUCACCCCCGUAUCAGCCCCCACCUUUACGGUGGGAUCUGGAUCCUGGCUGUGGGAAGUGUGACCGGCCGGACCCCUAGAUAUAGUCCGGCACGCCCUUUUCCUGAUACACGACAAACAUAAAAUUCACAAUUGAUGUGACUGCUGAAGAACAUAUUUGCAAAUCCAUACCUCUUCGAUGAAGGUUUGGCCGUAUCUUCAUUUGCCAUCCUCUUCGAAGGCCUGCCCGGCGUGGGGGCCGCUAUCUUUGGAGACGCCCCGGGGGCGGAAUGGUGCGCCGAACGCCUCCCCUUUUGUGCAUAGGAUGGUGCGGUGGGUGAGGCAGAAUGAGAGAACUCUUUCGGACAAGGUGUCUCCUGAUUACUUACCUGUGAAGCAGGGAGAAGACCGGGAUAGUCGGCAAUGAUGGCCACUUCUGUGCCAUCGUAGCUUGUUUGGUAAAACACCCCAUUCUCGAGCACUACAAAUAUAUCCGGAUCUUCUUCGAAUCCAGGGUCAAGGUCCCGAUUGUGGCCCUCGGGCUGCGGGGCGGGGCUGUGAAGCCCCUCGGAAAUCUUCCGCCAGUGCUAUCAUAAAUGGACGGGUUAAUAUUCAUUGAACAUAGCUCAGGGAGUGGAAUGAGUAGAGCAGAGGAGUUGGGGGCUUACCCAGCUAGGAGGACUAUACAUAGAAUAUCCUUCUCUAUGCUUGAUGCGCAGGAAUUCCUCUUCCUCCCCUUUGAACAGUUCGGCCAAUAUUUUGGCCAGGGCGGCAGGGGUAUCUGGACCUUUCUUGCCGCAGCGGGAGGCGUCAUCUUCCCCAUUGUAGUGCCACAUGGGAAGUCCUCUGUAUUGGAGUGGCUAGACCCUCUGCACUUUAGAGGUCGCCAUUACUUCGACUAUCGUAUAUUCGGACUGGGUGAGCAUCCUUAUCUUGCUCAAGAGUUGGCGAACUUCCGCACUAUCUUCCUCCUCGAAGCUCCGAGGGCACCAGCUGUGGCGUUUCUUCAAAGGAACACUUGUGAACUCAGGAAGACCUCUCCGGACUGGGUCCGGAAGUACGACGUCCUCAAUGUAGAACCACUCGGAAGGCCACUCUUCGGACGCUUUCUUUGGUGUUCUGGAUAGGUAUCCGGUAUCGGCAAUACGCCAUAUUUUGGCUCCGCCCACUUCGAAUAUUGAUCCCUCGUGGUUGCGCGGGACGAGGCAAAAUAACUUUCUCCACAGUUCAAAAUGGGACUCACAACCUAGAAAUAGCUCGCAUAAAGCGACAUAACCCGCAAUGUGCGGGAUGGAGGCGGGAGUAAAGUUGUGCAGCUGGAGGCCAUAGUAUUCCAGAAGCCCUCGAAGGAACGGAUGGAUUGGAAAUCCGAAGCCCCUCAGCAGAUAGGGGACGAAACAUACUCAUCCCCCCCCCCCCGGAUGGGUUGGGGAAACCCUCCGCUUGGGUUUCGCCAUUGAAGGAGGCCAGCCCUGGUCGAACAGAGACCAGAUCCGCAGGGGGGAGAAAUCCCUAUUUUUGCAGCUCCACAAGCUGACUGUGGGGGACGGGGCACUUCUCCCACUCGCCUUUUUCUGAGCCAUAGAGACGGGAGGAGGAGCUGGGAAAGCUAGACAUGUUGGAGUGUUCUUUCCUAGCAAUUUUUGAGGAUUCUUCCGCAGGGAUGUCGAAUGGAUCUGAGAUCCAAUCUCUUUAAAUAGACCCUAUCCCUUGUGUGGCCAGGGUGCUACGUGCAAAAACACCUUGACCUCUCGCAUUUACUGGACGCGUGGAGGCCGAAGUUGUUGAUACACAGAAGCCGAGGGGUGCGAUAUUAUAUGGAAGGCCGGAUACGUCACUUCAAAAUCAUCGGAAGAAGGAACCCGCCUUGCAAUGCCGAAGACAAUCUACGUGCCGAACACCUCGUCAUUGAAGCCUGGUUCGGGGGCUACUGAGGGAGUCCUGAACUAAGGGGUUCUCGGGCGUCUGGCCUAUUAGCCAUGGCCCGGACUGGUGGGCUGUGAAGAUAUGAAGACCGAAGACUGCACCCGUGUCCGGAUGGAACUCUCCUUGGCGUGGAAGGCAAGCUAGGCGAUCAAAUAUGUAGAUUCCUUUCUUUGUAACCGACCUUGUGUAACCCUAGAUCCUCCCGGUGUCUAUAUAAACCGAGGAGUUAGUCCGGGGGAGGAGAGAGACUCAUAACCAUAGUCAUACAGGCUAGACUCUUAGGGUUUAGCCAUUACGAUCUCGUGGUAGAUCAACUCUUGUAACACCCAUAUUCAUCAAUAUCAAUUAAGCAGGAAGUAGGGUAUUACCUCCAUAGAGAGGGCCCGAACCUGGGUAAACAUUGUGUCACCCAUCUCUUGUUACCAUCGAUCCUAGACGGACCGUUCGGGACCCCCUACCCGAGAUCCGCCGGUUUUGACACCGACAGGGGGUAUGAACCAUAGAGAAGUUGGAAUACAGUAGGUUUAACACCAAUACAAAUAAAGAAUGAGUUCAUUACAGUACCUUAAAGUGGUGGUUUGUUUUCUUAAACUAACGGAGCUCAUGAGAUUUUCUCUUAAGUUUUGUGUUGUGAAGUUUUCAAGUUUUUGGGUAAAGAUUUGAUGGAUUUUGGAAUAAGGAGUGGCAAGAGCCUAAGCUUGGGGAUGCCCAAGGCACCCCAAGGUAAAACUCAAGGACAACCAAAAGCCUAAGCUUGUGGAUGCCCCGGAAGGCAUCCCUCUUUCGUCUUCGUCUAUCGGUAACUUUACUUGAGGCUAUAUUUUUAUUCACCACAUGAUAUGUGUUUUGCUUGGAGCGUCUUGUAUGAUUUGAGUCUUUACUUUUUAGUUUACCACAAUCAUCCUUGCUGAAUACACCUUUUGAGAGAGACACACAUGAAUCAGAAUUUAUUAGAAUACUCUAUGUGCUUCACUUAUAUCUUUUGAGCUAGAUAAUUUUGCUCUAGUGCUUCACUUAUAUCUUUUUAGAGCAUGUGGUGGUUUUAUUUUAUAGAAAUUAUUGAUCUCUCAUGCUUCACUUAUAUUAUUUUGAGAGUCUCUUAGCACAACAUGGUAAUUUGCUUUGGCUAUAAAAUUAGUCCGAAUAUGAGGAGCAUCCAAGAUGGGUAUAAUAAAAACUAUCAUAUAAAGUGCAUUGAAUACUAUGAGAAGAUUGAUUCCUUAUGAUGGUUUUGAGAUAUGAAGAUGGUGAUAUUAGAGUCAUGCUAGUUGAGUAGUUGUGAAUUUGAGAGAUACUUGUGUUAAAGUUUGUGAUUCCCGUAGCAUGCACGUAUGGUGAACCGUUAUGUGAUGAAGUUGGAGCAUGAUUUAUUUAUUGAUUGUCUUCCUUAUGUGUGGAGGUCGGGAUCGCGCGAUGGUUAACUCCUACCAACCCUUACCCUAGGAGCAUGUGUGUAGUACUUUGUUUCGAUGACUUGUAGAUUUUUGCAAUAAGUAUGUGAGUUCUUUAUGACUAAUGUUGAGUCCAUGGAUUAUACACACUCUCACCCUUCCACCAUUGCUAGCCUCUCUUGUGCCGCGCAACUUUCGCCGGUACCAUAAACCCAUCACUUACCUUCCUCAAAACAGCCACCAUACCUACCUAUUAUGGCAUUUCCAUAGCCAUUCCGAGAUAUAUUGCCAUGCAACUUUCCACCGUUCAGUUUAUUAUGACACGCUUCAUCAUAGUCAUAUUGCUUUGCAUGAUCAUGUAGUUGAGAUCGUAUUUGUGGCAUGGCCACCAUUCAUAAUUUUUCAUACAUGUCACUCUUGAUUCAUUGCACAUCCCGGUACACCGCUGGAGGCAUUCACAUAGAGUCAUAUUUUGUUCUAAGUAUCGAGUUGUAAUUCUUGAGUUGUAAGUAAAUAAAAGUGUGAGGAUCUUCAUUAUUAGAGCAUUGUCACAUGUGAGGAAAGGAUGAUGGAGACUAUGAUUCCCCCACAAGUCAGGAUGAGACUCCGGACAAAAAAAUAAAAGAGGCCAAAGAAUCCCAAAUAAAAUAAGAGGCCAAAGAAGCCCACCAAAAAAAUGAGAGAAAAAGAGAGAAGGGACAAUGUUACUAUCCUUUUUCCACACUUGUGCUUCAAAGUAGCAGCAUGAUCUUCAUGAUAGAGAGUCUCUUAUGUUGUCACUUUCAUAUACUAGUGGGAAUUUUUCAUUAUAGAACUUGGCUUGUAUAUUCCAAUGAUGGGCUUCCUCAAAUUGCCCUAGGUCUUCGUGAGCGAGCAAGUUGGAUGCACAUCCACUUAGCUUCUUUUGUUGAGCUUUCAUACACUUAUAGCUCUAGUGCAUCCGUUGCAUGGCAAUCCCUACUCACUCGCAUUGAUAUCUAUUGAUGGACAUCUCCAUAGCUCGUUGAUACGCCUAGUUGAUGUGAGACUAUCUUCCUCUUUUUUGUCUUCACCACGACCACCAUUCUAUUCCACCUAUAGUGCUAUGUCCAUGGCUCACGCUCAUGUAUUGCGUGAAAGCUGAAAAAGUUUGAGAAUACUAAAGUAUGAAACAAUUGCUUGGCUGAAACCGGGGUUGUGCAUGAUUUAAAUAUUUUGUGUGAUGAAGAUAGAGCAUAGCCAGACUAUAUGAUUUUAUAGGGAUGACUUUCUUUGGCUAUGUUAUUUUGAGAAGACAUAAUUGCUUGGUUAGUAUGCUUGAAGUAUUAUUAUUUUUAUGUCAAUAUUAAACUUUUGUCUUGAAUCUAUCGGAUCUGAACAUUCAUGCCACGAUAAAGGAAAUUACAUUCAAAAAUAUGUUAGGUAGCAUUCCACAUCAAAAAUUUUGUUUUUAUCAUUUACCUACUCAUGGACGAGCAGGAAUUAAGCUUGGGGAUGCUUGAUACAUCUCCAAUGUAUCUAUAAUUUUUUAUUGUUCCAUGCUAUUAUACUAUCUGUUUGGAUGUUUAAUGGGCUUUAAUAUGCUCUUUUAUAUUAUUUUUUGGACUAACCUAUUAACCGAAGGCCCAGUGCCAAUUCCUGUUUUUUUGCCUAUUUCAGUGUUUUGCAGAAAAGGAAUACCAAACGGAAUCCAAACAGAACAAAACCUUCACGAGGAUCUUUCCUAGAACAAACGCAAUCCAGAAGACUUGGAGUUGAAGUCUGGAACUCCGCGAGGCGGCCACGAGGUAGGAGGGCGCGCCCAGGGGGUAGGCGCGCCCCCACCCUCAUGGGCCCCACGGAGCUCCACGACCUAUUUCUUUCACCUAUAUAUACUCUUAUACCCUAGAAACAUCAGGGGGAGCCACGAAACCACUUUUCCACCGCUGCAACCUUCUGUACCCAUGAAAUACCAUCUUGGCGCCUUUUCCGGCGCUCCGCCGGAGGGGGAAUCAAUCACGGAGGGCUUCUACAUCAACACCAUUGCCUCUUCGAUGAUGUGUGAGUAGUUUACCACAGACCUUCGGGUCCAUAGUUAUUAGCUGAUGGCUUCUUCUCUCUCUUUGAUUCGCAAUACAAAGUUCUCCUCGAUGUUCUUGGAGAUCUAUUCGAUGUAAUAUUCUUUUGCGGUGUGUUUGCCGAGAUCCGAUGAAUUGUGGAUUUAUGAUCAAGUUUAUCUAUGAAUAAUAUUGGUUCUUCUCUGAAUUCUUAUAUGCAUGAUUUGAUAUCUUUGCAAGUCUCUUCGAAUUAUCGGUUUAGUUUGGCCUACUAGAUUGAUCUUUCUUGCAAUGGGAGAAGUGCUUAGCUUUGGGUUCAAUCUUGCGGUGUCCUUUCCCAGUGAUAGUAGGGGCAGCAAUGCACGUAUUGUAUUGUUGCCAUCGAGGAUAAAAAGAUGGGGUUUAUAUCAUAUUGCUUGAGUUUAUCCCUCUACAUCGUCUCAUCUUGCUUAAUGCGUUACUCAGUUCUUAUGAACUUAAUACUCUAGAUGCAUGCUGGAUAGCGGUCUAUGUGUGGAGUAAUAGUAGUAGAUGCGGAAUCGUUUCGGUCUACUUGACACAGACAAGAUGCCUAUAUUCAUGAUCAUUGCCUAGAUAUUCUCAUAAUUAUGCGCUUUUCUAUCAAUUGCUCGGCAGUAAUUUGUUCACCCACCGUAAUAUAUGCUAUCUUGAGAGAAGCCACUAGUGAAACCUAUGGCCCCCGGGUCUCUUUCCUAUUAUAUUACAUCUCUUUUAUUUACAUCGCAUCUCGUUUGUUAUUUUGCAAUCUUUACUUUCCAAUCUAUACAACAAAAAUACCAAAAAUAUUUAUCUUAUUAUCUUUAUCAGAUCUCACUUUUGCGAGUGACCGUGAAGGGAUUGACAACCCCUUUAUCGCGUUGGUUGCAAGGUUCUUGAUUGUUUGUGCAGGUACUAGGUGACUUGCGUGUUAUCUUCUACUGGAUUGAUACCUUGGUUCUCAAAAACUGAGGGAAAUACUUACGCUACUUUGCUGCAUCACUCUUUCCUCUUCAAUGGAAAACCAACGCAUGCUCAAGAGGUAGCAUCCGUACUUUCGCUAGCUAGUGCAAUCUCCCAACAAUGCUAAUAUAAUUGGAUCAUAUAACCAUCCCUCAACGUGCGAUGAAGAAUCACUCGAAAGUUCCUAUCUAGCGGAGAACAUAAGAAGAAAUUGUUUGUAGGGUACGAAACCACCUCGAAGCUAUUCUUUCCGAUCAAUCUAUCCAAGAGUUCAUACUAAAAUAACACCAAAUAAUUUCAAAUACAUAAUACUCAAUCCAACACAAAGAACCUCAAAGAGUUCCCCAAGAUUUCUACCAGAGAAACAAAGACAAGAACGUGCAUCAACCCCUAUGCAUUGAUUACCCCAGUGUCACCUCGGGAAUCCGCGAGUUGAGUGCCAAAACAUACAUCAAGUGAAUCAAUAUGAUACCCCAUUGUCACCACGAGUAUUCACUUGCAAGACAUAUAUCAAGUGCUCUCAAAUCCAGAAAAGUAUUCAAUCCGAUAAAACGAAAUCUCAAAGGUAAAACACAAUUCAUCACAAGAUAGAGAGGGGAAAACACCAUAUGAUCUGACUAUAUUAACAAAGCCCGCGAUACAUCAAGAUCGUGACAUCUCAAGAACACGAGAGAGAGAGAGAGAGAUUAAACACAUAGCUACUGGUACAAACCCUCAGCCCCGAGGGUGGACUACUCCCUCCUCGUCAUAGUGGUCGCCGGGAUGAUGAAGAUGGCCACCGGUGAUGAUUUCCCCUCCGGCGGAGUGCCGGAACGGGGUAUAGAUUGGUUUUCGGUGGCUACAGAGGCUUGCGGCGGUGUAACUUCUCAUCUAGGGUUACCCCGAGGGUUUUUGGAAUAUUUGGUGAUUUAUAGGGCAAAGAGGGGGUGCGGGAGGCCACCGAGGUGAGCAUAACCCACCUGGGCGCGCCUGGGCCCCCAGGCGCACCCUGGUGGGUUUGNNNNNNNNNNNNNNNNNNNNNNNNNNNNNNNNNNNNNNNNNNNNNNNNNNNNNNNNNNNNNNNNNNNNNNNNNNNNNNNNNNNNNNNNNNNNNNNNNNNNNNNNNNNNNNNNNNNNNNNNNNNNNNNNNNNNNNNNNNNNNNNNNNNNNNNNNNNNNNNNNNNNNNNNNNNNNNNNNNNNNNNNNNNNNNNNNNNNNNNNNNNNNNNNNNNNNNNNNNNNNNNNNNNNNNNNNNNNNNNNNNNNNNNNNNNNNNNNNNNNNNNNNNNNNNNNNNNNNNNNNNNNNNNNNNNNNNNNNNNNNNNNNNNNNNNNNGGUGCUUCUCUGGCCCACUGGAUGUCUUCUGGUCCAUAAAAAAUCCACAAAAAGUUUCACGGUAUUUGGACUCCGUUUGGUAUUGAUUUCCUAUGAUGUAAAAAAGAAGCAAAAAACAGCAACUGGCACUGGGCACUGGGUCAAUAGGUUAGUCCCAAAAAAUGAUAUAAAGUUGUUAUAAAAUGAUUGUAAAACAUCCAAGAAUGAUAUAUAACAGCAUGAAUAGUUCAUAAAUUAUAGAUACGUUGGAGACGUAUCAGCAUCCCCAAGCUUAAUUCCUACUCGUCCUCGAGUAGGUAAAUGAUAAAAGAAAUAAUUUAUGAAGUGUGAAUGCUAGCAAAGUGCACAAGUUUGAUCAAUGACAAUUUCAAUCACUUUUCCUAGCAUCAUAAUAGCAAUUCUUUCUUAUAGAACUUCUCGUGUUAAAGUAGCAACCAAUUCACAUGUUGAGAUUCAAACAAUGAAUUCUCUUGAAACUCAACAACCUAUGUUCUCAGUCAUCAAGCAAUUGCAAUUUAACUUAUUCAACAGAGUCUAAGUAAGAGCUCCACAUACUCAACCAUCAUAUAGUCUUCUAUGAUUGCUAACACUCACCGCAUACACAUGAGCAAAACGUUUCAACCGGACACAUAGAAAUAUAGGGGCUUAUAAUUUCGCCUCCCAACGUAUUCACCUCAAGGGUGAUGUCAACAAUAAUAACUCAUGCUACCCAUAUCCAACUAGAUAUAUGUGCCUAGAUCUUUCCUCACCACAUGAUGCUUUCCAAAAGAGAAAAAUAAAAAGGAAUAGAGAGAAAAACUUGACUCUUGCAUGAAAGUAAAUACAUAAAAGUAAAAGGUAGGCCCUUCGCAGAGGGAAGCAGAGGUUGUCAUGCGCUUUUUGUUUGUAUGUUCAACCCCUUGGUGCAAAAGAAUGUCAUUUUAUAUUGCCCCUUAUGAUAGCAACCUUUAUUAUGCAGUAUGUCGCUUUUAUUCUUUGCCAUCACAAGUUCGUACAACGCUCAAUUUUCUCUUACACUAAAUGAUCUAACACUUUUUGAAGCAAUUUUUAUUUCCUUAUUGCACCGAUGACAACUUACUUGAAGGAUCUUACUCAAUCCUUAGGUAGGUAUGGUGGACUCUUGAAAAUAAGAUUUGGGUUUAAGGGUUAUUGGAAGCACAAGUAGUAUCUCUACUUGGUGCAGAAUUUUUGGCUAGCAAAGAUGGGGGGCAAGCACCACAUGUUGAAGGAUCUAUGACAAUAUAACUUCUAUGUGAAUAUGAACAAACAUAAAUCAUUACGUUGUCUUCCUUGUCCAACAUCAACAAUUUUGGCAAAUAAUAUUUUGAUGGUGGCUCACAAUCACAAAAGAUUUCCAAGAUAGUGUAUUUUCAUGUGAAAGUUCUCUUCCUUCUACUAAUCAUUCAUGAAUUGCUUGUAUGACCAAUAUUGUGAUUGUCAAGCCUCAAAAGAUCUCACUUUCUAAACCCAAUGUGAAGCAACCACUAGGCAUGAUAUGAAAAUAUAAUUUUAACUUCAUUACAUUCAAUUUAUUCAACAAUUUACUCAUAGGAUAUAAGUGAAGCACAAGACUAAAUGACAAGCUACUCCAAAAAGAUAUUAGUGAAGGUCAAGCGAGUAGUUAAGUAAAUAGAUAGCUAUGUGAGGAGACUCUCUUGUUUGAAACUUUCAUAUCUAAAUAUUUUAUUAAAACGGCAAGAAAAACAAAAUAAAAUGACAUUCCAAGGAUAGCACUGAAGGAAAUAUGCCCUAGAGGCAAUAAUAAAGUUGUUAUUUAUAUUUCCUUAUAUCAUGAUAAAUGUUUAUAAUUCAUGCUAGAAUUGUAUUAACCGGAAACUUAGUACAUGUGUGAAUACAUAGACAAAACAGAGUGCCCCUAGUAUGCCUCUACUAGACUAGCUCGUUGAUCAAAGAUGGUUAUGUUUCCUGACCAUAGACAUGUGUUGUCAUUUGAUGAACGGGAUCACAUCAUUAGAGAAUUAUGUGAUGGACAAGACUCAUCCGUUAGCUUAGCAUAAUAAUCGUUUAGUUUUAUUGCUAUUGCUUUCUUCAUGACUUAUGCAUGUUCCUGUGACUAUGAGAUUAUGCAACUCCCGAAUACCGGAGGAACACUUUGUGUGCUAUCAAACGCCACAAUGUAACUGGGUGAUUAUAAAUAUGCUCUACAGGUGUCUCCGAAGGUGUUUGUUUGGUUGGCAUAGAUCAAGAUUAGGAUUUGUCACUCCGUGUAUCGGAGAGGUAUCUCUGAGCCCUCUCGGUAAUGCACAUCACUAUAAGCCUUGCAAGCAAUGUGACUAAUGAGUUAGUUGCGGGAUGAUGCAUUACGGAAUGAGUAAAGAGACUUGCCAGUAACGAUAUUGAACUAGGUAUGAUGAUACCAACGAUCGAAUCUCGGGCAAGUAACAUACCGAUGACAAAGGGAAUGACGUAUGUUGUUAUGCCGAUUGACCGAUAAAGAUCUUCGUAGAAUAUGUAGGAGCCAAUAUGAGCAUCCAGGUUCCGCUAUUGGUUAUUGACCGGAGAUGUGUCUCGGUCAUGUCUACAUAGUUCUCGAACCCGUAGGGUCCGCACGCUUAACGUUUGAUGACAAUUUGUAUUAUGAGUUAUGUGUUUUGGUGACCGAUGUUUGUUCGGAGUCUCGAAUGAGAUCACGGACAUGACGAGGAGUCUCGAAAUGGUCGAGAGGUAAACAUUGAUAUAUUGGAAGGUUAUAUACGGACACCGGAAUGGUUCUGAAGAAGAUCAGGGAUUUUUCGGAGUACCGGGAGGUUACAGGAACCCCCCGGGAAAGUUAUUGGGCCUAUUGGGCCAUAGUGGAGGAGAGGAGGCAGGCCACGGGAGGUGGCACGCGCCCCCCUUGCCCCAUCCGAAUUGGACAAGGGGAGGGGGUGCGGCCCCCCUCUUUCCUUCUCCCUCUCUCUCCCUUCCCCUUUCCCCUCUCCGUUAGAUGGAAGGAGGGGGGCCGAAUCCUACUAGGGACGAAGUCCUAGUAGGACUCCCCCCUCAUGGUGCGCCCCCCUUGGGCCGGCCUCCUCCUCCCCCCUCCUUUAUAAACAUGGGCAGGGGGCACCCCAAAGACACACAAUUGUUUUCUUAGCCGUGUGCGGUGCCCCCUCCACAGUUUACCACCUCGGUCAUAUUAUCAUAGUGCUUAGGCGAAGCCCUGCGCGGAUCACAUCACCAACACCGUCGCCACGCCAUCGUGCUAAAGGAACUCUCCCUCGACCCUCUACUGGAUCAAGAGCUCGAGGGACGUCAUUGUGCUGAAGUGUGCUGAACACGAAGGUGCCGUACAUUCGGUACUUGGAUCGGUUAGAUCGUGAAGACGUUCAACUACAUCAACCGCGUUACUAAACGCUUCCGCUUUCGGUCUACGCGGGUACGUGGACACACUCUUCCCUCUCGUUGCUAUGCAUCUCCUAGAUAGAUCUUGCAUGAUCGUAGGGACUUUUUUGAAUUACUACAUUCCCCAACAGUGGCAUCAGAGCCAGGUCUAUGCGUAGAUGAUAUAUGCACGAGUAGAACACAAUGAGUUGUGGGCGAUAAUAGUCAUAUUGCUUACCACCAACGUCUUACUUUGAUUCGGUGGUAUUGUUGGAUGAAGCGGCCUAGACCGACAUUACAUGACCGUGUUCAUGAGACUGGUUCUACCGACGUGCUUCGCACACAGGUGGCUAGUGGGUGUUUGUUUCUCCAACUUCAGUUGAAUCGAGUUUGACUACGGCCGGUCCUUGUUGAAGGUUAAAACAGCACACUUGACGAAAAAUCAUUGUGGUUUUCAUGCGUAGGUAAGAACGGUUCUUGUUAAAAGCCCGUAGCAGCCACAUAAAACUUGCGACAACAAAGUAGAGGACGUCUAACUUGUUUUUGCAGGGCAUGUUGUGAUGUGAUAUGGUCAAGACGUGAUGAGAUAUAAAUUGUUGUAUGAGAUGAUCAUGUUUUGUAAAAGUUAUCGGCAACUGGCAGGAGCCUUAUGGUUGUCGCUUUAUUGUAUGAAAUGCAAUAGCCAUGUAAUUGCUUUACUUUAUCACUAAGCGGUAGCAAUAGUCGUAGAAGCAAUAGUUGGCGAGACUACAAUGAUGCUACGAUGGAGAUCAAGGUGGCAAGCCAAUGACGAUGGAGAUCAUGACUGUGCUUUGGAGAUGGAGAUCAAAGGCACAAGAUGAUGAUGGCCAUAUCAUGUCACAUAUUUUGAUUGCAUGUGAUGUUUAUCUUUUAUGCAUCUUAUUUUGCUUAGUACGGCGGUAGCAUUAUAAGAUGAUCCCUCACUAAAUUUCAAGGUAUAAGUGUUCUCCCUGAGUAUGCACCGUUGCUACAGUUCGUCGUGCCGAGACACCACGUGAUGAUCGGGUGUGAUAAGCUCUACGUUCACAUACAACGGGUGCAAGCCAGUUUUGCACGUGCAGAAUACUCGGGUUAAACUUGACGAGCCUAGCAUAUGCAGAUAUGGCCUCGGAACACUGAUACCGAAAGGUCGAAUGUGAAUCAUAUAGUAGAUAUGAUCAACACAGUGAUGUUCACCAUUGAAAACUACUCCAUCUCACGUGAUGAUCGAACAUGGUUUAGUUGAUAUGGAUCACGUGAUCAUUUAGACGACUAGAGGGAUGUCUAUCUAAGUGGGAGUUCUUAAGUAAUAUGAUUAAUUGAACUUAAAUUUAUCAUGAACUUAGUACCUGAUAGUUUUUGCAUGUCUAUGUUGUUGUAGAUCAAUGGCACGUGCUACCGUUCCCUUGAAUUUUAAUGCGUUCCCAGAGAAAGCUAAGUUGAAAGAUGAUGGUAGCAACUACACGGACUGGGUCCGUAACUUGAGGAUUAUCCUCAUUGCUGUACAGAAGAAUUACAACCUGGAAGCACCGCUAGGUGCAAGACCCGCUGCAGGAGCAACUCCGGACGUUAUGAACGUCUGGCAGAGCAAAGCUGAUGAGUACUCGAUAGUUCAGUUUGCCAUGCUUUACGGCUUAGAAUCAGGACUUCAAAGACGUUUUGAACGUCAUGGAGCAUAUGAGAUGUUCCAGGAGUUGAAGUUAAUAAUUCAAGCAAAUGCCUGAGUUGAGAGAUAUGAAGUCUACAACAAGUUCUAUAGCUGCAAGAUGGAGGAGAAUUGUUCUGUCAAUGAACAUAUCCUCAAAAUGUCUGGGUAUCAUAACCACUUGACUCAGCUGGGAGUUAAUCUCCCUGAUGAUAGUGUCAUUGACAGAGUUCUUCAAUCACUGCCACCAAGCUAUGAAGGCUUCGUGAUGAACUAUAAUAUGCAAGGGAUGGAGAAGACUAUUCCCGAGCUCUUCGCAAUGCUAAAAGUUGUGGAGGUAGAAAUCAAGAAGGAACAUCAAGUGUUGAUGGUUAAUAAGACCACUACUUUCAAGAAAAAGGACAAGGGGAAGAAGGGGAACUUCAAGAAGAAUAGCAAGCAAGUUGCUACUCCCGGGAAGAAGCCCAAGUCUGGACCUAAGCCUAAAACUGAGUGCUUCUACUGCAAAGGGACUGGUCACUGGAAGCGGAACUGCCCCAAGUAUUUGGCGGAUAAGAAGGAUGGCAAACUGAAAGGUAUAUUUGAUAUACAUGUUAUUGAUGUGUACCUUACUGAUGCUUGUAGUAGCGCCUGGGUAUUUGAUACUGGUUCUGUUGAUCAUAUUUGCAACUCAAAACAGGGGCUACGGAUUAAACGAAGAUUGGCUAAGGACGAGGUGACGAUGCGCGUGGGAAAUGGUUCCAAAGUCAAUGUGAUCGCCGUCGGCACGCUACCUCUACAUCUACCGUCGGGAUUAGUUUUAGACCUGAAUAAUUGUUAUUUGGUGCCAGCGUUAGGCAUGAACAUUAUAUCUAGAUCUUGUUUGAUGCGGGACGGUUAUUCAUUUAAAUCAGAGAAUAAUGGUUGUUCUAUUUAUAUGAGUAAUAUCUUUUAUGGUCAUGCACCCUUGAUGAGUAGUCUAUUUCUAUUGAAUCUUGAUUGUAGUGAUACACAUAUUCAUAAUAUUGAAGCCAAAAGAUGCAAAGUUAUAAUGAUAGUGCAACUUAUUUGUGGCACUGUCAUUUAGGUCAUAUUGGUGUAAAGCGCAUGAAGAAACUCCAUGCUGAUGGGCUUUUGGAAUUGCUUGAUUAUGAAUCACUUGAUACUUGCGUACCAUGCCUCAUGGGCAAGAUAACUAAGACUCCGUUCUAUGGAACAACGGAGCGAGCAACUGACUUAUUGGAAAUAAUACAUACUGAUGUAUGCGGUCCGAUGAGUGUUGAGGCUCGCGGCGGGUAUCGUUAUUUUCUGACAUUCACAGAUGAUUUGAGCAUAUAUGAGUAUAUCUACUUAAUGAAACAUAAGUCUGAAACAUUUGAAAAGUUCAAAGAAUUUCAAAGUGCAGUGGAAAUUCAUCAUAACAAGAAAAUAAAGUUUCUACGAUCUGAUCGUGGAGGAGAAUAUUUGAGUUAUGAGUUUGGUCUUCAUUUGAAACAAUGUGGAAUAGUUUCGCAACUCACGCCACCUGGAACACCACAGUGUAAUGGUGUGUCUGAACGUCGUAACCGUACUUUAUUAGAUAUGGUGCGAUCUAUGAUGUCUCUUACUGAUUUACCGCUAUCGUUUUGGGGUUAUGCUUUAGAGACGGCUGCAUUCACGUUAAAUAGGGCACCAUCUAAAUCCGUUGAGAUGACACCAUAUGAACUGUGGUUUGGCAAGAAACCCAAGUUGUCGUUUCUUAAAGUUUGGGGCUGCGAUGCUUAUGUGAAAAAGCUUCAACCUGAUAAGCUCGAACCCAAAUUGGAGAAAUGUGACUUCAUAGGAUACCCAAAGGAGACUGUUGGGUACACCUUCUAUCACAAAUCCGAAGGCAAGAGAUUCGUUGCUAAGAAUGGAUCCUUUCUAGAGAAGGAGUUUCUCUCGAAAGAAGUGAGUGGGAGGAAAGUAGAACUUGAUGAGGUAAUUGUACCUUCUCCCGAAUUGGAAAGUAGUUCAUGACAUAAAUCAGUUCCAGUGAUUCCUACACCAAUCAGUGAGGAAGCUAAUGAUGAUGAUCAUGAAACUUCAGAUCAAGUUACUACCGAACCUCGUAGGUCAACUAGAGUACGAUCCGCACCAGAGUGGUACGAUAAUCCUGUUCUGGAAGUCAUGUUACUAGACCAUGAUGAACCUACGAACUAUGAGGAAGCGAUGAUGAGCCCAGAUUCCGUGAAAUGGCUUGAGGCCAUGAAACUGAGAUGGGAUCCAUGUAUGAGAACAAAGUGUGGACUUUGGUUGACCUGCCCGAUGAUUGGCAAGCCAUCGAGAAUAAAUGGAUCUUCAAGAAGAAGACUGACGCUGACGGUAAUGUUACUGUUUACAAAGCUCGACUUGUUGCAAAAGGUUUUCGACAAGUUCAAGGAGUUAACUACGAUGAGACCUUCUCACCCGUAGCGAUGCUUAAGUAUGUCCAAAUCAUGCUAGCAAUUGCUGCAUUUUAUGAUUAUGAAAUUCGGCAAAUGGAUGUCUAAACUGCAUUCCUUAAUGGAUAUCUUAAAGAAGAGUUGUAUAUGAUGCAACCAGAAGGUUUUUUCGAUCCUAAAGGUGCUAACAAAGUGUGCAAGCUCCAGCGAUCCAUUUAUGGACUGGCGCAGGCCUCUCGGAGUUGGAAUAUAUGCUUUGAUAGUGUGAUCAAAGCAUAUGGUUUUAUACAGACUUUUGAAGAAGCCUGUAUUUACAAGAAAGUGAGUGGGAGCUCUGUAGCAUUUCUAAUAGUAUAUGUAGAUGACAUAUUGUUUAUUGGAAAUGAUACAGAAUUUCUGGAUAGCAUAAAAGGAUACUUGAAUAAGAAUUUUUCAAUGAAAGACCUCGGUGAAGCUGCUUAUAUAUUGGGCAUCAAGGUCUAUAGAGAUAGAUCAAGACGCUUAAUUGGACUUUCACAGAGCACAUACCUUGAUAAUGUUUUGAAGAAGUUCAAAAUGGAUCAGUCAAAGAAAGGGUUCUUGCCUCUGUUACAAGGUGUGAAGUUGAGUCAGACUCAAUGCCUGACCACUACAGAAGAUAGAGAGAAAAUGAAAGUCAUUCCCUAUGCCUCAGCCACAGGUUCUAUCAUGUAUGCAAUGCUGUGUACCAGACCUGAUGUGUGCCGUGCUAUAAGUAUAGCAGGGAGGUACCAAAGUAAUCAUGGAGUGGAUCACUGGACAGCGGUCAAGAACAUCCUGAAAUACCUGAAAAGGACUAAGGAUAUGUUUAUCGUUUAUGGAGGUGACAAAGAGCUGGUCGUAAAUGGUUACAUCGAUGCAAGCUUUGACACUGAUCCGGAUGACUCUAAGUCGCAAACUGGAUACGUAUUUGUAUUGAAUGGUGCAGCUGUUAGUUGGUGCAGUUCCAAGCAAAGCGUCGUGGCCGGAUCUACGUGUGAAGCGGAGUACAUAGCUGCUUUGGAAGCAGCAAAUGAAGGAGUCUGGAUGAAGCAGUUCAUAUCCAAUCUAGGUGUAAUACCUAGUGCAUGGGGUCCAAUGAAAAUCUUUUGUGACAAUACUGGAGCGAUAGCCUUGGCGAAGUAAUCCAGAUUGCAUGAGAGAACCAAACACAUCAAGAGACGCUUCAAUUCCAUCCGCGAUCUAGUCAAGGAGGGAGACAUAGAGAUUUGCAAAAUACAUACGGAUCUGAAUGUUGCAGACCCGUUGAGUAAGCCUCUUCCAUGAGCAAAACAUGAUCAGCACCAAGACUCCAUGGGUGUUAGAAUCAUCACUACGUAAUCUAGAUUAUUGACUCUAGUGCAAGUGGGAGACUGAAGGAAAUAUGCCCUAGAGGCAAUAAUAAAGUUGUUAUUUAUAUUUCCUUAUAUCAUGAUAAAUGUUUAUUAUUCAUGCUAAAAUUGUAUUAACCGGAAACUUAGUACAUGUGUGAAUACAUAGACAAAACAGAGUGUCCCUAGUAUGCCUCUACUAGACUAGCUCGUUGAUCAAAGAUGGUUAUGUUUCCUGACCAUAGACAUGUGUUGUCAUUUGAUGAAUGGGGUCACAUCAUCAGAGAAUGAUGUGAUGGACAAGACCCGUCCGUUAGCUUAGCAUAAUGAUCAUUUAGUUUUAUUGCUAUUGCUUUCUUCAUGACUUAUACAUGUUCCUCUAACUAUGAUAUUAUGCAACUCCUGAAUACCGGAGGAACACUUUGUGUGCUAUCAAACGUCACAACGUAACUGGGUGAUUAUAAAGAUGCUCUACAGGUGUCUCCGAAGGUGUUUGCUGAGUUGGCAUAGAUCAAGAUUAUGAUUUGUCACUCCGUGUAUCGGAGAGGUAUCUCUGGGCCCUCUCGGUGAUGCACAUCACUAUAAGCCUUGCAAGCAAUGUGACUAAUGAGUUAGUUGCAGGAUGAUGCAUUAUGGAACGAGUAAAGAGACUUGCCGGUAAUGAGAUUGAACUAGGUAUGAUGAUACCGAUGAUCGAAUCUCGGGCAAGUAACAUACCGAUGACAAAGGGAGUGACAUAUGUUGUUAUGCAGUUUGACCGAUAAAGAUCUUCGUAGAAUAUGUAGGAGCCAAUAUGAGCAUCCAGGUUCCGCUAUUGGUUAUUGACCGGAGAUGUGUCUCGGUCAUGUCUACAUAGUUCUCGAACCCGUAGGGUCCGCACGCUUAACGUUCGAUGACGAUUUGUAUUAUGAGUUAUGUGUUUUGGUGACCGAAGUUUGUUCGGAGUCCCGGAUGAGAUCAUGGACAUGACGAGGAGUCUCGAAAUGGUCGAGAGGUAAAGAUUGAUAAAUUGGAAGGUUAUAUACGGACACCAGAGUGGUUCCGAAGAAGAUCGGGGAUUUUUCGGAGUAUCGGGAGGUUACCGGGACCCCCCGGGAAAGUUAUUGGGCCUAUUGGGCCAUAGUGGAGGAGAGGAGGCAGGCCACGGGAGGUGGCGCGCGCCCCCCUUGCCCCAAUCCGAAAUGGACAAGGGGAGGGGGUGCGGCCCCCUCUUUCCUUCUCUCUCUCUCUCCCUUCCCCUUUCCCCUCUCCGUUAGAUGGAAGGAGGGGGGGCGAAUCCUACUAGGAACGGAGUCCUAGUAGGACUCCCCCCUCAUGGCGCCCCCCCUUGGGACGGCCUCCUCCUCCCCCCUCCUUUAUAUACGUGGGCAUGGGGGCACCCCAAAGACACACAAUUGUUUUCUUAGUCGUGUGUGGUGCCCCCCUCCACAGUUUACCACCUCAGUCAUAUUGUCGUAGUGCUUAGGCGAAGCCCUGCGCGGAUCAAGAGCUCGAGGGAUGUCAUCAUGCUGAACGUGUGCUGAACACGGAGGUGUCAUAUGUUCGGUACUUGGAUUGGUUGGAUUGUGGAGACGUUUGACUACAUCAACCGCGUUACUAAACGCUUCCGCUUUCGGUCUACGAGGGUACGUGGACACACUCUUCCCUCUCGUUGCUACGCAUCUCCUAGAUAGAUCUUGCGUGAUCAUCAUAGGAUUUUUUUUUUGAAUUACUAUGUUCCCCAACAAGCACACAUCAUGUGAAGAAGCAAAAACUUAGACUCAACCGAUACUAACCGAUAAUUGUUGAAGAAGAAAGGUGGAAUGCCUACCGGGGCAUCCCCAAGCUUAGAUGCCUGAGACUUCUUGGAAUAUUAACUUGGGGUACCUUGGGUAUCCCCAAGCUUGAGCUUUUGUGUCUCCUUAAUUCCUCUUAUAUCACGGUUUCCCUAAAUCUCAAAAACUUGAUCCACACAAACUCAACAAGAACUCGUGAGAUAAGUUAGUAUAAAUCAAUGCAAAACCUUAUCAUUCUCUAGUGUAGCAAAUCACUAAAAUUAUUAUUUGACAUUGCAUACUAAAUGCCUCUGCAUAUUUAAUACUCCUAUUCUCAAAUAGAAUCAUUAAACAAGCAAACAUAUGCAAACAAUGCAACCAUAACAGCAAUCUGCCAAAACAGUACAGUCUGUAAAGAAUGCAAUAGGAUCCAUACUUAUUCAACUUAAAAAAUUCUGAAAAUUUAACACACUGUAGAAAAUUUAUCAGAGCUUAUUUUGCAAAAAGUUUCAACAUUUUAUCACGUUCUGACUUUUCUCGGGAAUUUUUGCAACAGCGAUAAACUUUCUGUUUUGAAACAACAACAUGUAGACUUGCAAAAUAAGCAUGGUAAUGGCUAUCCUUGACAUUUUUAUUGAAAAUAAAGAUGCAAAAAAUUAUUCCAAAUCACAGCAAGCAAAUCCUAACAAAAUAAAAUGACGCUCCAAGCAAAACACAUAUCAUGUGAUGAAUAAAAACGUAGCUCCAAGUGAGGUUACCGAUAAUGUUGGAGACGAAAGAGGGGAUGCCUUCUGGGGCAUCCCCAAGCUUAGUUGCUUGGAUCUUCCUUCAAUAUUACCUUGGGAUUCCUUGGGCAUCCCCAAGCUUAGGGUCUUGUCACUCCUUAUUCUUCUCAGAUCGACGUCUCACCCAAAAACUUGAAAACUUCAAUCACACAAAACUUAACGGGACUUUGUGAGAUAGGUUAGUAUGAUAAAGAGCAAACCAUUUCACUUUGGUACUGUCAAAUACAAGAUUCAUAAUUUUUGUCACAAAAUGCCUACUGUAGCCUAUCAUUUGCACAAUUUAUAUUGAGCAAUAUAAGCCAUAGAAAUUAAGAAACAUGCAAACUAUGCAUUGAAAACAGAAUAUGUCAAAAACAGAACAGUCUGAAGUAAUAUCUACUCCAACCAUACUUUUGUAACUCCAAAAAUUCAGAAAAAUUAGGACAACGUAGAUAAUUUGUAAUAUCACCUGUAAAAAAUUCAGAUCAAAAGCACAUUCCAGUGAAUUUUCAAAAUUCCUGGACUGAGCGCAAAAGUUUCUGUUUUUGCACAGAUUCAAGUCAACUAUCAUCCACACUAUCCCAAAGGCUUUACUUGGCACUUUAUUGAAACAAAAGCAAUAAAACAUGAUUACUACAGUAGCUUAAUCAUGUGAAUACACAAAAACAGUGGGUAAAAGUGUUGGGUUGUCUCCCAACAAGCUCUUUUCUUUCAUGCCUUUAAGCUAGGCAUGAUGAUUUCAAUAAUGCUCGCAUAAAAGAUAAGAAGUGAAACAUAAAGAGAGUAUCAUGAAGCAUAAGUUCCUCUCUCAUAAUAAUUUUCAGUAGCAUCAUGAAUAGAUUCAUCAAUAUAACCAUCACAUAAAGCAUUCUUUUCAUGAUCCACAAGCAUAGAAAUUUUAUUACUAUCCACAUAAGAAAAUUUCUUCUCAUUCACAAUGGUGGGAGUAUCGUUUGAAACUUGAAUACUAUAAAUUGUUUCCACAUUAAAAGAGUAAUGUUCAGGAAAAGGGUAAUCAUAACUAUGACAAGUUUUAUAAAUAUAAUCAUCACUAAUUUUUAUAGCAUAAGUAUCAUCACAAUAAUCAUCAUAAGUAGCAACUUUGUUCUCAUCAUAGAUAGGAGGCAUGCAACCAUCAUUGCAAAUUUGAUCAUUCAAAGUAGGGGGACUAAAAAGAUCAUCUUCAUUAAGCAUGUCAUCCCCAAGCUUGGGACAAACACUAAUUGCAGCAAAUAAAUUCUCAAACAUGUCAUUCUCAUCAAACAUAGCAUCCCCAAGCUUGUGACUUGGCAUAUCAUAAGCAUAAUCACUCUCAUCAUUAAUAGUAUGAAUAGCACCAACGGUAUAACAGUUGCUAUCAUCAUAAUUUCCCAAGUUGGUGCCAAAAAUAAUUCCAAGAUUAUAAGAAGUGUCAUUAUCUUCCCAAUCAUGAUCAUCACAACAAGCAAUAGGCAUAACAAAAUCAUCAUCAAUAGUGCUUUCGGACAUUGUGCCAUAAGACAUAGAAGCAAUAUCAUCAUCAAGUGCAUCAUCUUUCACAAUUAUUUUUGAUUCAUUUUCAUGAGGCACAACAAUAAUAGGAUCAACAUUAUUUGGGAGAGAUACCUUUUUACCUCUAUUCUUUCUUCUUUUCUUCUUCUUCACCACAUCAUGUGUUGGUUUAAUUAAUUUUUUUCAAGCUUCUUAUUGAUGAGAUUGGUUGAAUAGGGAGCUCCUCCUCGUCACCUAUUUCAUCGUGAGAGACAAUAGGAGGGAAAGUGAAAAUCUUUACCCUUUCAUAUUCUAUUGGUUUUCCCAUCUUUCUAUAGUUAGCAAUAUAAGCAUUCUCAUUGCAAUUUACCAUGCAAAACAUAUAGAUAUUCUUUACAUUAGUUUUAAUGUCGUCCGUGAGAAUGGAUAUUUCAAACCAACUAUUUUUACGUUUCAAUUCUUCACUCCCCAAAAAUAGACAAAGCUCAUUAUAAAGUUCAAGGGUGAUCAAGUUAUUGCAAUAUUUGGACACGAUUCGAUCAUGAAAAAGCAUGCAUUGGAAAUUAAGGUGACCAACUUUAUUGCAAAGAUCACAAGUAAUAGGACAAAGAGAACAUAAUUUUGUAGCAAAUUCAUCUAUCACUUUGAGCAAACAAUUGGUUUCAUCAUGUUUAUGCUUCUUACAAAAUCUAUCUUCCCUAUAAGGCACGUCUUCACAAACUUUAUGCACUCCACAAAAAUUGACAUGCUUAUAAAAACAUUUUUGUCAUGAAUUGUGCAAUCAUCAUUAGCAUUUUGGAUAUUCAAGGAAUUCAUACUAACAACAUUGCAAUCAGGCUCAUCAUUCAAAUAUUUUGUGCCAAACAUUUUAUUGACUUCUUCUUCUAACAAUUGAGCACAAUUUUCCGAUCCAUCAUUUUCAAGAAAUAUAUUAUAAACAAGACCAAUAAUAUGAUGCAACCUCAAUUCCAUUUUUUAUGUAAUUUUCUUUUAUAAACCAAACUAGUGAUAAAACAAGAAACUAAAAGAUUCAAUUGCAAGAUCUAAAGAUAUACCGUCAUGCACUCACCUCCCCGGCAACGGCGCCAGAAAAGAGCUUGAUGUCUACUACGCGACUUUAUUCAUGUAGACUCGUGUUGGGCCUCCAAGCGCAGAGGUUUGUAGGACAGUAGCAAUUUUCCCUCAAGUGGAUGACCUAAGGUUUAUCAAUCCGUGGGAGGCGUAGGUGAAGGUGGUCUCUCUCAAACAACCCCGCAACCAAAUACAAUAAAUCUCUUGUGUCCCCAAAACACCAAAUACAAUGGCAAAUUGUAUAGGUCCACUAGUUCGGCGAAGAGAUGGUGAUAAAAGUGUAAUAUUGAUGGUAGAAAUAUAUUUUUAUAAUCUGAAUAAAUAAAAACAGCAAGGUAGAAAUUGAUAAAACAGAGCAAAAACGGUAUUGCAGUGCUUGAAAAUGAGGCCUAGGGUCCGUACUUUCGCUAGUGCAAUCUCCCAACAAUGCUAAUAUAAUUGGAUCAUAUAACCAUCCCUAAACGUGCGAUGAAGAAUCACUCCAAAUUUCCUAUCUAGCGGAGAACAUAAGAAGAAAUUAUUUGUAGGGUACGAAACCACCUAGAAGCUAUUUUUUCUGAUCGAUCUAUCCAAGAGUUCGUACCAAAAUAACACCAAGUAAUUUCAUAUUCAUAAUACUCAAUUCAACACAAAGAACCUCAAAGAGUGCUCCAAGAUUUCUACCGGAGAAACAAAGACAAGAAUGUGCAUCAACCCCUAUGCAAAGAUUACCCCAAUGUCACCUCGGGAAUCCGCGAGUUGAGUGCCAAAACAUACAUCAAGUGAAUCAAUAUGAUACCCCAUUGUCACCACGAGUAUUCAUUGCAAGACAUAUAUCAAGUGCUCUCGAAUCCAUAAAAUUAUUCAAUCCGAUAAAACGAAAUCUCAAAGGGAAAACUCAAUUCAUCACAAGAUAGAGAGGGGAAAACACCAUAUGAUCUGACUAUAUUAACAAAGCCCGCGAUACAUCAAGAUCAUGACAUCUCAAGAACACGAGAGAGAGAAAGAGAGAGAUUAAACACAUAGCUACUGGUACAAACCCUCAGCCCCGAGGGUGGACUACUCCCUCCUCAUCAUGGUGGCCACCGGGAUGAUGAAGAUGGCCACCGGUGAUGAUUUCCCCCUCCGGCGGAGUGCCGGGACGGGGUCUAGAUUGGUUUUCGGUGGCUACAGAGGCUUGUAGCGGAGGAACUUCUCAUCUAGGGUUACCCCAAGGGUUUUUGGAAUAUUUGGUGAUUUAUAGGGCAAAGAGGGGGUGCGGGAGGCCACCGAGGUGGGCACAACCCACAUGGGCGCUCCUGGGCCCCCAGGCNNNNNNNNNNNNNNNNNNNNNNNNNNNNNNNNNNNNNNNNNNNNNNNNNNNNNNNNNNNNNNNNNNNNNNNNNNNNNNNNNNNNNNNNNNNNNNNNNNNNNNNNNNNNNNNNNNNNNNNNNNNNNNNNNNNNNNNNNNNNNNNNNNNNNNNNNNNNNNNNNNNNNNNNNNNNNNNNNNNNGAGUGCUUCUCUGACCCACUGGAUGUCUUCUGGUCCAUAAAAAUCCACAAAAAGUUUCGUGGUGUUUGGACUCCAUUUGGUAUUGAUUUCCCGCGAUGUAAAAAGCAAGCAAAAAACAGCAACUGGCACUGGGCACUGGGUCAAUAGGUUAGUCCCAAAAAAUGAUAUAAAGUUGAUAUAAAAUGAUUGUAAAACAACCAAGAAUGAUAAUAUAACAACAUGAAUACUUCAUAAAUUAUAGAUACGUUGGAGACGUAUCAAUAAGAAAAUAGCUUAUUGAUGAGAAUUAUAGAGAAAGGUGUUUACAAGAGCCUUUCCGUAAGUAAGCAAUUUGAGGAAAUUGUGCGCAACCAAGGAAGGCACCGGAAGAAUCAAGGUGUUGGUUUGAACGAAAGUUCAAUGCCAAUGGAGUUGAGUAGGAAGAAGAUCAAUACCCAAAUACGAAGUUUGUUCCUCAACAAGAGAAGUAUGACCCCACUUCUUUCAAAGGAACACAAGCUCAAGAUGAUCUUCCACCACAAGACCACAAGCUAAAAGGCAAGGACAAGCUUCAAGAAGAGAUUGAUUCAUUUGAAGAAGCUCCUAAGGCCAUGGUCAUGUGGGUUCCCAAGACUACAUCAAGUUCUACUUCAUCAAGUAUGACUACCACUCCAAGGAUUCCCAUCAAGUUGAUGUGGAUCCCAAAGAAGAAGAACUAGAGAGUUCUUGAGGGUGACUCUGCCAACAUACUUCACUCAUAUUCAUUUUGGCAAGGGCAAGUGCAAUCAAUUUCCAUAUCUUGCACUAGUUCAAGGAGUCACAAACCCUCUUGUUGGUAAUACAAGGGACAAGGUAACCUAAUGCUUUCAUGGACAUCAUCACAUUUGAGUUUCACUCUAUGUCUAUGGAUAUUCUUGCAUGUUCCUUGUGGGACUAACCCAUGUAGGUAUUGAAAGUGCAACUCACUCCAAUGGAUUGCUCCAAAUGAUCUACAUCAACAUUGAGCAUCCACAUCUUCAAUAACUACAUGAAGUUAUCAUCGACAAAACCCAAGGUUAGUUCAUCCCUCUAAGGGGGAACAUCACAUCUAGGGGGAGCUUUGCUCUAAAAAAUUGAGCUAAAGCAACUCUAAUGAUGUGAACACAACAAUGCUUAUGUAAAAGUCGUAACCCCACUUGUGCUUAAACGAUGAGUAUGACCUAUGAUCAAAUGUUCUCAUUUGACUCCUAAGUCAAUAUACUCAUAUAUAGAUGACCUAGGCAUCGCCAAUUGCUUGAUAGAUGCUAGAAUGUAUGUGCAUGCCUUUCCACAUGUUUUAUUUGGUAUAUUGUUGUGUGAGCAUGUUGGUUGCAUAAUUUUCUCCAUUCGAGAACAUCCAUUUGUUGCUUUGGUUGUUUGGUUUUUCUUUUUGCCAAAUGGAUGGACAAGAAUGCCUAAGUACUUCCUCUAGCUAUCUAUGAUUUUUCUCGUCUCAAACUCUUUUCAUGCUACAUCACAAAGUUUGAACAAGUCGAAUUCGGACCCUCCGGGUGAGGAGCACUCGGAGCCACCGAUCCGUCAAGGGCUUAACCUCCAAAACCUCUUAAUGCCAUUCGAUCAGACCAACUCACUCCUGCUCGGUCUCACCGAAAUCAUUAAGUUGAUCUAGGUUUUAUCUCGGUGCAACCAAUUAGAAAAAUUCGGUCACCCCGAGUUGCAGCAACUGCUAGCAGUUUUGCAUCUCGGUGCACCGAGUCGUUCCACUCGGUCACACCGAUAGCGUCUGGGUAUAUAUACCGCGGGUUGAAAUUUUGGAAACUCCUUCAAACACUCGACCGCGUCUCCCAGCACUGCCGCCCCCUUGGUUUUCGGAUCGUCGCCAGUGACCUUAUACCGCUGGUCUCCGCCGCCGUCAACGGAAUCCUCACCGUCGUUGCCGUCGUAGCAAGUCUGUCGCCAAGUUAUGGUACGGAUUUGACCCUUUGUGCUUUCCAUUACUCCGAUUCUAGCACAAAGUAUAAAGCCUAUGUUCUUCCAACGUAUGAAAUCAAUUCAUCCACCAAACAAUUCCUUAGAAUAGAUUUGAUGCAAAAACUUAGGGUUAGGUUUCCGCCGAACCCAUCUCGGACCGAUCUGACAAUCUCGGUCACACCGAUUGGCCCUGGCCAUUGCACAAGUACAACUCGGUCUGACCGAAGUGUACUGAUCGGUGAGACCGAAAUCACUUUCUCUGUGAAACCCUAGCAUCAUGGAGUCACCGAACUGUGUCUUGGUCUAACCGAAAUCACAUGUUUAGAUUCUGAUGUUGCUUCGGUGUUACCAAGUUUGUCAAAUCGGUAGCUCCAAAAUGCCUUCUGUAGAAAACAAAAGUUAAGUUUUUGUCUCAAUAUUUUUGCAAAUCAAGUUGCACUUUGUGAUGCUCAUCUACUCUAUCUACACCCAACUAUUCACAGGGUCAGUUUCAGCAAUGUCAGAGGGCAGUGAUAGUCAUAACAGAUCUGAAGAGCAGCUCAACCUCAGUGAGGGCACUAGUCCCUCUGGUAGCUAUGAUGAGGGGAGUAGGAGCACUCCCAGAAAUUUGCCUAAGGUAGCUACCAGGCAGAGGAAGAAGAGAACAUCUGAAUCUGAGGAUGAAGAUUUUGUUGUUGAGGAGGAGGUGACCUCGAAGAAGAAGGUGCUCAAGCCUCAAGAAAGAGUAUGUUGCUGCUGCAACUAAGCCUAGAAUGCAGAAAAAGGCUCCUGCCAAAAGAGCUCCAAUGUCAAAGGCCAGGGCCUCAACUCAAGAAACCAUGGAAUUUACUCUUGAACCAAGAGAGGAAGAGGUUGCAGGUAGAAAGAAGAGGAAGGAAAGGUCAGAAAGACUGUUGCCAGAGUCAUUGGUAAACCUUCUAUGAUGAGAGAUUCUGAUGAAGAAGAUGAGGAGGAGGAAGAGACUGUUGCACCUCCUGCAAAGACUCAGAAGCUUAUGGGGGAUGCCAUAAGGACUGCGGCUGCUCCAUCUAAGCCUAAGUCUGCCCCCAAGCCUUCAGUUCAAGCUCCCAAGCCAUCUGCUCCAAAGAGAUCAACAAGGAAUAUUUCUGCCGCUGAAAAGAACAAGGCCCCAGUGCCUGAAGUUCAAGAAGAUGAUGAGCCACUAGUGCUCAGAAAACUAAAGCCCAAGAUCCCAGAUCAUAGUGACGAUCAUCCUGUGGCAGAGAACAUGAAGUUAAGAAAGGAUGUCAGUCUAAUACUGUGGAGACAGACGGAUCCCUAUGCCACCAGGAGAAGAACUGAUGUGGACUAUCACUUUCACACCAAGGAACAGCAGGAUUUCUAUGAGACUGUCCUAUUGGACAAGAAGUCCAUUGUUUGUGACAUGAAAUGGGUGGACUGGAAGUACAUUGAUGACUAUGAAUAUUACUUCCCAGGUGUGCAUGAGAGCUUCAAAUUGAAUAGUGUUGACACUUUUGUUGGUCAGAAGUUGACAAAGUAGAAUGAUGAGAUGAUAAUUCAAUUCUACUCCACAGCUCACUUCUACCCCGAUGGAAAGAUAAUCUGGAUGACUGAAGGAACAAAAUAUCAAUCUACUAUCUCAGAAUGGGCCAAGCUGAUCAAUGCCCUAGAGGAAGAUGAAGAUGAUAUUGAUGUGUAUGCUAAGCCUAGGAAGGAUCACAACUCCAUGGCUAAUAUGUACAAGCCAAUUCCUGAUAAAGCCUUGGAGACUCACAAGGUUGGAUCUAUCUACUAUCUGCUCUCUGGCUUGACCACAAUGAACACUAUAUUGAGGCACACUCUACUGCCCAAGUCAGGAGAUCAUAGGAUGAUUCAUGGUCGCUCCAUCAACUUGCUUCACUUAUUUGAUGUGCCACAGAAAUUCAAGGUGAUGAGUUUGAUUGUAGAAACUGUGAAGAGAACAGCUGCAGAUCAGAAGAUAUCUUGUGGAUAUGCCCCUCACAUUCAGAUGUUGAUCAACUCCAAGAUGGGAACAAGGACAUAUCUACUAGACAGUGAGCAUCUUCACCUGAGGCCAGACUUUGAGGACAAUGAGGUUGUCAUGGAUGCAUCCCAUCCUACUUGUGCAGAAGCCCAGGAGAAGAUAGAGAAGGAAAAGGCUACAAAAGCAGCAAAGGCAUCAAGUGCACCAAAUGCCUCCACGGUGCUACUCAAGACCGAGCAAGAUCAACUCAGUUAUCUGCUUGAGGCUACAGUGAGAAUUGAGAAGGUCUUGGCCACCCUGACUCAAAACCAGGAAAGUCUUGAGAGGAUCAUUGAGACAAAAUUCCAUGACCUAGAUGUCAAGGUCACUGAGAUACAGACAAUUAUGGAGAAGCUCCAAGAGGAUGCUGAGGACAGGGAAGAUAGACCAACUACAGAUACUAUUCAGAGAGUGCCAAGGGCACAAAGGUCAUCAGCUGUGCCAGUUGUCAGAGACUCCAGGACAGCCACUUCAGCACCUGCAGCAACUGCCAUGGUUGUACCUCCAGUGUCAACCCCUCCAGCUCCACAGACUUCUGCCGAAGCAUUUGCAGAUGCCCUCCUCUCCAUGCCAUCUACGCACACCGGAGCGACAAGCCAGAAGACCCCUUCAUGAGCUCCCGGAGAUCGUGCCUAGAGUGUCAGAUAGCACUAUAUGUUUUCAAACUUUUUGGUAACUCGUUGCCAAAGGGGGAGAAAGUGUAUAGAUCAUAGGCUUCGAGAGAGAGAGAGUGUGUCUUGCUUUCAUUUGCUUCUCUUGCUACGUUGAUCAUUUGGUUGUUUGACUCCUAUGCUACAAUUUGUGUUAUGCUCGUGAGAUACUUAUGUGAUCAUGUGUUUGAUCAUAUGAUUCUUAAUGUGUGCUUGCAUGGUUAUUAUAUAUGAUCAAUCACUUGUACCCUUGGUGAUAAGUGCAUGUUAUUUAACUCAUAUCAUUUUAUGCGCUCCACCAAGAUGUAUGUGACAUGGAAGAGUGACCCAUGAUCCUAAUCGAUUGUGCAUUUGCAUUCAAAAGCAUAUUUUAAAUAAUGCACAAAUUUAGGGGGAGCUCUUGCUUAUCACAUACUUCUCAAAGCGACGAUGUAUUUCAUUCAUAUUAUCAUUUGUCGAAGCUUUGAUCUAUAUGUUGUCAUCAAUACCAAAAUGGGGGAUAUUGAAAGUGCAACUAAUCCCCGAGUGGUUUUGGUAAUUCAUAACAACAUAUAGCUCAUUGAACUAAUAUCCAUUCAAGUUUAAUAUUUCAGAAAGUUCAAUGAUUGGCAUUGGCAUGGACUAGAGAUGUGGACCCCUCAAAAUUCUAAGGACACAUGUUGGCAAAAACUCAAGACUCUUCAUUUAUAUUUUAGUGAUCCAAGAUCACAUUGAGUCCAUAGGAAAGCCAAUACUAUUAAAAGGGGAUGAGGUGUUGCUUAAUGGUCUACUUGCUCAAACUGCUUAGUGCUAUUGCUCCAAAACCCUCAACCACUUUCUCUUCCAAAUAUGUCCAAAACUCAAAGUCAAACUUGGCCCCACCGAAAUGAUCCAUCCGGCGCCACCGAGUGCAGUUGACAUAGCCACUGCCAGAAACUCUAGCAAUUCGGUUACACUGAUACGGAUCUCGGUCUCACCGAGAUGGCCGUGCAAGCUCUCUGUUGCCUUUUGUAACAUUUCGGUCUCACCGAAAUGAGCGAUCUCUCUCACCGAGUUUGCUUGACCAACUCUCUUUGCUCUUUGCUGAAAUUGGUCUCACCGAGUUCAAGCAAUCGGCGCCACUGAGAUGAGGUUUUUCCCUAGCCCUAGCACAUUGGUCCCACCGAGUUGUUCCAGUCAGUCCCAUCGAGAUUCCUAAUGUUCACAUUAUGAACUGAAUCGGCCUCACCGAGUUCUCCUAUUCUGUCUGACCGAGUUGGGUCAAAUGUGUGUAAUGGUUAAAUAUUGUGUGGAGGCUAUAUAUACCCCUCCACCCCCAUAUCCAUUUGUGAGAGAGCCAUUAGAAUGUGCCUACACUUCCACUACUCACUUUCGAGAGAACCACCUACUCAUGUGUUGAGACCAAGAUAUUCCAAUCCUACCACAAGAAUCUUAAUCUCUAGCCUUCCCCAAGUUGCUUUCCACUCAAAUCUUCUUUCCACCAUAGCCAAAUAUGUGAGAGAGAGUUGAGUGUUGGGGAGACUAUCAUUUGAAGCACAAGAGCAAGGAGUUCAUCAUCAACACACCAUUUAUUACCUUUUGGAGAGUGGUGUCUCCUAGAUUGGUUAGGUGUCACUUGGGAGCCUCCGACAAGAUUGUGGAGUUGAACCAAGAAGUUUGUAAGGGCAAGGAGAUUGCCUACUUCGUAAAGAUCUACCCGAGUGAGGCAAGUCCUUUGUGGGCGAUGGCCAUGGUGGGAUAGACAAGGUUGCUUCAUUGUGGACCCUUUGUGGGUGGAGCCCUCCGUGGACUCACGCAACCGUUACCCUUCGUGGGUUGAAGUCUCCAUUAAUGUGGGUGUACGAUAGCACCACCUAUCGGAACCACGCCAAAAAUCUCUGUGUCUACAUUGUGUUUGCCUUCUCCAAACCCUUUCCUUUACCUUCACAUGCAAUGUUUUACUUUUCGCUGCUACACUCUUAGAAUUGCAUGUGUAGGUUGAUUGCUUGACUUGUACUAGUUCCUAAAAUCUGCCAAUAAUUAAAAUUGGGAAAAGGUUAGAUUUUUAUUUGGUCAAGUAGUCUAAUCACCCCCCCCCUCUAGACCUACUUUCGAUCCUACACUUACCUUCGUCGAGUUCCCAAUCUUCAGAGUUGCGUUUAAUUCUUUCCAAUAAAUCCCAUUUGAAUUCAAUAGUAUUCUUCAUAAAAGAACCAAUACAAAAAGUAUCGAGCAUGGAUUGAUCAUUACGAGAAAGCCGAGCAUAGAAAAUUUGAAUAAUAAUUUCUCUUGAGAGCUCAUGAUUGGGGCAUGAAUAUAACAUUGACUUAAGCCUCCCCCAAGCUUGAGCGAUAUAUUCUCCUUCACGGGGCCAAAAAUUAUAUAUAUAAUUCCGAUCAUGAUGAACCAGAUGCAUAGGAUAAAACUUCUAAUUUCAAUCGGUUGUAGUUCCAAGCUCCAAUAUUAUCACAUAGCCUAUACCAAUGCCAAUGCCUUUCUCUUCAAAGAUAAAGGGAAGACCUUCUUCUUGACAUCAUCCUCUAGCAAACCUGCAAGCUUAAAUAAUCCACAAACUUCAUCCACAUAGAUUAGAUGCAUAUCCGGAUGUAGUGUUCCAUCUCCUGCAUAAGGAUUAGCUAGUAGUUUCUCUAUCAUACCCGAAGGAAUUUGAUAAUAAAUAUUUUCAGUAGGUGCGGUAGGUUGAGGAGAAACUCUUUGCUCUUCCGGUCGAGGUGAAGAUACCCCGAACAAGCCCCUCAAAGGAUUAUUUUCCAUAGUGACAAGUGACAGUAAAUUUCAGCACGUAUUAUAAAUGUUUCCUUACCAAAUUCCACUCACCAAAGGCGCUUCACUCCCCGGCAAUGGCGCCAGAAAUGAGUCUUGAUGACCCACAAGUAUAGGGGAUCUAUAGUAGUCCUUUUUAUAAGUAAGAAUAUCGAACCCAAUGAGGAGUAGAAGGAAAUGACAAGCGGUUUUCAGCAAGGUAUUUUCUGCAAGCACUGAAAUUAUCGAUAACAGAUAGUUUUGUGAUAAGAUAAUUCGUAAUGGGUAACAAGUGUAACAAAGGUGUAUCAAGGUGGCCCAAUCCAUUUUGCAGAAAAGGAUAAGCCUGGACAAACUCUUAUAUAAAGCAAAGCGCUCCCAAGGACACAUGGGAAUUAUUGUCAAGUUAGUUUUCAUCAUGCUCAUAUGAUUCACGUUCGUUACUUUGAUAAUUUGAUAUGUGGGUGGACCGAUGCUUGGGUGUUGUCCUUACUUGGACAAGCCUCCCUCUUAUGAUUAACCCAUCUCGCAAGCAUCCGCAACUACAAAAAAAGAAUUAAGAUAAAGCUAACCAUAGCAUGAAACAUGUGGAUCCAAAUCAACCCCUUACGAAGCAACGCAUAAAUCAACCCCUUGUGCUAAAGAUACAGAACAAAAUCGUGUUCGUGAAUGUACAGCCGACAGAUGAAUCAAUCUCCUUUCAAGUUUCAACCCAGCAACCUUCGCGUACGUUCAUGUGUGUAUCAAGGACGCGUGGAUCUAUUGGCCUGCGCACCACACAUCCCUUCACUAAUUCCGUCAAUGUCAUUCCUAACAAGGUAAGUAUGAUUCCCUAAUCCCUUGUAUUUUUCUGAGCAACUUUCAUAUAUAAAUUAAUUUCAUCUGACUUAUCGAUUAUUUUAUAUGAUUUUCAAAGAUUUAAAUAUUUUAUGAAAUUAUUAUAUUUAAAUUAAUUUGAAAAAUAGUUUUAUUGCGUCAGCAGUACGUCAGCAUGAUCUCAGCAGUCAAUCGAGCUGGUCCAGGUCAAACCUGACCGCUGGGUCCCACAUGUCAAUGACAGAAGGGAUUAACAAAGUUAAUUUUUAACUAAUUAGGUUAAUUAGCCACUAGGGCCGAGAUGUCAGUGACUAAUUAAAUUAACUAAUUAAUUUAAUUAGUUAAAUUAGUUAAAUUAGGUGGUGGCCCACUAGUCAGUGACUAGAGUUGCCAGGUCAACAUGUUGACUCGGGUCAACAUGGUCAACGGGCCCCCUAGGACCCAUUGGCAGUGACCAGGGUGGGACCUAGGCCAGGCCACGUCGGCGGUGGCUUCGGCGACCAAAUCUGCGGCGGAGCGGCUCGGGACUCGUUGGAAACGGGCUAUAGGGGCGGUUUGGGACGUGGCCGGGUGCAUUCGAACGCGGGUCGCGCGUCGAACAGGGGCGGUGGCGCGAGCUGAAGUGGCCGGGAACUGCGCCGGCGAUGAGCGAGGCGACGGCGAGCUUCGGGCGAACGCGGCAAGGGCGAUGUGAGGCACGGCAGGGGCUGUGUGUUGGCGCUACGGGCUCCUACGGCGAUGCUGAGCACGAUCAAGUGCUCGGUCAACCUCGGCGAUGACCAUAACGACGACGACGAGCGGCACGGCUGAGACGAUCUACGGCCACAGCGACAACUAUGGUUGCGGGUGAGGAGAGGGACAGGGAAGAGGUGGAGGAGGAGCGGGAGCUCACCGGGCCCUACAGGUGUGCUAGCGUGGGCUCGGGGAAGGCUUGCCGGAGCCGGAUUGGGCAACGGAGUCCGGCGGGGCAAACACUACAAAAAAAUGGGAUAAUUAGAUUUAUGCCCCUAGUUGUGUCCCACUCGUCUGUUUUACCCCUAAUUCCCAAAAGUCACCAGUUCUGUCCAAGUCACUUUGCUCCUCUUAUGCUUUUGCCCUUUGACCAUUUGACCGUCAGUUUGAAAACUUCAUAACUAAUUCAUACUUAAUCAGAAAAAUGCAAAUAAGAUACCAAAAUAUUCAGAAAAACAUCACCUAUAUGUCAGUGUCAUUUGCAUUCAUGAAAAAAAGUGUUGGAAAGUGCACAUCCGAGUUUUAGCUCUUUUGAUACCACCAUGAAUAGUGAACUCUAAAAAAUUCAAAAAAAUUCAAAAAAAAUACGGUGGCGAAGAACAACAAAUGUUCUAAGUGCUUGCCAAGUUUCAUUAGGGAACGACAUUUGUGGAAGUCAUGGCAAAAAAUAAUCUAUUUUGGAGUGCUGAUUGUUUUUUUUUGCUGCGGCACCAACGAAUGUUAUUCCGUGAUGAAACUUGGCAGGCAAUUAACACAUUUAUCAUUCUUUGCCACCAAUGUUUUUUUAAUUUUUUUGAACUUUUUUAGAUUUUACUAUUCAUGGUGGUAGCAUAAGAGCUAAAACUCGUAUGGGCACUUUCCAACACUUUUUUCAUGAAUGCAAAUGACACUGACAUAUAGGUGAUGUUUUUCUGAACAUUUUGGUAUCUUAUUUGCAUUUUUGUGAUUUAGUAUGAAUUAGUUAUGGAGUUUUCAAACUGAUGGUCAAACGGUCAAAGGGCAAAAGCAUAAUAGGAGCAAAGUGACUUGAGAGAACCAGUGACUUUUGGGAAUUAGGGGUAAAACAGACGAGUGGGACACAACUAGGGGCAUAAAUCUAAUUAUCCCAAAAAAAAUACACUUCCGUGAUGAUACGUUUUUGUCACAGUAGGUCGCAUUUUUUGUCAUGCAUGUACAUCCAUGACGAUUUUAUGACAGAAUCAAGAUAGUCAUACCUGUGCUGUCGUAGAAGUGUUCCAUGACAUUACCAAAAUUAUCAUCACGGAAGUGUCCACUUCCAUGAUGAUAAAUCGCGCGUCACAGAAGUGCUUUCGUCAAGGGUGACCGACACGUGGCAUCCACCGUAACGGAACGUCGUUAAGCUAUCGGGUCGGGUUUUGGAUCCGAUAACCCGUUAACAGCCCCGACUAAUGGGAAAUUUCCACGUGUAAAAUUCUUAUUGGCCGGACGAAACACGUGUCAGCUCGUCAGUGGGUCAGAUAGGCGCCUAUGAUAUGUCGACACGUGCCACGGCCCACCACUAGCCCAUUUAGCUUACAAAGCUGGCCCGUUUGACUUGGUCAAAAGUUAACGGGCUGGCCCAUGAAAAGCCUGUUAACGGUCUCUUCGCAAAUAGCCCAUUUUACGGCCCAUUAACUCACGGCCCGUUAGGCCCUAAAGGAAAUCGGCCCAACAACGUCAUGUGGGCCGUCGAAUAUAACACCAGCCCAUUUCACUUUUGGCCCAUGUAUGGCCCACGACAUCUUUCGGCCCAUAUGAGGCCUUCAUAUCUUUCGGCCCUUUACAGGCCCACGGUGACUCUAGCCCAUACUGAAAAGUAACUUUCUUUAUAACCGUUAAUGGCCCGUGAUUUACAUGGGCCGUUUCCAGCCCAUGUUAGCUUUCGGCCUAUUGACGGCCCAUAUGUUCUUGGGCUCCUUUUCGGCCCUCGAUUACUUCCGGCCCGUUACUGGCCUGUUCCCCUAAUGGGCCAAAUUCGGCCCAUGGCAAGAGUCGGCCCGUUACUGGCAUGUUCCCCUAAUGGGCCAAAUUCGGCCCAUGGCAAGAGUCGGCCCGUUACUGGCUUGUUACCCUAAUGGGCCAAAUUCAGCCCAUGGCAAGAGUCGGCCCGUUUCUGGCCUGUUAACCCAUUGCGCCGUUUCCAGCCUGUCCUAUAUUCUGGCCCAUUAACGACCCGUUAUGCCUGUGACAGAAUUAAGCCUUUGUUGUCCUACGGCAUGUUAACGGCAUGUUACCGUGCUGGGCCGAUACCAAUUACGGCCGAUUACGACCCAUGUAGACCCAUUUAUCCGACGGCCCGAGGCCCACCGAUUACAGGCCCAUUUAUCGACGGUCGGUAGGAGACCCAUGGAUCCUACGGCCCGUAUAUGGCCCAUGGUAGUUGCGGCCACUAGCAAACCAGGGGAAAAGAAGACUAGGAAAUAAAUAAGGCCAAAACUAACGCUAGGCUAUUAAGGCGAUUGCAUAGAUUACAUCCACUCGGCAUCAAAGAUCGCCACCAGUGCAAAUAUAGGGAACACCCUACACUAUACAAAAAUGGCUUGCUGUUUUCUUCAGCUGGUGGCUGCACGUUAAGAAUAAAUUUUGUAUCGCACCAAAACAAACUACAACUAUAUAACAAAAGGAAGGUAUGCAUAAAACUUAACAGUCUAGCAGAUAAAUGAACCACCAGAAGUUCAGAAGCUCGGUUCAUUUGACCUGACUGUUACGUUUUCAUGUUGUAUUGUCCGAUGGAGCACCAUAACCCUCGCCUUCAUUUCCCCUAGGCUCCUGAACAACAUAGCAAAUGUCUGAUAGUCUGGUUUCAAAACCAUGCAUAUCUUGACGACAUUGAGCAAUGUUUCUCCUUGUUUCACAAAGGGUCUCUGUUAGGGAAUGGACUUGUGUCUGGAGCGCAGAUACAACAUUGCUUUGAGGUUGCAUAUCUUGAUCAUGAGGCAGUUUGGACGAUAUUGCCUUAACAACCAACCCAGUAUUAUGCAGGAAUGUGCUUUUGGCACUGUUAGUGGACAGGUACUGACCCACUGCAGCAAGAGCUGGCAUUGCGGUUAUAGUUGCCUCGCCACCUUCAGAAGGUGGCGGUUCCACCAUUUUUUCCAUAGCUCGCUGAAAAGUUGAGGUUUUACAUUAGUAGUACCAGAAUAGAAGAUAUUGAGGAGGCAGCAAAACCAAACAAAAUAACUUUGGUCUAUAUACAGAACUUAUUCUUGUGAACCCAUGUAAAAUAUUGGUUGUAUUUUAUUGCAAAGUACAUAAUAAAACCAGGUUCCAAACAUAUGACCAUGUACCAUCGCUAAUGUAUUGUCUAUUUCUUCACAUUGUAUUGAGGGCUAAGGAUAAAGAGACAAAGUUUAUAAUACGGUAAGCAUAGUAUGACAUCAUUCAUAUCACAAAACAACUGAGAACAGACAAACAGGCAAUUGUAACGUUGUGUGGGCAAGUCCAGCACGGAACUAGAUUACGGGUCAAGAUCAAAGGAACAUCACUCCUCUCUUUUAAACCUUGUAAGGUCCAAUGAUACGCUAAGACAAUUGUGUAUAAAAUUGAAAAGAGUAAUAGACAUUGGCUGCAAACCAUGCAGUUCAAGGCACAAGUCAGAGUAAGUAGUAGUUAAAAGGCAUGAGGAUUAAGGACUUACAACAGCGGCUUUGACUGGUGUAGUCAUGCCCUUCUUCUUGCUGGUGUGACAAUCCUUGAAGAUUUCCACAGCAUUUGGUUCAGGUACUUUUUGGUCCUUGCGGGCUUUCCUCUGCAUUUCGAACAAGUCAAUAUAGAUCUGAUAAUAUGGUACAGCGAAAAAGUGAAACAGCAACUAAUUACAAGAGCCUCGCAGUGUGCAAUAUAGCUACGAGAUCCUGUCGUCUGUUGGAAUUUCACUUUUGUACGGUUGGCCUUGUUCUUUGAACAGUUCACCUACAACAAGAUAGAUUUGUGUGGCACAUGCGUAAAUAGGACUUCAACAUGUGAGCUGAUCACAUAUAUAUAAUGUACCUGAUACUUCGGAUCAGACCAGUGUUUAACAAGGCCCCUCCAGUCUUCAUCCGAUAUAUUUUCCACUGGAGAUGUUUGGGAAAGUUCACUAUUAGCCUUGCCUUCAAAGUGAGUUUUCCUCAAGUUAUACCGAUACUGUCGCAGAGCAGACUUGAAAACAUGGGUGCAAGCUUGUCUGGUUGCAUCAUCUUGGCUAUCCAACUUGAACCUCAUCUGUUGAAAAUUAUGGGAGUCUCAUUAUCAGCAACCUAGAAAGUAUGGGAUAGAGCAAGAUGAUAUUACUAGUUUCCAUACAUAACCAUACUUACAGAUAAAUAGUCGAGGAAGGUGUUGAACUGGGUUUCGUCUUCGUCAUUCCUGUACUGAAUCCAUGUUGGGAGGAUACGUACAUGACACCUAACAGCAACCGCUGCCUCUGAUACUAACUUGGCUGACUCUGUAGCAUCACGUGGCCUUUUGAAACCUGCCUCAAAACGGAUCUCCAUUCUUCCUCCUCUAGACAUAGUUAACCUAUCGAGCAUUAUCCCUGAUGUUUGUUUCCUCUUGCGCCUAGGUGCUAGUCCAACAACGAACAUAGGAAGUGUUAGUGUACAUCAAACUGUGAGACUACAUAUAAAGAAGCAUGCAACUGUAACUUGACUCCAGCAACUACCUUCUUGUUGUUGAAGCUCACAAGGUUCAUCUGAUAUUGCCAACUCGUCUUGUGUCAAGAGUGCUUGGGAAGUAGUGUUAGGUGGCAAGGGAGCUUGGGAACGUGCUGCUAGCUCAGUUGACGCACGAGUAAGUCGUGCAGCUGGUAGUACUGUGGUAGGUGUUGCAAGAACUAGGGAUGUCUCUGCUUGUUUGGUGGCAGCUAUUUGUUUCUGUUUGGCUUUUUUUGCAACUCGUGUAGCAUGGGAUGCCGUGUUUGUAGAAUUUUCCGCUGGACUUUGACCUUCUAUUGCACCAUCAGUACCAGCAGAAUCUGCAGGAUUCAUCCGCUUCUCAUUCCCUGUCAUUAUGUGUUUCUUCCUCUUUCUCUGUGCCAUGUUAAGUCAAGCUGACAAGAAAAACGAAUAACAAUUUAGUUCUUCAGAACAAAUUGAUGCGUGAUGCAGAUGAACUGAACUUUGAUGUUAGACAACCACAUGAUAGGAGGAUGUAAUAUGUAUGAAAAACAGGACGGAAGAGAUAACCAGAACUAUGAUGUGUAAACUAAGAAGAAGACAUUUCACCAAAUUAGAAGCAAUGCAAUGGAAGGUAGACACCAUAUGAAAGAUGCUACAAAUAUCGCUCUGCCAAGUUAACAGUGUCUCAUCAUAAAUGGUGUUUAAACAAAUGUGAAGCAGUACAAGAAAUAAAUCAUAUGCAAGAUGCAAACAACAUCACACUACCAUGUUAGAGGUCUCUCGUCAUUAGUGCCAUUGCAUAUUCACAGCAUUGCAUAUUCACAGCUUAUGAUGUGUAAACUAAGGAGAAGGCAUUUCAACAAAUUAGAAGCAAUGAAAGCUAGACACCAUAUGAAAGAUGCAACGAAUAUCACUCUACCAAGUUAAAAUUGUCUCGUCAUAAGUGCCAUUUCAACAAAUUAGUAGUACAAGCUAGAAAAGAAUGUGAGAUGUAACCUAUAUCACACUCCGAAGUCAAACGUGUCUUAUGAUAGGUUAUUGUUGCAGGUUACACAACAGUAGUAAUUUGAUGUAAGAACAUGGUGUGAUAGACAGAUAUUGUAUGUUCUAGAAACAGGAACACGUGUCUUAUUCAAGUAUAAUGUGUAAAGUAAGCAGAUGGAAUUCAACAAAAUUAGAAGCAAUACAAGCUAGACAUCACACAUAACAUGCAACCACAUAUAACAGUGUCAAGUUAGAGGGAGCACCGGUGAUGCUGCACUAGUGGAGACGUGCUCAUCAUAAACACAGCUUUGUUGAGUGUCUAUGCAUGUGUUGUCUUGGAAAUCAUCUUGGGGGUGUGGAGGAGUAGAAACUAUGAGGCCCUCCGUUCGGAAGGAGCACCUUUAUCCGCUGCCUUGCUAACUUCCUUCCGCUUUAUUGAUUUUGAAUUGUCAAGUAAAACCGACAAGAAAAAGCAAUAAAAUUCUCUCUUCAGAACUCAUUCAUGCAUGAUACUGACAAUCACUACUUUGAUGUAAGGCAAACACAUGAUACCAGGAUGGAAUAUGUACGAAAAACAAGACGGUAUGGCAUGUUCACAACUGUUUGUGUAAACUAAGCAGAAACCAUUCCAGCAAAUAAGAAGCAAUGCAAGCUAGACACCGCAUGAAAGAUGCAACCAAUAUGACUCUGCCAAGUUAAAAGCGUCCCAUCAUAAAUGGAAUUUCAACAAAUUAGAAGCAGCGCAUGCUAUAAAUCAUAUGAAAGAUGCAACUAAUAUCGCACUGCAUAUACUAAAGGUGUCUCGUCAUGUUGAUUGAUGCGGGAUACAAAAAAACAAUAGUUUUAUGUAAGGACAUGCUUAAUAGACAGAUGUACUAUGUACUAAAUACAGGAAGGCAUGUCACAUUAACAGGUAUAAUGUAUAAGCUAAGCAGACUAGCACAUGCAGUUUAACCAGAUUGGAAGAAUUACAAUCUAGACACCAUAUGCAACAUGCAACCACAUAUCACGCUGCCAAGUUAGAGCAAGCACCUGCGAUGCUAGUGUAGGGGAAAUGCUGUAAUCAACUACAGAGCUACGUUCACUAUCUUCAUCUAGCAUUUCUAUUUCUUGAGAAUCAUGUCGGGAGGCUGACGCUGCAUUCUUUAAAUGAGGAGUAGUCCCCUUGCCUGCCUGCCUCGUCAUAAGUGAUUGAUGAGGGAUACACAAGAACAUUAGUUUGAUGUAAGAACAUGGUUAAUACACAGAUGUACUAGUAUGUACCAAAAACAGAAAGGCAUGUCAUAUUCAAAGGUAUAAUGUGUAAGCUAAGCAGAUGCAAUUUAACCAAAUUGGAAGCAAUACAAGCUAGACAUCCGGCUGGAGUGGUGAGCAUGAUCAUCUAGGACCUGAGAGCCUGGUGGGAGGCGGGCUGCUUCACCACCAUCGCAGCUUUUUAGUUGGCUUCCAGGUGAUGCCUAUCUUUGCUGGGCUUGUCACUGGCUCGGCCAGUGCCCUGACUAGCUAUUUGUCUUCUGGUGCUCACGGGAUGGUGGUUCAUGUAAAAAAAUUAUCUUUCCUUAUCUUACCGACUUCAGCCUUUCGAAUACAAGCUAGACACCAUAUGGAACAUGCAACCACACAUGACACCGCGAAGUUAAAGCAAGCACCUGGGAUGGUGGUUCAUUGCGAGCGAGGUCAUCAACUCCAGAGCUACAUUUACCGUCUCCAUCCGCUGACACUGCACCCUUUAUAGCGCUGUAACGUGUCUUGCCUACCCGCAUACGAAGCUGGAGCGACUUCUCUCUUUUCUUUUUGGCUUCUCUCAUGGCAGCAGAGUCUGAAAUACCCUUGCAUAAAAACACAAUAGUGAGAGUAAGGGUGAAGUGUGUGCACAACUAGUGCACUGUAAAAGUAGCAGAUAGCAGGUGGCUGAAAAAUAAAUGACAGGAGACAUAUGAUAGCUCUACAACAUUGCAUGGCAAACAAAAUUAGAUUCUACUCCGUAUGAUUUUGUAAUAUAUGAGCACAGGAAAUGCAGGUACUCCUCCAGCACACCACCACAUGUGGUCAUAUCUAAGAUAACAGUCGACUGAAAAUAAAUAGGUCAGUCGAUUUUUUUUAAUGAACCGUCCGAUCUAUAAGGAACGGGUAGAUGGCCUUCGUCUACCUUCCGCCAGUCACUGUUGACGAUCUUUCUCGAACCGCCAGCGACCACCGGCCCAGACCCCUGCCUCCGCCGCCCCGCCCUCCCAUCGACCUCACACCACCAUCGUGCUUGGGAGCGCCCCCAGGCCAUCCCUUUAAUCCCGGCCGACCUCCAGAUCGGGCGCUAGUAGCUCUAGGCCGCACACGCCCCUAAGAUAAACACCAAGGCUCUGCUUCCCCGGCGUAAUAGGCGUACUAGCGCCUGUUACGCCGGGGAAUGCUUCCAUUAAUUGGGAAUCAACUGGCCAAAAUUGAAAUUCAGGGGGGCGACGGACCUCUAGCUAAGGUGAAAUAGUAUAUGAGGAGAAACCUUGUGCAUCACGAGUUACUAGGAACAUCUAGUAUCAAGAAGAAGCAGUCAACUAGUGUCUUCUGUGGGAUGAAUACCGUGCAAGCAGAGACGUUGCACGAAUAAGGGAAGAGGAGUACCUUUUUCGGUUGCCGGUGUGGUCACCUCCACAUGUCGUGCCGAUCUUCUUCUUUUUACCGGGAAAACCGAUGUUCUGAAGGGUGCAGGCUUGGACGAACCCAUGGCCAAAUUGUUGACUGUGUUGCCGUGGCCGUAUGUCAGCGGAGGGGAAGCAGAUCCGAGGCGGCGAAGGACGGCGUAGCAGGAACAGCUCCGGUGCGGUGGAGGGUGGCGAAGUUGGAGCGGUAGCGGUGAGGCGCAGGACGGCGUGGUUGAACUGGCUCAGGUAUGGACGGCUCGGCCUCGGCUUCAACUACUAGCCGUGGAGGGCGUUGCGGUUGAGGUUGCGGUUGAGGUUGCGGUGGACGACGACGUCGGGGUAUCGGCUCCGGCGUGAUGGAGGAGGGCGGCGGUUGAUGGGUGGGAUGGGGUGGCGGACGGAGGACGCCGGGGUUUCGCGGCUGGUGGAGAGGUAGUUUUGGCGCCCACGGAGUACGAAUGGGGAAUCGGACGGGUGGGGGAACCAUGUUUCGGUCUGGGAUGCGCUUGUUUUUGGCUUUUUUGAACAAAAGAUGGGACGCGCUUGUUUGAAAUUUGGGGAAAGUACAAACUUUUCCCCCCUCUUAAAUUUCGGACCUACUGCGGGUCGGGGGUAGGAUGGUAAUCCCAGGUGUCCCAAAUAGUGGGCGGGAGCGAUUUCGGCCGCGCGCAUGUGUGCUUAGGCGGCCAUUGUGUAUGAAUGGCGUCUAGAUGAAGCUACAAACCUACCCUGGUUUAGACCUCUGGACGUCGGGCCGGUAGGUCUCACGGGUCGGAGUUAUUAGAAAAGUAAUUUCCUUGUACUACCAAACAUUGGUCUCACGCGGUUUCGGGCGAGUAGAGGCUCUUUUGGCGCUUUGUUCGAAAUUUUUAAACACAAGCAUUCAUGUUUAGAGUACUCUUGAACUAUGAGGAUUGACCUAAAUAGACAACGUUAUAUUUGACCUUGUAUGUUUGAAAACCUCAUUAAAUUAUCCGCUUCAUUUUGAAAUUUUGACACUUGAAAAUCCUAUAACUACGAUUAUUUUGGAAUGGAGGAGCUAAAUUUGAAUCUAUUUUGUACACGACUACAUAUGCUAUUAUGUACAAAAUCAGAGCAAAGAUUGGUGCCCCCAUAAUUUAGGUAUGGUUUACAAAUGCCAUGAUAUCAAAUUCAAAUAAUUGAAUGGACUUCAUGUUGAAUUCGAUUUUUUAAACCACCUUAAGUUGAAUUCAAAUGUAUGCUAGUUCAUAGGUAGCUAUUUAUAAUGUCCAUUGUGUAACUUUCGUAUGUAUAAUGUGCUUUACACACACAACAUGAACUAUACUCACGUUUAUAUUCGAUUGCUAAAGCGAUGCAUUGUCUGGAGUUCAAAAUACUAACUAUGUGGAUCAAUUGUGUCGAAUAAUAACAUAGACAUGCUGAAAUUCGAUAGAAUCUAGAUGUCUGAUGGAUCAAUGACCGCUCCUUACGCGAAUUGCAAAUAUCAUGAUCCCAUCCUAAUACUUGGAUACAAUUUAUAUCUUUAAUCAAUGUGUAGAGCAGUCUUUUACGUGUAGUUUCACUCUCCAUCGGUGGUCUCUCACACAUGCUCACACACUCUCUCCCGAGGUGUCUUUCUCGCACACAUGCUCUAGAUAUAACCCUCCCUCCCUCUCGUAACCAUUUACAAUUGUUUUCACUAACCUUUAUCACAAGCACUCUUCCUCUCGCAAACAUACACACGCACAAUCCUCAUCGACCCUUUCUAUAUACAUGGACCUGCCUACGUGUCUCAUCUACGCACAUUAUCUUUACGCCUGUCUCUCACGCAUUGUCUCACACCUCUCUUCCUAAUCGACGAGUAUGAUUCUAGCAGAGCAUUCUGUAGGAUGCCCCUUAAAGUUAGGUUGGAUGAAUAGUAAUAUCAGAGAUAAAGGGGUUACCUUAGUCCGAGAACCUAGGGUUACAAAUCCUAGCCGGCUUUGUCAGUGGACACAGAGUCCUUCACAAUUCUGCUAUCUUUGUCUUGUACGACUAGUCAUCCAUGGGUCUUCCUAAAUGCGUCACGGGCCGACCAAUGUGGCGCAGGACGAAACCGAACGAAGGGCCUCACCUCGACCCACCGGACCUCACGCGGUGACACACCCUCUGCCCCCACGUCUCAUUAUCUUCUCACACCCACACAUACCAACACAAACACCACACACACAGAAAAUUUCUCCUGGUGCCUCUAUUCCCUCNNNNNNNNNNNNNNNNNNNNNNNNNNNNNNNNNNNNNNNNNNNNNNNNNNNNNNNNNNNNNNNNNNNNNNNNNNNNNNNNNNNNGUAAUACACACACAUACCUCUCUAGGCCCCGCCAAAUGCAUCAACUACACAUUCACACAUGUUACAUCACGUACCCCAUUGAUCUAAAAAGCCCUCUCUUCACGUUUAUUUCGCAUACAACAUUCCUUUUGAAUAAAGUGUGGCAAAAAAAUUAUUUUAGAGUUUCUACAUUUAUACAACAUUACAAAGUUAUAUGGAGGAGUACGAACGCUAAUUUGCAUUGCAUGGUGCCCACAAUGAUAUUUAUUCCGCACUGUGAAUUUGUAUAUUUUUAUAAUAUAUACAAAGUUAGUCAUAAUAAAGAGAAACGAAGAGCAUCUCUCUCCAUCGCAUACCCCCCUGUACGCCCCUUUCACGUAUGCACACAAAACUAUCUCCAGGUCCUCUAAAAGUAAGCCCCCAGAAAAUUCACGGAUGUUUCAUCUUUCUCUCGCGAUAUAUGCAAUGACGAUCAUUGUAUUUGAAGCGAAAGCACGAUACGUACAUUGGACUUCAAAAUCCACUCAUUACGGUCACCAUUUACGUUUAGUGGUUAUUAAUAGUCACGGGCUCACCGUACAACUCUGUAUUUGCUCAUGACAUGACUAGCUGACCAGUUAAACGCUCCACGUGGCACCUCUAGUGUUGCAUCACAUUAUCUCACUACCAUCGUGCCCACCUGUCGACUUGUAUCUACUCUACAUCUACACUCUUAUAAAAUACAUGAUGGUGUGCCUGCCAUCCUGCAAUAUAGGCCGUCCAAUUUAUAUCUGACGGAUAGGAAAGACACUAUGGCAAUUUUGCAAAAAGGUACCCACACACCUCUGCACAUUUGCAAAUAAGGCCUUCCCUUGUUCAUCCUUUUCUCUCACAAGAUAAACAAGUCAUACAAAUGCAUCUUGAUGUUACGUGCAACGCACGGGCAUCUUGCUAGUAAGAAUGAAAACAAACGACGAAAAAAUAUUUGGACGGUGGUUCGAAGUCAUGACCGCGGGCACAGCGGACAAAGGUGGCCUUGUAUUGGUAUGCUGAGCCGUCUGUUUUAACACACGGGAGCUGGUGUGGUGAUUAUACACACACGCACGCAUGCACACGAACUGCAUCCACGCAACACUCACACAAACACAUGCACCCACGCACGCACGCAACACUCACAUGUACACACGCAGCCACGCAUGCACGCAACACUCACACGCACGCACGCAACACUCACAUGCACACACGCACGCAUGCAUGCACACACCAGUACACCACACGACCAACACACACUCUCACGCUCAAGUGCUCAACCUACACGUGCAUGCGCACACAUCAGGCCCUGACAGACACAUACACAACCAGGUGAUUCCCGCGCACGGGUUGGAGCCUUGUCGCGCCUGCGUAAAUUUGUGUUUAUCUGACCUUUUGCCUAUGCGAACUGACAGGUGGGACCCACAAGGAACGUGGUCAAUUUAACUAGUCAACAUGGCGCCACGCAGACUAUUUGGCCGGUCAACAGAGUGCAAUCCGAUGCUGAACUGUGAGCAAGUGACCGUAUAAUCACCGCAAAACGUAUAUAGUGACUGUAAUCAGCUUAUUCUAAAGUUCGGUGACCGUAUUACGCUUUUCUCUCUGUAGGCCCUCCAAAACUACAUCUCUACACGUUCUCGCAUGUUACAUCUAACAACUAUGCAAUACAGCACUACUACUACACUCUAACACAAUAAAUCAUAUGUGUUUUUAGUUUUACUAGAUAUCAUAUUGUUACUUAUAAUUAUUCAGUUUGCAUACAUUAAAAUUUCCUUUGAAAUGUAUGGCCAGUAUCAUCUACCGCGCGGGGAAAAUCCCGCCCUUUCCUGUUUAAUCGGGUUUGUAUCGAUGGAUCGUGCGAAACAGCAAAACUAUAGUACUAUACAGUACAAGUGACGGUUCACUGGGUCGUCAUGUCAUCUACUCCUCCAUCGUAAGAGUGGAGCGCUCGCUUUCAUAAAUCUUCUAGUCCCUUUCACCGACAUGUGGGACAUCAAGCUACCGGGUCCACGUGCCAUACCGGAAUACAGUGCAGAGCAGCCGGGGUGAAGCACCCCAGUCAUGGCGCCGGCGUAGUAAUGAGCAAUGAGGCGUCAAAUCACAAAGCUGCACCUUUCCCGCAGUUAAGUUGGAGGGACGAAGCAACCAUCAUUUCACUCGUUGAUGAAUCCGCUUCUCCCUCAUCUUCUUCAACUUAACCACGUGUUGCUUCUGCCGUUGUUCUGCCUCAUGUGGGACGCGGAUCGGCUUGGUAAAGCACUGACACGUGGGACCGCAUGUUAGCAAACCGCCAGGACAACGUCCUCCAAAAAUAAGAAGCCUAAUCCUAGACUUACAAAGGGCUACGUAGCUGCUACGUAUACUUUCCAUCUAAUCUAUAUAUGCCCCCCUGAUUUUCAGGUGGGGUGGGCCUAAUCCUCUCCUUUAAUCCAAUCAAAUAGUCCCACAUCACAUCAGUUCGUAACUUUACGUAAACCAUUACGUGGAUGUAGCAUUGCUCAAAUAAGAAACCUCCCCCGCCAUCCGCGCGGAAAAAUCACCUCCUUUUUACUAAUCUUGAUUCUAUAAUUUUUUAGAUCAAUAUAAUUGAGAUUUGUAUAGAUAGCACACAGGAGCAAAUCCAAGUGGUACGGUUAAGGGCAUCCACAAUGUGUAGCCAAAUGUGAAAAUAGCUUUUGGCAUCGUGGGAACCAUUGUGGACGGUGUUGCCAAAGCCAAAAAGAUGGAAAAGAAGCUCCCUGAUUGAUUGAUUGAUUGAUUGAAGGAAUAGAAAAAUGUAACGUCUCUCCUCUUUCUCCCAUGCUUGGACGCAUGUAGUACAGUAUAGAGCACAGAGUCUACUCCCCUGUCCCUUCUAUCACAAAUCACAAAGCAGUGAGGCGUCAAAUCACAAAAGCACGGGCGAAGCAACCAUCAUUUCACUCUUCGCUGACUCCGCUUCUCCAUCGUCUUCUUCGAGAAACCAUCUCACCGCACUAGUACUCCUAGUAGUACUAGUAAAGGACUUCCUAGAUGCAAAUAAGGUGGUUGUCUCGGCUUGCAAGCGGCACUUACGAAUGACUUACCGUGGUCUCCCUCAAUGGUGUUCUCCGUCGAACGCACUUCGCCAAACCACCCAAAAAAAAGAUAUCGUCGACGUCACCGCAAUGGGGAAGGAAGUCAAAUAUAGUUACUACCUCUAUUUUUUUGUACACAAGGCCAGUAUAUCAAAAUUACAAUUUGCAAAGGGCCACUAACACUAAUCGAGGCAAAAUUGAUGGGGUUAGCAACCAAGGACAUUAAUAUCCCCUGCAUGCAUGCGGAAGUGAGAAGGUUGGUUUGCAUGGCGCUGCAUUAAUCAAGCAAUGAGGAGUGAGAUGGUUAGCUCUUUGGUCUUUGGAGAAAAAAAUACGCAUUAAUUGACACAUGAAACGAGGAUUUGUAUCGAUUAAAUCCCAUGAAGGAAAACCCCUCCUUUCUUUUUUAACACUAGUACUCCUAGUACGUACGUACUUAUCCUGUUUGGGUCUAGGCCUUGCAUUGCCAAACUUCUCCACACAUUUUUGCCAAGCUUGCCUAAAGUUUUCAAAAUGAGAAGGAGGUACACUUGCGCACAGCUGUCGCGGUCGCACCGCACCCUCACACGGUCGCUCCUGCACGCCGCGGUCGCACCGCACCCUCACACAGUCGCUCCUGCACGCCGCAAACCCAACCAAGGGAACGCACCCUCACUGACACGUGUUGUCGCAUGUGAACAAACCAAAUUCAGCCAUCCUAUCGCUGACACAUAAUUUUCGUUCAUAGAGUAUGUUUAUCCAACCGCAUGUUGGGGAGUAUCCGUACGGCCCGUGCGGUGGUCUGUUGGGGAAGAAGAAGAGGUGAGGAAGAAGGAAAGAAGGGUUAGGAGACGUAGGAUAUUCAUCCAACUGCCUGAAAUGGUAGACUGACCCAAGGCAGGCGACUUGCAUAACAAAUAUAUGUUUUUACACAGCAAAAGAUCCAUAAAAACAACAACAUAAAGAAAAACUAUCACUGCUCGCGGAAAGAGACGGCCUCGCCGUCUUUCGCUGCCUGCGUGAACCAGCCGUCGCUGCCGACGUGUGUCUCUGCACCGUGGUUGUCCUCGGCCUCCAGCUACUCGUUCAAGCGGAGCGUGCGGGCGCUCUGCACGGACGAGAGCACAGCCUGGUUCAAGUCGAGGACGUCCGGUUCCGCCUGCAGGAGGGCCUCGAUGGUAGCGGCAUCCGCGCGCUCCGCGUCGAGUCGAGCCUCCGCCGCCCGGUUCAAGUCUAGGACGUCCGGUUUCGCCUGCAGGAGGGCGUCGAUGAGAGCGGCAUCCGCGCGCUCUGCGUCGAGUCGAACCUCUGCCGCCCGGUUCAAGUCCAGGACGUCCGGUUCCGCCUGCAGGAGGGCCUCGAUGGCAGCGGCAUCCGCACGCUCCGCCUCAAGUUGAGCCUCCGCCGCCCGGUUCACAUCCACGACAUCCGGUUCCGCCUGCAGGAGAGCCUCGAUGGUAGCGGCAUGCGCACGCUCCACGUCGAGUUGAGCCUCUGCCUCCCGGUCCUCCUUUAGUAUCGCCAUGUUGAACCGCUGGUCCGCCUGCACCAUGGGGGACUCGGACGCCGGCACAAAGUCGACGUCCAUCGUCUCAUACCCAUCGGGGGCAUUCUGCGCCGCGACCUUCGCCAUGAACAUUGGAUCGGCUUCCUCCUCCUCGUACCUUGGCUCCAAAGAACUCGGGGAUUGGCCCGCCGCAAAGCGAGCUUGGGAACGGAGGUCUGUGGCGCCGACCGCCGCCGCGAUUUCUGCGCGGCGCUCCGGCGUCAGCAUCUUGUAGUAAGUGAUCUUGCGGCGCACCAUGGCUUUCCGGCGAACUAGGGAACGCUUGAUGCGGGCUAGGGGAUCGAAAGGUGGGGGAAUGGGCUGGAGAUUUGGUGUGGUUUUAGGGCAGUGGCUGACGUAGGCCGAGCAGUGAAGGUUCUGGUGUGAAUAGUGGUUCCGGUGACGACCGGUCAAUCGGUUUUGACUGUACAUCGCUCUUGUCGCGUUCGCGUUGCAGCCCGGCACGCUGGACCCUCCACGUCGCUCACCGAAUGGAACGCGCUUUGUCUUGCGUUUUCGCUCGCUUGUGGGACCGCAGUUGAGAGCAAACCGACGUCCCUCCCCCUCCCCCGCCCGCGUCAUUUAUUAUACCACCACUCCCUCCAUUUUAUGCGGAGUAAAUAAAAACAGAGGGAGUAUACUACGGAUGAGGAUCCCCUGGCGUGGCCGAACCCAUUGAGUAACUGACAUGUGGGGCCUAGCAAGCAUGGGGUCCGCCAGUAAGUGACUGAAAGGGAGGGUAAGGCAGGGAUACCUACGUCAGAGGAUGCACUUCCACUAUACUACUUUGACCAAAUGUUAGAGUAAUAAUAUAUGACAUGCAACUUACACAAAGCGUACAGGGUCUAAUGCGUUUUUCGAGGCUAAAUUUGACCAAAUGUUAGAGUAAUAAUAUAUGACAUGCAACUUACACAAAGCAUACGGUCAAAUUCGUAUGUGAAAGGAGUUUCCAAUGAUAUAAUUUUCACAUUAUACAUCUCAUGUACUAUUAAUCUUGUCAAUAAUCAAAUUGGAAACCAUCUCGAGUACAAAUCUAGGAGUACGUACGAAUCUAACAAUAUUGAUUGGGCGUUGUUGAAUGUUGAUACCUUUUUGAUCAAAGUAGAGAUACUUUGACUACACAUAAAACUUAUAUGUAAACUAGAAAGGAUAGGGGGAGUAUAUUGUACGUUCAAAAACGAAACGAACAUUGAAUACCCUUUAUAUAUGAUUUGCGGAUGCUAUGAUCACCGGUUCAAAAUUUUGAAUCCGCCUUAGGUAUCACGUGCCCCCACUCGUUCCCUCUCGAUUUCAUCUCGGGGUCCGGAGAUCUAUUGAAAGAGGACUAGGGUGGGUACAUGUGAAUGAUACUCGGCGGAAUGUUCAAAUGAGGCAUGCGGGAGGAUGGACUCGACUGGAGGGCGACAUGAUCGAUGGAGAAGAGGGUUGGAGAGGAAUGAGAAAUAAGAAAACGCCACAUGAUUAUACUUGAACGGCUCAAAUAAACAAUAAGUUGUCUCGCUUGGCCUACAUAGUGAAAGGCCUAAUGCGCAACUCGGAGCACUGACGCUCGAAUAUGGCCGGGAAAACAGGGAAACCGACAUGUGGGGCACACCCGUCGGGACGACGUAGCGCAGACUUGUCCAAUGGAGGAGCUAGCCCACGACCUCCUCGCCACCGACAACCGUUCAUGUGGGUCGUUGGGGCCAACAAUGGGGCGCAGCUCCAGCACCGCCUCUGGACACGGCAACCGCGGUGAGCGACACGCUCAUAUCGUCGCUAGACACGGUCGGUUUCAGUGUGCCGAGGGUGGCGUUAGUGUUGUGGCACGACCAACGGUAUGUUUGGUUUGUGCCCAAGGUUGCCCCAUCAAAGCAUUGGGUAGCCAAAAUUUUGGUUGAGGUAUUGGUUGCCCAUGAUUUGGCCGACAUUGGCAAGAAAAAUGAACUAGAGUUGGCUAGAGUUCAUUGGCAUGCCAAAGAAAUGGCAACCAUCCAAACAAAGACCAAUCUUUGGGUCAUGACCAAAAUUUUGGUUGAGGUAUUGGUUGCCCAUGAUUUGGCCGACAUUGGCAAGAAAAAUGAACUAGAGUUGGCUAGAGUUCAUUGGCAUGCCAAAAAAUGGCAACCAUCCAAACAAAGACCAAUCUUUGGGUCAUGACCAAAAUUUUGGUAAGGUCCACUUUGGCCACAAUCCAAACACACCCCAACACCCGGCUCGUCGAGGAUGCACGGGGCGCCGCGACGCGUCCGCGGAGUGGUGUAGCGCGGCCAACUGCAUCCUCUGGACCUGAGACCAUGCCGGGUCGUCUUGCUUUUUCAAUGACAUGCGGGGAUCGCAUGUGAGCAAAGGGCAUCUCCAACGUUGCCACGACCGCAGCUAACUACCCUGGCACACCAAAACCCUCGUCCCUCGCGCCGUCGCGCAGUGCGUUCCUAGCCGGCGCCAGCUACCUGCAUUCAUGCCGUCCGUUCGUAUGUCGUCGUUAAGAGGCUCGGUGCCCGAGGAACCAACUCCGGCGACUUAAUGACGCACCCGGACGCCUGGCCUCACCGGAAUGCGCUACUUAAAGCGGCAACGCCCAGCUAACCUCCACACCAUAGCGCAUCGUCCUCCUACCUGGCACCACAUCCGCCAUGACCGCAAGUGCGAACGCUCUGCGGGAGAGCUUGUCUUCGGGGAUGAAGCUCGAGGUCGCCGCCCUCGCUCAAGUCGCCUCUCGCGACGCAAUAGCGGCGUAGGCGGACGCGGACGCGACCGCACAAGCGGUGGCCACGCUGGCGGCCGACGACGGGAGAACUGUCAGCCACGCGUCCUACUUGCCACCGUCCAACGUCCGGCACCGCCGAGGUCGGGGACUCCUCCGAGGAUGAGUAGGGCAUGGGAGGCGGCAGGGCAUGGUGUGCCAACUGGCCGGUCCGUAUCCCGUGUUCUACUCUUCCUCGCCGGAGACCGCACCUUCACUUCACGGGUCUUGAAACCCGCCCCCGUACAUAGAGAUCGCAGAUGGAGGACGUGGGUCGCCGCCAUAGAAUAGGUUUAGGGUCGGGUUUCUUUUAUUUUUCUGUCCUAUAAAAGUUCGAAAUGUAAUGAAAAUCUGCCGUGUUUGCAUUAAUCUCGGCCGGUGUAUAUUUCACAAUAAUAUACAUAUUGUAGGAGUACUAGCAAGAUGCCUGUGUGUUGCACGGAAGAUCAAGAUCUUGUGGGAGAAAAGGAUGAACGAGGGAAAGCCUUAUCUGCAAAUGUGGAGAGGAGUGCGGGUAAAUUGUCAUAGUUUCCUUCCUAUCCGUUAGAUAUAGAUCGGACGGCCUAUAUUGCAGGAUGACAGGCACACCAUCAUCACCAACUCUGCUUUUUAUCGAACCGAGACAAAUCUAACAUGCGAAGUAAAAUAAACACAUAGGGUCUAUACAUACACAAAUUAUCUUAGGCACUCCAAUAGUACGUCCACUACACAUUCACGCAUUUCACAUCUUUCUACAUCUACGGGAACCUACGAAAGGGUUAACGUAAAUAGCCUCUCUCUCUCCUCCCCUGAUUUUCAUGGUGGUGGGCCCCUCCCUCCCCCCAAUCUACAAUCAACAGCUCACAUGUUUCACAUUACGUUAAUUACGUAACUAGGAUUACGUAGGUGUAGCAUUACUCGUCCUAAAAAAACCAACUAAGCCAACCUCCCAGCAUAUCGCGUGGGAAAAGACCCGGCCGCGCCGUUUUAGUCGGGAUUACCGGAUUACUAGUAGUAGUAUCCAUGGAUCGCGCGAAGCAACAAUUUUUUUUUUGAGGGGGCGAAGCACCUAGUUUAAAAGGAAAAAAGGCGGAACACUCACAGCACUCCUGUCGCGGUCGCAUUGCACCCCACACACGUUCGGUCCUGCACACGGCUCACGCAAACGGAACGCGCUUUGGCUUGCCUCUUCACUGACACGUGGGACUGCACUUGGAGAAACCGACCAUGCGCCAAACUCCCCCCGCCCACCGCGCGAAAAUCCUCCCCCCCCCCACACCCAAAAAUUCCCCCCAAAUCCGAUUCAACCGCCCUUCGGCCAACUAGCNNNNNNNNNNNNNNNNNNNNNNNNNNNNNNNNNNNNNNNNNNNNNNNNNNNNNNNNNNNNNNNNNNNNNNNNNNNNNNNNNNNNNNNNNNNNNNNNNNNNNNNNNNNNNNNNNNNNNNNNNNNNNNNNNNNNNNNNNNNNNNNNNNNNNNNNNNNNNNNNNNNNNNNNNNNNNNNNNNNNNNNNNNNNNNNNNNNNNNNNNNNNNNNNNNNNNNNNNNNNNNNNNNNNNNNNNNNNNNNNNNNNNNNNNNNNNNNNNNNNNNNNNNNNNNNNNNNNNNNNNNNNNNNNNNNNNNNNNNNNNNNGUCGACGCCGCGGUUCGGCGAUCCUCUCGCUCCCACAGUACGCUCUCGUAGACUGUCGUCCUCUAGCCGCGCCGCCACCUCUGGCUACCUUCUUGUGGAGGCGCACGGCGGUCAGCGCCGCCACCGCUAGCGACGUUCGUGUGGAGACGCACGGCGGUCAGCUUCUCCCAUGGUACGCGCAUUCUAGACUGAGGCCCCGUUCAUGUUGGUGUAGCGCUGAAUGUUAGCUGAUAGACGCUGUUAAUCUCACUGUUUGCCGAAGUAGUUUACUGUCAAUAUGCUCUGCUUAAGAAGCUUCCUUGCCCUGUUCUGCACUCAAUCUGCUUAGCUGAGAUGGCAUGCCAAGGCCGAUUAGUUGCUAAAAUAUCCUGCCAUAUAUUUAUUGUGACGUAGAUUGCCAUGGUCUAGUAGCCAAUCUGUUAGGUGAAAUAGCUCUACACCGUUUUAUACUCGAUCUUUGUUGCUGCGAUGGCCUUCGAUAGUUCGAUGGUUGUGUGCUCGGCCUCAUUGACUGCUGAAACAGCCUGCCAUAAUUUGGCACUCAAAUCUGUUUGCUAAAUUAGCUUUACAUAUAUUUCGUUACUUAGAUCUGCUCGUCCAAAUAUCUUGCCAUAGCUUUAGACAUCGACCUAGGUAUUUUUUUCUGGACUUCAUAAAAAAGCAUAUAUGUUUUUCCUGUAAUAUCUAGUAGAAGAACUAAUUUGUAUGUCUAACAGAUGGACAGGACUUGGAUAACUUCUGCUCGAAGAUUCUCCGCUACAUAUGUCGAGGGGGUUGAAAACUUCAUGAACUUUAUCAGAGCUGAGUACAGUGGUCCGAAAUCAGAUGUGCUCUACCCGUGUAGCAGUUGUAUGAAUUCAGUUACAAGACCCCAGUCAACUGUGCAAAAUCAUCUACACUUUUAUGGGAUGUCGGUCACAUAUAGGUGGGUUCAUCAUGGUGAAGCUGUGAACGUCAAUGUUAUUGACUACGUGGAAGCAGCAGAUCACCAUCUUGAUCUGCCUGAUGCUCAGGUGGAAGAGGAGGAGGAGGUGGUGGUGGCGGAGCCAGUGAGUUUGACCAACAUUGAAACAAUGCUACGAAAUGCUCAUGCAUUCCGUGAACUUUCACCAGCAGAAGAAAAACGGUGGGCCCGCAUGUUGGAACAAUGCAACGUUGCUGUGACCCCAGGAAAUAAGUUGUCAGUAUUCUCAGCUAUGGUCACCUUUCUUCAGGUGAAGACAUCUGAGCGGAUGCCCAACAAAUCAUUCGAUGCGAUGUUGGCUGCUUUCCGCAAAUCUUUCCCAGAUGCGUCUGAGCUGCCACACACCUACAGUAAAAUGAAGAAUUUCCUUCGUGCAGUUGGAAUUGGAUAUGAUAUGAUCCAUGUUUGUAAGAAUAAUUCUGUUCUGUUCCGAAAGGAUUAUGCCAACUUAAGUGAAUGCCCGAAAUGCAAAUCAUCAAGAUGGAAAGAUGGCGAUGCUGUGAAGAGGAUUCCUCAUAAUGUUCUGAGACAUUUUCCAAUUACACCAAGAUUGCAGAGGUUGUUUCAUGAUGCUGAAACAAGAGAGGAUGUACUGUGGCAUUCUAGGAACCAGGAGUAUAGAGAUCAGAAUGUAAUGAGCCAUCCAUCUCAUGGUAGUGAGUGGAAAAGCUUCAAUGGUAAACACAAAGAGUUUGCUGCUGACCCGAGAAACAUUAGACUUGGCUUAGCUUCAAAUGGAUUUAACCCAUUUGGCCACCAGAGCGCCACAUAUAGCAUGUGGCUAGUGCUUGUUAUCCCUUACAACAUGCCUCCAAAUGUCUGCACCAAAGAAUCAAACUACAUGAUGGCCUUGCUCAUCCCAGGUCCAAAAAGUCCUGGAAAGGAUUUUGAUUUGUUCAUGGAGCCUCUUGUGGAGGAACUUCAACAACUAUGGAAGGGUGUUCUCACUCGAGACCUAUAUAGCAGCCCACCAGCUGAUUUCUUUCUGCGUGCUGUUAUAAUUUGGUGCAUCCAUGAUUAUCCGGCUUUGGGCACUAUGUCAGGGUGAACGACACAUGGUUACAAUGCAUGUGUUCGCUGUGACAGGAAUCUGCUGUCAUACGCAAUACUUAGCAAGAUCUGUUACAUUGGACACCGCCGCUUCCUUGCCAAGGACAAGCCGCAUCCUAGAAAAUACCGAAGACAUGUGUUCAAUGCAAAGCAUGAAAACCGUGAUGCGCCAAAGAGGCUCACCGCCGAUGAGUUGCAAGUGGAAUUAGAGAAGGUCAGGCAUAUUACACCAGGAAACCAUCCUGGUAAUGGUAGCGGGAAAAGGAAGCGUGGCAGGGUAGAAGAGAGAUUAUUGUUUACCUGCAGGUCCACUUUGUGGGACUUGGAGUAUUGGAAAGAUUUGGAUCUGCGGCAUAAUCUUGAUGUGAUGCACAUCGAGAAAAAUAUAUGUGACAGCAUUAUCGGCACACUUCUUAAUAUUGAAGGCAAGACGAAAGAUACGUUAAAAUCUAGGAUUGAUUUGACACACCUGGGUAUCAGAAAGGAUUUGCAGGUGUAAGAUGAAGGUAAACCACGGGAUAUGGCACCAGCUGUGUACGUCUUGGACAAGGUAAAAAGAAAAGAAUUCUGCGAGGUCCUGUCACGUGUGAGAUUCCCACAUGGAUUUGCUUCCAACCCUGAAAGGAGAGUCAGUGCAGAUGGAAACGAGGUACAAGGGUUGAAAACUCAUGACUGCCACGUCCUACUUCAAAGAGUUUUACCUGUUAUCCUUAGAGGAUUGGGCCGCCCUGACUUAUGCAGAGUAGUUGCAGAGUUGGGACAAUUCUUCAGGGAACUCUGCAGUAGGAAUAUCAGGAUAGAUGCUUUGGAGCGUCUUAGAGACAAGGUACCAACUAUCCUAUGCGACCUUGAGAAGAAAUAUCCUCCAGCCUUCUUUGAUUUGAUGGUGCAUUUGGCUGUUCAUCUACCUGAUGAGGCACUACUUAGAGGUCCAGUACAGUAUGGCUGGAUGUACCCUAUUGAAAGGCGGCUAGGCACUUUCAAGGGCUAUGUUAGGAACAGAGCUAGACCCGAGGGUUCCAUUGCAGAGGCCUACAUUGCUACAGAAGCGUUGACAUUCUGCUCAAAAUACAUUGAAAUAGCUAAUCAGCUUAGCAAAGAGGUGGCUGAAGACAAUCCCAGGCUCAAUGUUUUCGAUUAUUCUGUUCGAGUUACAGGGAAGAGUCGACAAGAGGAAACCUAAAGAUUUGGACAAAAUGGUUUGGUAUGUGUUGAAUAACUGUCCUGAGAUACUACCUUAUAUCAAGUAAGUGCAGUACUGCAGCUUAUACAUCGUAAUCUACUAAACUUGCAGCACAUUCUUAUAUAUUUAGAUGUUUGACGCGAUCACUAUGUUGUGCUGCAUCUACAAAGAGGAGUUACUGCCGCAAAAUCCAAGAAACAUUGACAAACUGGUUAUGGCAGGAUUUGCGAAAUGGUUCAAGAACCAUGUAAGCUUUUGAAGUGCACUAUUAGUUUUUUUAAUAUAUUGAGUACAUAAGAUGAUCAGCUUGUCUAUUUUCUAACCAUAGGUUAAGAAGAUGCGGGAGGAUGGGAAGGCAGUUGAUGAUGCCCUUUACUCACUAGCAAUGGGUCCUGAUACUCGGGUAAGACAUUAUGAAUCUUGCGUUGUUGGAGAUGUGCGCUACAACACCCUUUCAUGAGACGAAGGCAGGAAGACACAAAACAGUGCCAUCAUGAGCACGGAUACGUAUGACAAAGAGACAACUAAAAUGUAUGCUAACAUAACAGACAUUGUUCAGUUGCAGUAUAUCUCCAGUUUCGAGGAUCAUCGGUGUGUGGUUCUGUUGUGCUGUCGUUGGUAUAACCUGUUUUCCAGGAUCGCAAAACCCAGAGCUGAUGAUUAUUUCAAAUCCAUCAAUGUCAAGGCGGCGUACCAGACCAACAAGCCUUUUAUUUUGGCAAAUCAAGCAACACAGAUAUUUUUCUUGGAAGACACAUUUGCACGUAGCAAUGACUAGAGAGUAUUGCAAAGGUUUGAGCAGAGGAAUUCGUUUAAUGAAGUUGCACAACAAGAUGAUGCUUACACUGCUCCUGAUGUACAAGAUAACACAGAUGUUCCUAACUUUGAGAACCAUCACGUCAAUGACGCCGGCGAAAAGAUUGCCUGUCAUGCUGUGGACAUACAAGAGUUGAUCAAGAAGAAGCCAACGUUCGAGGACGUAGAGGACGAAGAAGAAGAUGACACCGUGGGGAAUUACGAUUCAGACUGAUACACAUGGUGAAGAUGUUGACGCUGCUGCUGCGGAUGAUGAUUACAUUGCUUUUGUCGUAUUUGCCUGUCAGAAGACAUUUUUUAUCUACUAUGUGAAAUUGUGUUUGCUAUGACAACUGAAACCUGAUGAACAUGUUGUUUAGUAUUUUGCUGUGAGAACAUCACUUGUUAUGUAUGCUGAUUUGUGUUUGGUGAUUGUAUGACAACUAAAACAUGAUGACAUUGUUGUUUAGUUGUACUCAUAUUUGGCUGUGAAACUUGAAUUUGAUGACAUAGUUUGCUGUUGGACUGCAAUUUGCUCGACGUCUUCGAAUGAGAACAAAGCUGACCCGACAGGGCCUCUGUUAUUUAUUUAUUUAUUUAUAUGAGCAAAAGGGGAUACCCCCUGAUUUCCGUUAAUAGAAAUCAUUAGAUGUUCACAACACUACGCCCAGCCUGCUACACAGGUUUCAUUCAUUACUAGUUUCAGCAAAGUGCUCAUGUCGUAGCCACUGAAUACAUCACGAGUGCUACAUACACUGCAAAUAAAGAGACAAUCAUCCUACAGAGCACAUCAAUUUUGCCCAUUAUCUUCACAAGCUCUUUCAUCUCCUCAUUGCUGUCAAGGCCGUUCAGCAGCUGUUGCUUGGGCAUGAUCAAAGGAACUGCAUCUUUAACCUUCUGCUCUGCAUCUUCCUCUUCUGCCAUUCCUUCAGUUACUUGUCCAACACCCCAACCUGCUGGUAUUGGGAUUCCUCGGCUUACCAAAUAAUCAGCGUAGUUGCAUUCCCCCACAUCAGCAACUUCCCAGAAAUACAAAUCACACGAAUCUUCCCUUUUCUGCACGAAUCAAAUUGGAAGAUCAUCAACCAAACUAUUAAAAAAAUCAGCAACUGAAAGCAGCAGAACAACACUUGAACAUAUUAUUAUCCCAUGGUUCGGGCAUUUGUAGAAGACUCGGCUAGGGUUGCGGAUUGUGGUUGAGACGCGACGGAUGACUCUGCGUGAUUUGCAGCAGUGGCACCACACCAAUGGCAGCGGGUUGCGAUGAGCAAUCGGCUGCGGUGCGCGUGCCGGCGGGGGUGUGAUGAGACCAACAGGCGAUGGUACGGGUGGCGACUUGGCGCAUAUCUGGUUGUUGCCUGCUGAAGAGCAGGUGGACGAGCAGCCAGCGGACAUGGUUGCUGCGGCCAGAGCUUCUGAUGCUAGGCAGAGUAAGUAGAGAAGAGGAGAAGCGAACAUUGGAUAUGUCAGUUUCAUUACUUGCAGAGUAGCAUAGCACCAUAUAUAGUCAUAGUCUAGGUUUGGAUUCGAACCAGCUACAGGAGCACGUCUUUCUUUUUUCUAAAACUCGGCAACGCCUCUUUACUGGUACACUAGCUUGUUCUGUACGCCUUCCCAAGUCUUUGAUUUUCUUUCCCUUUUUUGCGAGGAAGGAAGGAGGACAAAAUUGAGAGUUCCUGGGACUCGAACCCAAGACCUCUCGGUUGAAAACCAAGGGUGCUAGUCACUUAUGUGGCGAACGUUCCCUGUGAGGAGGACGGCAAACGAACGCAUUUUCCUCGCAGUUUUCUUCCUAUAUAUAAAAAAGUAUGCUACUUGGUGUCCGCUUAGUCAACAAACGAUUGUGCCAACCUUGACCGUUGGAUUGACAUUCAACGUCUGUCGCGUUUCUUCAGUCUCUUCUUCCUCGAGCCGCCAAAGCCAAACCAGCGCCGGCGGGACCGCCUGCUCCUGCCUCCCACGGUUGGCUGUGAUCUUCCCCGGCUCCUGUUCAUUCCCGUCCGAGGCCUCACCAUCGUCCUCCACCUUGGUUCACUCGCCGCGGCGCCGCCCUCCGGUGUUGUCAACAUGGUCAAUAACCGAGAGGAAUAAGGAGAUGACUGUACAUGGUGAGGAUGACAGUAGGGACCCAGCAGCGCGCGCGGUAAUUUUGUUUUUUCGGGACGGAGAAGGGUAUCAACUGGGUUGUGCGCGACCCGUGGCCCGUCUAGCCCAGGCUUUUAUUUCAUAUAUUUAGCACAUGACCAGCCUAGUUUGUUUUUUUCCUUUCUGAAAAUGGCUAGCCAGCUAUUUUGUUUUUUGCAGAAUAACCAAUGUAGGCCUACUUGCUUUUCUAUGCCCUGCUGGGCCGGAAAUCUUUCAAGACGAGGAGGGAUGCAUUUUGCCCAGAAAAUGGGCUAUAAGUAAUAAGAAAUGGGCUAUAAGUAAUAAUAAAUGGGCUGUAAAAUGAAAAAAUACAGCAAACAGGUAAUUAGUUCCAAAAUACUGUUUUCUUUCGGAUUUUGAUAUUUUAAAUUUCAUUGUUUUUGUGCGGGUAAAAUUUCAUUGAAUUUAAACUAAGGUAUAUUUAGAUUUAAAAUUAAUUUGAAUCUGGCUAGAAAUUUUGGGCUGUAUGUUGUUUGGGACAUAUUUGGAGGCUGACUUGUGGGUCUACUAGGUUGACGUGUACUUUGGCUUUGUCAACUUAGUCCACAAAUGAUUCUAGCAGAACUGACCGUUGGAUGUUAAUCCAACAGCCGUGUUGCUUCUUCAAUAUCUGAUCUUCUUGCUCCAGCCGCCCAAACCAGCUCCGGUGGGACUGCCUGCUCCCGCCUCCCGUGGCCGGCUGUGCUGCCGCACAGGCCGCACCGCCCCACCCUACUUCAUUGCUGGCUAGGCCAUUCCUCUACUCACCCACACCUCAUGUUAUUUUCCGACGACGGCAGCCGGACCAGUAAACCCUCGUACUCCCCACCGCGUGGGCAACCAUUGCCGAGUCUUCCCCGGCUCCGUGUCGUUCCCUUCCUAGGCCUCGUCGUCGUCCACCGCCAUGGUGCUCUCGGCGUGGCCUGGUCAACGUGGUCAACGAACGACAUCCAUCGGCCGUGGACUGUACGCGCAAAAUAAUGAUUCCUCCACCUGACAGCUGGGACCCACCGGAAGGGCCUUCGUAUUUUGUGAAAAAACGUUCCCCCCGCUGACAUGUCGGACCCACCAGCUAUAUCUUCGCACGCAAGGAAGUGCCUCCUUAUUACCCACAAAAAAAUGAAUACCCCCUGCUAGCUGGGACCCACCAUAGUGGGAGGAUGACUUGUGGGCCAACUAAGUUGACGGGGACGGAGGGCUUUGUCAACUUAGUCAAUAUGAACGAUUCUAGCUCCAGUGACUGUACGAUGUCCAUCCAACGGCCAUAGUGCUUCUUCAACCUCUGGUCUUCUUGCUCUAGCCGCCCAAAGCAGCGCCGGUCGUGCCGCAUGCUCCUGCCUCCCGUGGCCGGCUGUGUUGCCGCGGAGGCCUCACCGCCCCCUACUAUUCCCACCGCUGGCCAGGCCCUGCGGCGACGGCAGCCUCACACCGCAGUCGAACCAGUGAACCCUCGUACUCCUCUCCGCGCGGGCUUCCACUGCCGCGUCUUCCCCGGCUCUGCGUCGUCCCCUUCCUAGGCCUCACCGUCGUCCACCGCCAUGGUGCUCUCGGUGCGGCCUGGUCAACGUGGUCAAGGAACGACUUCCAUCGGACGUGGACUGUACGUGGAGAGGCUGACAGCUGGGCGGCCGCAGCAAGGAAGUGCCUCCUUAUUACGUGGAAAAUAAUGAUUCCUCCACCUGACAGCUGGGACCCACUGGACGGGCCACUGUAUUUCGCGGAAAAAACGUUUCCCCCUGACUGUUGGGACCCACCAGCUUCAUCUUCGCACGCAAGGAAGUGCGUCCGGGCAAAAAAAACGAUUCGCCCCCUGACUGCUGGGACCCACCAGCUACACCUUCACACGCAAGGAAGUGCGUCCGGGCAAAAAAAACGAUUCGCCCCCCUGACUGCUGGGNNNNNNNNNNNNNNNNNNNNNNNNNNNNNNNNNNNNNNNNNNNNNNNNNNNNNNNNNNNNNNNNNNNNNNNNNNNNNNNNNNNNNNNNNNNNNNNNNNNNNNNNNNNNNNNNNNNNNNNNNNNNNNNNNNNNNNNNNNNNNNNNNNNNNNNNNNNNNNNNNNNNNNNNNNNNNNNNNNNNNNNNNNNNNNNNNNNNNNNNNNNNNNNNNNNNNNNNNNNNNNNNNNNNNNNNNNNNNNNNNNNAAGGAAGUGCGUCCGGGCAAAAAAAAAGAUUCGCCCCCCUGACUGCUGGGACCCACCAGCUACAUCUUCGCAGGCAAGGAAGUGCCUGACAGUCGGGACCCACCUAGUCGAAGCGUACGUAGCGUUGUCAUUCUGGUCGCGAACGUGUACGUACAUACUGGUCGAUGUAGAGGCGUGCACGUGUCGUAGUAGAGGCGCACACGUGUCGUAGUAGAGGCGCGCACAUAGCAUGUACACGUACGUACAGCGGCCAGGGUGCAAGAAAGAAAAUACGGCCACGUAUGUGUACAUACGGGCGGGGUCUCGAACGCCUACUCGCGCAUACGUACGGCCAGGGCUCGUGUACAUGGCUGGGUCGGAACGGAGAAACAGCGUCGUCGUCGUGUUCAUGGGGAGGCAACGGAAUGCGUCGUGUUCAUGGGGAGGCAACGGAAUGCGUCGUGUUCAUGGGGAGGCAACGGAAUGCGUCAUGUUCAUUGGGAGGCAACGGAACGCGUGGGAGCCAACCGGCUGGGUCGGAACGAAAUGCGUGGUCGUGUUCAUCGGGAGGGCUUGGACGGAACAUGCGAUGGAAACGAGGCCUGGCGUACCGCAAAACAGAGGAAACGGACCUCCUACGUUCGGAACAGGGUCCUGUUGAUCGGGAGGGGUGUGGCGUACCGCAAAACGGAGGAAACGGACCUCCUACGAUCGAAACGGGGGUCCUGUUGAUCGGGAGGGGUGUGGCGUACCGNNNNNNNNNNNNNNNNNNNNNNNNNNNNNNNNNNNNNNNNNNNNNNNNNNNNNNNNNNNNNNNNNNNNNNNNNNNNNNNNNNNNNNNNNNNNNNNNNNNNNNNNNNNNNNNNNNNNNNNNNNNNNNNNNNNNNNNNNNNNNNNNNNNNNNNNNNNNNNNNNNNNNNNNNNNNNNNNNNNNNNNNNNNNNNNNNNNNNNNNNNNNNNNNNNNNNNNNNNNNNNNNNNNNNNNNNNNNNNNNNNNNNNNNNNNNNNNNNNNNNNNNNNNNNNNNNNNNNNNNNNNNNNNNNNNNNNNNNNNNNNNNNNNNNNNNNNNNNNNNNNNNNNNNNNNNNNNNNNNNNNNNNNNNNNNNNNNNNNNNNNNNNNNNNNNNNNNNNNNNNNNNNNNNNNNNNNNNNNNNNNNNNNNNNNNNNNNNNNNNNNNNNNNNNNNNNNNNNNNNNNNNNNNNNNNNNNNNNNNNNNNNNNNNNNNNNNNNNNNNNNNNNNNNNNNNNNNNNNNNNNNNNNNNNNNNNNNNNNNNNNNNNNNNNNNNNNNNNNNNNNNNNNNNNNNNNNNNNNNNNNNNNNNNNNNNNNNNNNNNNNNNNNNNNNNNNNNNNNNNNNNNNNNNNNNNNNNNNNNNNNNNNNNNNNNNNNNNNNNNNNNNNNNNNNNNNNNNNNNNNNNNNNNNNNNNNNNNNNNNNNNNNNNNNNNNNNNNNNNNNNNNNNNNNNNNNNNNNNNNNNNNNNNNNNNNNNNNNNNNNNNNNNNNNNNNNNNNNNNNNNNNNNNNNNNNNNNNNNNNNNNNNNNNNNNNNNNNNNNNNNNNNNNNNNNNNNNNNNNNNNNNNNNNNNNNNNNNNNNNNNNNNNNNNNNNNNNNNNNNNNNNNNNNNNNNNNNNNNNNNNNNNNNNNNNNNNNNNNNNNNNNNNNNNNNNNNNNNNNNNNNNNNNNNNNNNNNNNNNNNNNNNNNNNNNNNNNNNNNNNNNNNNNNNNNNNNNNNNNNNNNNNNNNNNNNNNNNNNNNNNNNNNNNNNNNNNNNNNNNNNNNNNNNNNNNNNNNNNNNNNNNNNNNNNNNNNNNNNNNNNNNNNNNNNNNAGGCAGCAUCGAUCGGCUUCAGUUAGCAGCAGUAGCGAAGGAAUCGCUCGAUCGGGUUCAGUUAACAGCCAUCGAUCGAUCGCUCGGGUUCAGUAACGCGUAGCCUGCAGUGCAAUCGCUCGGGUUCAGUUAGAGCCAACGCCUCGCACACACGCGCGUACGUGUACGAGAGAAACGCGCAUCGCUCGGCCCCCGACCUCCCACCGUAACCGGGAACUCCCCGAAAUUUUCCUCCCCCUCGCUUCUACCACGGUUUUUUCCAUCAUGGACGGCCCAAAGAAUGUCAUGCAGCUGCGUCUCCGGCCCGCCCAGGACGAAAAUCCCAUUUUCUGUCAUGAUUUUUUGUCAUAGAAGUAGGAGCCCACCACAUCUAUGAUGAUACCGGGUUUUGUCACAAUUAUCGUCAUAGAAGUGUCAUAUGUAUGACAGAAAAAAAUUCGUUCGGCCCAAAAUGUCACGGAUGUGUCUUUUUUUGUAGUGAAAGGAGGAAGAAGACGGCGCGGGCGGUGUCGAUGUAACUCUCGAGCCUCGAUCCAGCGGCGAGGAGGAAGAAGCGGUCGGCGACGCGUCCCUUGUGCACGGUCCCGAGGCAUGGGGAGGGCGAUAGCCACGGCUUCUACGGCGGUGAGGCCAUGGCUGCACUCGGGUGCUUGCUGGGGGAGGAGAUCUGGGGCGAGAGGGGAGGAGUGGGGGUGAGCGAGUGGACAAGUGGGGAGGGGAGCCCGAGGAGCCGCGGAGCUGGCGAUCUUAUCCCCCCUGCGGUGGGGCGGCGAGGCGGUCGGGUGGCGACCGACGGGCACGCUCGGUCGUGUGAGCAGUAGGAAGGAGGGAGACGACCGCAGCAGCUGGUCUAGGUCGGCCUGGGCCUAUCCCUGUGGCCUAAGGCCAACUCCACCGCGCGACCCCAAACGGACGUCCGUUUUGUCCGGAUUCUGUCCGUUUGGGUAGGGCAAUGGGGUCGUGUCCGGGCGUGUCCUGGGAUGCGGUGGCCGUGCGCCCAGCGCGCGGCCGCAUCCGUUUGCCCUGUCCUGUCCGUCGGGGCCAAAAAUGCCCAUAUUUUAAUCAAAACUAGUUUGCACGUCCAAAUACUUGUCUGAAAAUUAAAAUAGUUUUACAACCCAAUUGAAAUUGUCUUUAAUAAAAUAGUUUUACAACCAAAUCAAAAUGGUCUUGACUGAACAUAAAAUGAACCAAUACAUCUAUUGGUUGCCAAUGUGAUCCCACACGUGCUCAACCAAGUCAUUUUGAAGAUACAAAUGAGUGUGCCAAUCAUGCAGCUCACGGUGGAAUUGGACAAAUUGUUCAAAUGUGGCCGGGUCUUGGUGCAGGGGCUCAAUAUUUUCACCUUGAUAAUCAAAUCCUUGGUCGAAGAUACUCUCAUCACGCUCGUCCUCGACGAUCAUGUUGUGCAUGAUCACACAAGCAGUCAUCACCUCCCAAAGCUUCCUUUCAUCCCAUGACAGUGCAGGGUUUCAAACGAUACCCCACCGGGAUUGAAGCACACCAAAAGCACGUUCCACAUCCUUUCUAGCACUCUCUUGCAUUUGGGCAAAUCUCUUUCUCUUCUCACCUUGGGGUUUCGAGAUUGUCUUCACAAAAGUUGACCACUGAGGAUAUAUACCAUCAGCUAGAUAGUAUCCCUUGUUGUACUGGUGGCCGUUGAUCUCAAAGUUGACAGGUGGGGAGUGGCCUUCUGCAAGCCUUGCGAAGACUGGAGAAUGCCGCAGCACGUUGAUAUCGUUGUGAGAACCUGCCAUGCCGAAGAAAGAAUGCCAUAUCCAAAGAUCCUACGAAGCCACCGCUUCUAAUAUGACAAUGCACGCCGACAUGCCCCUUGUACUGUCCUUGCCAAGCAAAUGGACAGUUCUUCCACUCCUAGUGCAUACAAUCUAUGCUGCCAAGCAUGCCUGGAAAGCCUCUAGCUGCGUUGGUCGCCAACAAUCUCUCUGUAUCAGCGGCAGUUGGCUGCCUCAAGUACUCUGGGCCAAACACCUCGAUCACAGCCUGGCAGAACUUGUACAUUGACAUCAGACAUGUUGUCUCACUCAUGCGCACAUACUCAUCAACCAGAUCGCCUGGAAUUCCAUAUGCAAGCAUGCGGAUGGCCGCGGUGCAUUUCUGGUAAGAGGAGAAUCCAAGCUUGCCAAGGGCAUCCGUCUUGCACUCGAAGUAUGGGACAUGAGCAACCACUCCCUCUCGGAUACGAUUGAACACAUGCCUUGCCAUACGAAAACAGCGACGGAAUUUAUCCGGCUUGAAGAGCGGGGUGUUCGCAAAGUAAUCGGCAUAGAGCAGGGUGUGGCCUCUCUCCCUGUUGCGGUUCAGGUUGGGAGCACGGCCAGGGAGUGACCCCCUAUACCGAGGAAGCUGCCGUUGAAUGUGGUCGUGAACGACCAGUGCAGCCACCACAAGAUCUUCAUCAUCCGACGACGAAUCGUCCGAUGAACAAAGGAAGUGAUGGAAGAAAAACUCGUCUCCACUGUCCAUACCUUUGUGGGCAAAAUGUCGAACACCUUGCGGUCGUGGUGGCGAAGAGGCCGCGAUGAUCACCUCGACGCAGCAGGGGUGGUUGUCGGCUGGCUACUGUCCGCUCUGGAGCUCUUGUCGGAAGUUGUCGUGGUACGUCGCCGGUGGUCGUGUCCCCUCUGCCACCGGCAAAGAUGGCGAUGGCCAAACCUCCUCCGUUCGACGGCCAAAACUACGGCGAAAGCGCGGGCGUGGUGGCGGCCAUGUCGAGACGUGGUUUGGUAUGGACGGCCGGGGGCUGCGCGGUGAGGAGGCGGCUGGAGAAUAGCGGCGGCGCCGGCGGCGGGGCGGGGCGGGGAGAGAGGGUGGAAGCGUUGGGAGCGGAGGGACUGCUAGUGUCCCCGACAGGCGAGCCAUGGGGGGGACAAGGGCGUGCGUCGAGGCCGUCCGCGCGCGUCCGUUUCACCCCAAACCGAGCGCAAGUUUGGGCCGGGGAUGGGUCGAAAAUGGACGGAAUCCAGACAUUUGUCUGUUUGAGGCCGCGUGUUGGGCCGCGCUAUUCGUCCGUUUUACCCCAAACGGACGCACCCGGACAAGAUGGGGUCACGCGGUGGAGUUGGCCUAAGGCCUAGGGGCAUGAGGGUUUCUUUCUUUUUCUUCUUUUUUUCAUUUUCUAUUUUUCUUUUAUUUGUUUCCGAUUCCUUUUAUUUUCAAAAGUAAUUUAGUUUUAUAAAAUAUAAAACUUGCUCCUUAACUAGUGUUGUAAAUUAAGCCACUGCCACAAAAAGUUUGGCAUUAAAAUAAAAUAGAUUGGAAUUUUUAUAAUUUAAAAAGCAAUUAAAAUAUUGUUUUGGCCCCUGUUUUAAUUUUUUUAGGGCAUUAAACCAUUUUAUAAAAUGUUGGUUUCUCCACCAUAAUUAUCUAUGGAUUAUUUGCCAUCACAUGAACUUUUUAGUUUUCAUAUUUGUGAAUUUAUUUGAUUCACUUAUAAUUUGAAUUUGAUUUCAAAGUGGAAUUUAAAAUGAGAUAUGGGUCAAAAGAUGAUCAAGCACUGUUUAGCAAAAUGACUUAGUUUAACCAGAGAGGGUUACUGUAGCUUAUUACAUAGGGGUGUUACACAACACUUAUAUGUGAAGUUAAUAACAAACUUUAAUACCGAUAUUUCUACUAACCAAUGAUCAUGAACUAAUAUUCUUUCCUAUUACGACAUCAAUACAAUUAAACCAUAUGUUUAAUAUUUAGUGGUUUGCAUGAAAGUUUUUAUUAUAUCCCCCUUGAAUCCCUAUCCUUCUCAGACUAGUCUUAUAACCCGUACAUAUUGCCAAUUGCUAACUAAUACUCUCAAAAAUAUUUAAGUGAAGCAUGAGAGUGCAAUCAUUUCUAUAGAAUAUAAUCAUCGACGUGCUCUAAAAGAUAUAAGUGAAGCACUAGAGCAACUGCCUAGCUCAAAAGAUAUAAGUGAAGCACAUAGAGUAUUCUAACAAAUCACGAUAAGUGUGUGUCCCUCUCAAAAGGUGUGUCCUGCAAACAAUGAUUGUGUCAAACUAAAAGAAAACCAAAGCAAAACUAUGAUACAAGACGCUCCAAGAAAAACUCAUAUCAUGUGAUGAAUAAAAAUGUAGCUCCAAGUAACAUACCAAUAGAUUGUAGAUGAAAGAGGGGAUGCCAUCCAGGGCAUCCCCAAGCUUAGAUCUUGGGUCUUCCUUGAAUAUUAACUUGGGGUGCCUUGGGCAUCCCCAAGCUUAGGGUCUUUCCGCUCCUUAUUCCUUCAUCCAUCAUGAUCUCACCCAAAACGUGAAAAGUUCAGCACACAAAACUCAACAGAAACCUCGUGAGAUCCGUUAGUAUAAUAGACAAAUCAUAAACUUUACAUACUGUUAUGAACCCAUUAAUAUUUUAUUCAUGUAUAAUAUAUAUCGUAUUCUAAAUUUUCUCCAUGACGUAUACCCCCCGAUAUAAUCCAUAGCAUCAUUAAAACAAGCGCAUUAUUCAAUAAAAAAACAUAAUAUGUCUAAAACAGAACAGUUUGUAAUGACCUGAACAAAAACUAUACUUAUGUAACUCCAAAAAAUCUGAAAAUUAGGACAACGCGGGAAAUUUGUAUAUCAACCAUGUGUAAAAAAUUCAGAAUUUUAUCACGCUCCAGUGAAUUAUAGUAACUCCAGCACUGGACGCAAAAGUUUUUGUUUUUUCACAGAAUCAAGUCAACUAUCAACCAAAUCAUCCCAAAGGCUUUACUUGGCACAAACACUAAAUUAAACAUAGAAAUACAAUUAUAACAGUAGCAAUAAUUGUGUCGGCACACCAAAACAGAAAGUAAAAGCAAAAUUUUAAGAUAACUAUUGGGUUGCCUCCCAACAAGCGUUAUUGUUUUACGCCCCUAGCUAGGUGUAAGGCAAUGUUUCAAGUAUUCUCAUCCUUAGUUUCCAAAUCCUUUUAAUCAAGUCUUCCAAGACUUGUCUCAUUAAUUCCCUACUCUCAUGUUCUACUUUUCUAGUAGAACUUAAAUAGUUGAAGCGACUUUGUUCGGUAAUUUUAAGGUUCAUUACUUCAAACUUCGAAUCAUCACCAUAGAGAUCUUCAUACAAAACAUGCACUUCAUCAUCAAUAGGAUCUCUAGACAUACUUUCAAACCACUCUUCAUUAAACCCUUCACAAAUCCCCUUAGUGAUCCAUUCAAAUUUAUCACAAGUAUUGUGGUACAAGGUUUCAGUUAACUUAGCAUAGGGAACUCUCCUUCUAAUAUUUUCACCGUAAGCAAAAUAGUCAUUAGAUUCCAGCCUACGUAUGGUUUCCUUAUCAUGGAAGAUCUCUUCUAUAGGAGGAUGCUCGAAAUCAAUUUUAUCUAAGGCAAAUAUAUCCCUAGCUUCUCUAAUUAUAUAACCAAAUUCACGCAUAAGGGUAAUGGUGGCGUUCUUUUUAGCCUUGGGUUUAUGGAUGUUGGGGAGUUCAAAGAAUAUAUUUUGUAAAGAGGGAUGGAAAUGCAGAGCUUUUCUUUCCAAUUUAACCACAAGCAUAGCAAUAGCAUCCACAUAGCAAUUUGUUUUGUCAAGAAUAGAUCCUUUAAUUAUUGGUAUGACUCUCGUGCAAGUAAAGAAUUCUUGAAUGAUAUUCUUCCCAAUAAUAUUCCCACUACCCACAUGAUAAGUUUUAGUUUCAAAAAUUGUAGGAGAUUUAUUUUCCGAAGGAUCAUGCUUAAGAUCAAACAACUUAGGCUUAUCCUUAAGAGUAUCACUAGUGCUACCUUGAAUAGCAUUUUCAACAAUAACUUUCUCAAAUUCAGAGGUGAUAGCAACUUCAAGCAAAGCAAGCAAACAAGCAAAGUAACAAAGCAAAAUAUUUUUGUGUUUUUGUUCUUUAGAGAAGUGGAGGGAGAUGAAAAAGAGAGGCAGAUAAAAAGUAGAGCAAGUAGAUGAUAGUUUGUAUGUAGGAACCUGACAAGAAUUGGAUGAUGUCUCCCCAGCAACGACGCUAGAAAUUCUUCCUGCUACUUGUAAACUGCGUUGGGAUUUUCCCGGAAGAGGAGGGGUGAAUCAGUACAGUAGAGAUAAGUAUUUUCCUGAGUGAGAACCAAGGUUAUAGAACCAAUAGGAGAACCAAUAAAACACCCUUCUCCAGCACUUACACACAUCAAAGUAAAUACUUGCACCCAACGCGGGCAAGAGGGUUGUUAAUCCCCUUGAACUCGUUACUUGCAAGGAUUAAUUCUAAUAGUGAUAGAUAGCUAGAUAGGUAGAUAAAAAUAAAAGUAAAUAAAUUGCAACAAGGUAAUUUUGGUUUUUAUAAUAUGAUAAAAGUAGACCUGGGGGCCAUAGUUUUCACUAGAGGCUUCUCUCUCGAAACAAUAGCAUAUGGUGAGUAAAUAAAUUACUGUUGUGCAAUUGAUAGAAAAGCACAUAUGUAUGAUGAUAUGCAUGGCAAUGAUCACACAUAUAGGCAUCACAUCCGUGACAAGUAGACCAACUCCUGCCUUCAUCUACUACUAUUACUCCACCAAGCGACCGCUAUCCAGCAUGCAUCUAUGGUGUUAAGUUCAUGACAAACAGAGUAACACUUUAAGCAAGAUGAUAUGAUGUAGACAAAGUAAACUCAAGCAAUAUGAAUGAACCCUAUAGUUUUAUCCUUAAUGGAAACAAAUACAAUACAUGCCUCGCUACCCCUUCUGUCACGAGGUGAGGACACCACAAGAUUGAACCCAUUACAAAGCACCUCCCCCACUGAAGAUAAAUCAAUCUAGUUGGCCAACACAAAUGGAUAGAUCGAAGAGAAAUACAAAGCUAUCAUAAUCAUGCAUAAUAAAGUUAACAAAAGACUCAGUUACUUUCAAUGAAUAAUCUGAUCACCAACAAUUCAUCCGAUCCCAACAAACACACCGCAAAAGAAGAUUGCAUCGGAUAGAGCUCCAAGAAGAUCGAGGAGAACAUUGUAUUAAAGAUCAAAGAGAGAGAAGAAGCCAUCUAGAUACUAGCUAUGGACCCGUAGGUUUGUAGUAAACUAGUCAUGCAUCAUCGAAAGGCAGCAAGGAUGGCGUAGAAGCCCUCCGUGAUCGAUUGUCCCUCCGGCAGAGUACCGAAAAAGGCCUCCAGAUGGGAUUGCGGAAGAACAGAAGCUUACGGUGGCGGAAAAAGUGUUUCGGUGCCUUUCUGGGGGUUUCCAAAUAUUUGAGAAUUUAUAGAAGUGGAAUUAGGUCAGACGGAGCCACAUGGGGCCCACAAGGUAAUAGGGCGCGCCCUACCCCCUAGGUGUGCCAUGUUGCCUUGUUGUCUCCUUGCUUCGCGUCUGGUCUCCUUCCGAAGCUUCUAGGGCCUCUUUUGUCUAGAAAAAAAAUCAUCAAAAAGUUUCGUAGCCUUUGGACUCCGUUUGGUACUAAUUUUCUGGAAAACUAAAGACAAGCUGAAAAAAGCAACUAGCACUAGGCACUUGGUUAAUAGGUUAGUUCUCAAAAAUGAUAUAGAUAGCAUGAAAUGCAGAUAAAGUAUCCGAGAUUGAUAAUAUAAUAGCAUGAAACAAUCAAAAAAAUAUACAUUGGAGACGUAUUAGUGUUUUCUCUGAAUUUCUUUUCUUCGAGUUGUCGUAAGGAGAAGACCAUGAUGAAAUUGAUGAAUGGAUCUCAUAUGCAUUAAUGCUGAUCUAACAAAGAGCCAACAUUACCUUGUCUUCUCCUUUGAAUAAAAUGUUUGCAGAUUCCAGCUUAGUCCACAACACACUUGCACUAUUAUUACUUUCACAUCAUUCGGUCGUGCAAGUGAAUGGAAAUAAUGACGAUGAUUUGAUGAAGUGAUUGCGGUGAAGGAAAGCUGGUAUGAACUCUUCUUGUCUUUUUGUAAAUAUGUUUAACUCAGUCAAUCUUGAUUCAGUAUAUUAUGAGUAAACAUGAUUGUGAUGACAAUUAGAGAUUAUAGUUUUUCAUGCCAUGCUUAAAUAUCUAGGAGUGGAUAAUGAUUUAUCUUGAGUGUCAAUAUGCAUUAAAAUGGUCGUGAUGUAGUAUGUUAGUAUGGUAUCCUCCUCUGAACAAUUCGAGUGGCUUGACUUGGCACAUGUUCACACAUGUAGUUGAUUCAAAACCAACGCAACCUUCAUGAUAUUUAUGUUCAGGGUAUUUAUAACCUACUCAUGCUCAUAUUCAAUGUUAAUUAUUAUCAAUGCAUGAUUAUGACCGUUGUCGCUCUCUAGUUGGUCGCUUCUCAAUCUAUUUGCUAGCCUUCGCUUGUACUAAGCGGGAAUACUACAUGUGCAUCCAAAUCCUUAAACCCAAAGUUGUUCCAAAUGAGUCAACCAUAUCUACCUAUUUGCGGUAUUACUUUGUCGUUCUAAGUAAAUUGCAUGUGCCACCUCUAAUCAUUCAAAUAAACAUUUGUUUUGUGUGCCUGUACCGCUCAUGGAGCGAUGGGGCGGUCAAUAUCUUCCAUGCUAAGUGGGUUACUAUCAUGAUGGGUGUUUAUUCACUUGUCAUUGCACGAGAGAGGCUGGUAAUUGGGAUGCCCGGUCCUGUAACUGAAAAUAAAGAAAAAUAUAAUAAAACAAACACCCCCGAAAAGUUGUAUUGUUUCGAGGGCACCCGAGGAUUCGGCUAUCCAUGGCUUGUGCUUAUACGGUUGAGGGGGAGUAAACUUUACCCUUACGCAUGGGAACAGCUGAUAAUGUGUUUAGCAUGGAAGAUAUUGAAAUCCUUUGUUAUGACGUUGACAAGAAAAGCACACCUCUCAAAAUGUAUUCAUCUCUGUUUUAAGCUUCGAGCUCUGGCACCUCUACAAAUCUCCGCUUCCCUCUACGAAGGGCUUUUCCAUUUACUUCCAUGUUAUUUACUUUUAUUGUUGAGUCAUCACCUUCUCAUUCAGGCACCAACUUUGAGAGUGUUAUUGUCAUUCUUAGUUUAACAUGCAUUGAGUAGUUAAUGUUGGAUGUGACCAUGACUGGGUCUCUUCUAUCAUGAAUUACAAUGUUUAGUCGCUGCUUGAACUUCAGAGGUGUUGUGCAUUUAUGUUUUGCGGUCUCAGAAAGGGCUAGCGAGAUACCAUGUUAUCAUAUUAUAUCAUGAUUAUAUUUUAUUAUCGCUCGCUAGUUGGUUAUGUUAUUGUCAUGAGUAAAUGUGAGACCUAAAUGUUAUCAUUCACAUGGUUAGUUCAUAAUCUUUGCAAAAAACUUGAACGCUGGUUAAGUAUAUAUACAACAACGAGAACAAAAGAGUUUGUAAAAGUUUUUCGUUAUCACUUUUAGUUUUUCAACUGAAUUGCUUGAGCACAAGCAAUGAGUUAAGCUUGAGGGAGUUGAUACGUCCCAAAUGUAUCUACUUUUCCAAACAGUUUUGCUCUUGUUUUGGACUCUAAUUUGCAUGAUUUGAAUGAAACUAACCCGGACUGAUGCAGUUUUUAGUAGAACUACCAUGGUGUUAUUUUUGUGCAGAAAUAAAAGUUCUCGGAUUGGGCUGAAAAUUUACGGAGAUUAAUUUCAAAAUAUAUAAAAAAAAUAUUAGUGAAGAGAACUACUAGAGGGGGACACCACAGAGCCAUAAGCUCAGGGGCAUGCCCUAUGAGCUCAUGGGUACCAUAGGCCUCCGUCACCCCUAACUCCAACUCCAUAAGUACCGUCUCGCAGAGAAAAAAUCAAAGAGAAGGAACCAUCACAUUUUACGAUAUGGAGCCGCCGCUACCUCCUGCUCUUCAUCGGGAGGGUUGAUCUGGAGUCCGUUCGGAGCUCUAGAGGGUGGAAUUCAUCACCGUCGUCAUCAUCAACCCUUCUCCAUCAAUAAUUCCAUGAUGUUCACCACCGGGAGUGAGUAAUCCCUUGAUCUGGAGUCCGUUCGGAACUCCGGAGGGUGGAAUUUGUCGUCGUCAUCAUCAACCCUUCUCCAUUAACAAUUCCAUGAUUCUCACCAUCGGGAGUGAGUAAUUUAUUCGUAGGCUUGCUGGACGAUGAUGGGGUUGGAUGAGAUUUGUCAUGUAAUCGAGUCAAUUUGUUAGGGCUUGAUCCCUGGUAUCCACUAUGUUAUGAGAUUGAUAUUGCUAUGACUUUGCUAUGCUUAAUGCUUUUCACUAGUCCCAAGUGCAAAGAUUUCAUAUCUGAACCCUCUAUGUUUUCAUGAAUAUAUUUGAGUUCUUGAUCCUAUCUGCUAGUUAUAUGCACUUGUUAUUGUUCUGAUCCGUAGACCCCAAAGUGACAAUAGUUGGGAUACUAUCCGGGGAUGACUGUAAUUCGAGGAGUUCAUGUAUUCACCAUGUGUUAAUGCUUUAUUCUGGUUCUCUAUUAAAAGGAGGCUUUAAUAUCCCUUAGUUUCCUUAUGGACCCCACUGCCACGGGAGGGUAGGACAAAAGAUGUCAUGCAAGUUCUUAUUAUAAGCACGUAUGACUAUAUACGGAAUACAUGCCUACAUUGAAUUGAUGAAUUGGAGCUAUUGUGUAUCACACUAGGUUGUGACUGUUAUAUGAUGAAUGUCCUCCAACACAAAUAUCCAUCGCUGAUCCAAUGCCUGCACUUUUCUCAUAUUGAUCUUUGCUAAGUUACUGAUGUUGUUGUUACAAUCAUCACACACUGUUAUCGUUCCUGUUACUAUUACUACUGUUACUGCUACUACCAAAACUAUCAAACUACUGUGCUACUAAACCCUUUGCUUCAGAAAUAUUAUUUCCCAUGUGUGGUUGAAUUGACAACUCAAUUGCUAAUGCUCAUCUUUGGCUCCCUUGUGUCGAAUCAACAAAUUUGGGUUAAAUACUACCCUUGAAGACUGUCUCAAUCCCCUAUACUUGUGGGUUAUCGUACGUGUGGGCUUGACAUUCAGUCCUCGCAACAUUUCCCCUUUUCCUCUUCUUCAUAACAUUGGAUGGGUUUUGCACAUCCUACAACUCCUCCUUGUCUGUGAGUGGUUUUCCAUCCACCUCUCCCUCCCUCCCUCUCCCUCCCUUCCUCUCCCUCCCUCUCUCUCUCUCAUGUCUUAUCCAAAAACCAUGCCUCCGUGCAUAAACGUUGUGGUGCUCACGACGUUUUUCAUACUGCCAAACUUCAUUCCUGGAUUACGAGGCUUAGGCAUGGAAUACACUUCCAUGUUGUCGUAUCCUUGAUUAGAGUUGAUCGUACCUGAUUCUGGAGUUGCCAGUUCACUACCUGUUGGCUCCCCAAAGCUCCCAUGCUAGCAUUUGGUUUUGUACAAGGCAAGCUACGGAGUAUGCUCAUCGUACGAGCACCUACAAUGCAACAUGGAAACAUACUAUCAGUUUUUCUGGUGUGGUAAACUCCAUUCAAGAUGCCAGGUAACUUUCAUAUUGUUUAAACGGUAGUUUAGUCACAUAUUAGUCUCGUGAUUCACAAAGAUUGAUAACUGAUACACUAUGAACACGGUAGUUUAUACACACGUUGUCUGGUAAGAACCUUACAUAUAGACUGGUAAAAUAUCAUAUUCUUUUUUGUUAUCUUGGUAGUUUACACACCAGAAGGCUGAUAAUUUCUAACCAGAAAUAACGGUAAACAACAUAGUUGUGAUCAUGGUAGUUUAUACACAUGAAGGUUGGUAAGUGCACAUAGAUUUUUUACUUGCGAUAGGGAUGUUGGGGCUGGCAGAACUAUGCUCGUCGUACGUGCAUUCUCAUCCUAGUGGUUCAUUCUUGCACCACUCAGUAUGCCAGCUGCAUUACCUUUAAGGUUAGACGCCAUUGUAGCACCUGCUUAUUUUUUAUGUCCGCGUGUUAGUAUCAUCAUACACAAUUUGUUUCAUCGUCAACAGAAAGGAAAAUUAUACAUGUUCACUGAUUUUUUAUACUUUUUCGGUUCAUGUUCUUUUUUUUGCACGGGGAUCAGAGGGCAGCUCUUCAUUCAAAUAGCAUGAGUUUUCCUUCAUGUCAACAACACAUUUUUUACACUGCUAGGGAACUAUUCAGUGUAGCAUGAGCUUCUUCAACAUCAUAUUUUACAUCAAUUUUUUCAAACAAAAGAAACCAGUUUUUGGUGGUAUUUUUUCUAUGGUAAGUUUGAUACACAUGAGCUGAUAACUUAUUCAUAAACAGAAUGACAACGUUCUUAUUCUUUUUUCUGUAAAGUUUGACUCGAUAUCAUACCAAUCUUAAAACGAAAACCAUAAUGUAGUUUUGCCUUUCUCUUCUUGUUUUAUCAGUUUGUUCUUGUAACAAAAUGACACAAGGGGGUUUGCUAAGUUUUGUAGAGAAACCAGGUGAUUUUGGGAUUAAAAAGGAUACAUUUUUUCUAUCUGAUUGUUCGCACGGUAACAUUCCUGAUUAUGGUCUGAUAAGCUUAUUGUCACAAAAGGAACUAGGGAGCUUGCUAUUUUUGAAUGCAAUGGGGAUGGUAAAUAUCCUAAAAAGGUUACAUCUUUUUCCCAAUUCACCAUGGUAACAACACUGAUUUUGGGCUUGUGAGCUCAUACAAACUUGGUGAUAAUCUAUUGUAAGGUAAUUUUUCAGAUAAGUAAGGUGAAUUCGAAACUUACAAGAGGAUCUAUUGUUCCUUGUGGAUCUCGGCCCCAAUCCCUGGUAAUUUUUUUUUGAUUCGGUGUUGAUAAUUGAGGAUGAAAGGAGGCAAGGCGAUGGGCCCUGAUUGUAUCCCCUUUGAGGUGUGUAGAGGCCUUAGAGACAUAGUGAUAGUAGGCUAACCAAGCUUUUCAACCAGAUUUUUCGGGCAAACAAAAUGCCAGAAGAAUGAAGACGGAGUAUAUUAGUACCAAUCAAUUUUCAAUAACAAGCGGGGUGUUCGGAGUUGUACUUAUUACUAUGGAAUUAAGCUAAUGAGACAUACAAUAAAGCUAAGGAAGAGAGUCAUUGAGCACUGCUUAAGAAGCAUGACAAAAAAUUAGUUUGGUUUCAUGAUAGGCAGGUUGACCAUGGAAGUCAUUUUCAUGGUACAACAAUUUAUGGAGAGAUGCGGGGAGUAAAAGAACCUGCAUAUGGUGUUCAUUGACUUGGAGAAGGACUACCGCGAAAUGUCAUGUGGUGGACCUUGGAGAAACACAAAGACCCAGCAAAGUACAUUACCCUCAUCAAGGACAUUACGAUAAUAUUGUGACAAGCGUUCGAACAAGUGAUGGCGACGAUUAAAAUAGGACUGCACCAAGGGUCAACUUUGACCCCUUAUCUUUUUGCUUUGAUGAUGGAUGAGGUCACAAAGGAUAUACAAGGAGAUAUCUCAUAAUGUAUGCUCUUUGCGGAUGAUGUGGUGCUAGUCGAUGAUAGUCGGACGGGGGUCGAUAGGAAGCUAGAACUAUGGAGACAACCCUUAUAAUUGAAAGGUUUUAGACUUAGUAGAACUAAAACCGAGUACAUGAGGUACAGUUUCAGUACUACUAGGCAUGUGGUGCCUUAUAAGGACACCUUUCGAUAUUUAGGGUCAAUAUUGUAGAAUGAUGGGGAUAUCGAUGAAAAUGUGAACCAUCGAAUCAAAGCCGGAUGGUUAAAGACACGCCAAGCUUCUGGCAUUCUCUGUGACAACAGAGUACCACAAAAACUAAAAGGUCUUCUGGCAUUAUCUGUGACAACACAAUGCCACAAAAAACUAAAAGGUAAAUUCUACAGGGAGGACAGCGAUUCAACCCACAAUGUUGCAUGACGCUGAGUGUUGGUCGACUAGAAAGCAACAUGUUUAACACUUAGGUGUGGUGUAAAGAUAUGCAUGUUGAGAUGGAUGUGUGGCCACAUAAAGAAGGACCGAAUUCAAAAUGAUGAUAUACCAGAUAGAGUUGAAGUUGGGAUAACACCGAUUGAAGAAAAGCUUGUCCAAUGGCGACUGAGAUGGUUUGGACAGCAACACAUACGAAAUACAGUGCAAAUGAAUCCUAUGAAAAAAUUCCUAUGGUUUACAAAUUACAAUCCUACAAAUCAAACAACCCAUAUAAAAAAACAACCCAUAUAGAAAAAAUUCCUAAGGAUUAGAAUCCUCCGAAGUUCCUCCAAGAAUCCUUUGAAUCAAAGGUAAAUUAUUGGAUUGAAGUUGUGGGGCUGGGUGUAUUUAAGCUUUGGGUAUGGCCUGCUUUUCGCAAGUCAACUUCUGACAGGUUUAACUUUUCACUGAUGGCGUCGCUGUCAUACUGAAUAAAGAACGGUAAUAUAAAUAGCCCAGACAGACAAAUUUUCAAACAAUAGCAGGUCAAGACGGAGCAAAAUUCAAGUCUUUCAGAAAAUUGGGCAGACCUAACUUCAAAUGCAAAAUGGCUGUCAAGGAUGAAGAAAAAUGGUACAAUCUACAGUCCAGUCAUUCUGAAUCCAUGUCUGAAUUCUUUUACAUUACUUCCUCCGUAUCUAAAUAUAAGAUGAUUUUGCAAUUCAAUUUGAUAACUGAAUUUUCAAUUUGGUUAAGAUCAAAUAAGGCAUUUUUCUUCAUGAUAACUGAAUUCAAUGUAUCUAGUGAUGAAAUAAUCCAGCGGCAAUCAACUGCCCUAAGCAACAAGACAGCAAAGCAAAUGCAGCGACUAACAAUACAUAAGAAUCGCUCAAAACAUCAAUGACAAAACUCAACAUAUGAUAUUCUAGCUGCCAUAAUAACAUUGAUUGAUUCCGCAAGGUACUCAUUAAACCAGUAAAAAAUAGUCUCACAAUGGAACCACUAAAGCAUGACAAAAGUUUCUUCUUCAGCACGAGUAGAACAAGUGAAGAUAUCACAUCCAUUCUCUCAACUGCAUCAGGAAGCAUCUAGAUAGGAGAAACUACUUCAGCAGCCUCACAUAACAACCUGCCCAAAGCCAAGCCUGCAUGAUUAAACAUAAAGCUGUUACAAUGGAUUUGUACGCAGUUUAAGAACAGAAUGUUAAAUUCAUAGCAAAGAAUACAAUGUGA
rnacentral:lncRNA from 1 species